AAAAAAUCACGGAUGAAAGAGACCACGGAUCCCCUAGUGAAAAAUGAAGAUAAUGAAUAAGGAGAUAUACAACUGAAGGGGCUGAUUUGGGUAAAUUGAGAAAUCUAGGGUUUUGAAUAAAACUCUCUUUCUCUCUGUUUUGGUGCAGAAACUGAUGGGGAUUCAGGCGGCCUCAUCGCUCAUCGUAGGGUCUCAGAGGCAACGAGCAAACCGCUCGCCUCAGCCAUUCACGCGGCUUCAAGGCGGAGAUGAAACAUCAAGCGAGCUGCUUAAACCAACCAGUGCAUCAACCAUCUGAUCCUAACCCUUCCAUGCGACUUCGAUUCGAUUUCGUGAGGCAGCGACCAAAACGCCUGGACAUCCAAAAUUAGAAUCGCUGCUAUUCUGAUUCUUCGCUGUAUGUUUCAAUCGACUUGAAGUGUCCUCGUGAGGCUAAGAUGAGACCGACUGGUUUUUCAGUUACAAGGUUUACCUAUUUUAACUCACAAUCUGAUCAUUUCCAUGUAUAUUGACGUGUUUGGCUGUAUAUAUAUCUGAUUCUAAAAAGAAUCGAUUUUGAAACCUUAAUUUUCCAAACUUACACUUCUCAUUUUUGGUGAUGAAUCUAAUCAACCGAAUUACUGCUGAGGAUGAUUAAUAUCCAUUUAAUUACCAAACAACAUACUAGAAUGAAGUUUAGAAGUGUUGAUUUGUUUAACAGAUAAAGCAGGCUAUGUGAGUGGUUUGGGUUUGCUCAUGACAAUGCUAUCUUUGAUGUAUGUUGGAUGAAGCUACAGAAAAAUCUAAUCAUUCAAUCACAGUUACAUAUAUUUACUGUCCUUUUUAUUCUGAAAUAAUGAGUUGCUCUGUAAUCAUACUACUUGUCAAAGCCGUCAUUCACUUCAAAACAGCCCCAAAUUAAUGUGUUGACAUUUGUUUGUAAUAAAAUUUAUCUUUUAAGUUCAUUUAUAUAUCUUGUAAAUUGGUAUUGGAAGUUUGUUUUCUGCUGGUUUAUUUUAAUUUUGCAGCAUUCAUAAAAUGGGAAUAGCUUUAAUUUUUUACAAUGUUGACAGAUGGAUGCUGCUCCUGUCCUAAUAGAAUGAAGUCAAGUGUUUUGGAAAUGCCAUCUUUUGGUGGCUGGAUAUGCUGAAUAGCAAAGCUUUUUGUAAACCAUAUCUGCAGUGGAUCGUCUUACUUGACUUUUUUUUUUCUCAGUUUGUAUAUACUAUGAUCUACAAUCUAAGGUUUUUUUUUUUUUAAUUUUUUUUUAUUUUAACAACUUUAUUAAUUCCAUAAGAAGAUUUACAUAGAUGUAGCAGGGUAAACAAGCAACAAGUUGUGCCGCAAUCCCUUUUUGCAUGGCAAAACUUAUUCUUUUAAAAACAUCUAUAGAAGUUAAUUAUAUGCCCUGCAAUGUGGAAUGGGCAUCCAUGGAACCAAAAUAUGGCAACAAUUUUAUUUCUGGAAGGAAAGAGACAUUUGAAUCCAAAGGGAGAAAGAAAGUUUUGUUCCAAAUGGACCAAGUAAUGAUUGAAGCCAAUACCAUUUGCUAAAAGUGUCACAAAGUUGGGAGGAUUUGAAAAUUGAAGAAUUGAGGUUGUGUUGUUAUUUUGUGCAUCUAUGCUACCACUUCAUCUUUUGAGUUAAACACGACAUUACAUGGUGAUUUUGGUUCACAAUUAUGUCAUAUUUGGUAUUUCACUUGAUCUAAUAAUUAGUGUGAUAUUCUGUCACUAAUGUUGCUAAGAAAGUUUAUGUUUGUCAACAUAUGGAAGGAUGGGUAGUUUGGUGAUAGAAAUAGGAGACUUGGAUUUGCAUUUUGCAAUCCAUUAAAUUAGUAAUUUUUUAGGUGUAGUACAAAUCAUUUGCAAUGAAUGAGAGCCAUCAUGCAAGAAAAUUCCAAUGAUGAAAUUAUACAAGAAAAUUAAGCAGAAAUGAACUUUGCAAAGUUGGAGUUGACUAAUUGCGAUUUAGAAGUUAUAGAUAUAAGUGGUAGGCAAGACCGAGUGUUAUGAUUUUUAGUGUAAAGUGUUUGAAAAGCAAAUUCAUAAAAAGUUUGGACUUUUACACAACAUUUUCUACUUGUCUCUUUUAAAUGUUGAAUGACAACGAUCUCUCAUACAAAUGGAUGGCUAACAUAUUUAAUUAUACACGAACACACUCAAAUAACUAACUAACGUCUCUAUUUAUGGAAACCCUCGAAUAAUUUACACUGACAAAAUUUGCUUCAUGAGGUGCUCCUCGUUUAACCGUUUCUCCCUUGCGAUCAUGGAAAAGUAUGUCGGAUGGAUGACAUGUUGGUUAACCACAUAGGCUGCUCUUGUAUUCCAAAUUUAUGUAUUUGUAACCGAGUCAGUAAGGUGAGGUGUUGUAUUUCUUCUGGCAUUGAUUCCCAAUCAUCCCAACCCUACAAGUCCAAUGAGUGAAGGUGGUCCCUUAACUUGUCGAUACCUUUGAGACUUGGGAGAUAAUCGAGCUCCUGUGAAAACAGACCAAGUUUCAACUUAUUUAAGAAUGCAAAACAAUCAAACAUUUUUAGAGGCAAGGAAUUCAGUUUGUUGCAGUAGGUAAUUUUCAAAGUCUUCAAAGAAUGACACUGGUUGGGCAAAUUGGUUAUUCCUAAAAGACUAUCACACCUGGAAAUUACUAAGGCCUUGUAUGCUCUUAAUGGACAUGAGACCUGUGCAAGCUCUAAUCUCUAAGGAAUUAAGAGGGUGGGGAUGGGAUUCAUCUAAGAGAACAAUCUUCGGGCAAUCCCGAAUGGAUAAGCUCUCGAGGACAGGAGAAAUCAUUUUUGAGCUGUUGGGUGUUUCAUCUAUCCACUUUUCCAGUCUUUUCAUAUGUAUUAGUCCGAGCGAUCUCAACGAUGGAAACAAAGGCUUCAUUGAUCCAGUAACAUUGGAAUUGCUUAAGCAUGUCAAAUUGUCCAUAUUAGAUAAGAAAAGAUUCCGAAGAUGUGGUAGGUGCACAAGCAUUGGAAGAGAGAGGCAGCUGCGACAUCUUCAUGAGAUUGUGAAGUGGCGUCCAAUCUGGAAAAUUAUCACCAGAAAAUUUGUUAAUUGUCAAUAUUUUCACAUCUCCAGGGGGUUGCAAGCCUUCCAAUACAUCCUUGUCAUUUCUGUUGGCACCUUCAUUAUACUCGCUCCAAUUAAAUUCAAUAUCGUAUAUGUUUUUUUUGCUAGAUAAACCUGCCUUGAUAGCAUCCUCUUUGCUCCUAACAUUUUCUAGAUUGAAAAUACAGCGCUUUCCACUAAGCUAAUUCAGAUGGCGUAGCACUUAAAUACCAUGUCCCAUACUACUAAGCACUAUGAAGGAAGACAAAUUUCGAAAAGAGGUUAGGUGUCCUACAAUAUUGGCGGGAAUCUUUAUGUGACCCUGGAAAUAUCGCAGGCUUAUCAAAUUUCUCAUGGAUUUUGGAAACUGGUUAAAUCCAUAAGGUAACUUUAGAGUUUGCAAGUGGUAUAAUGUAACAACCAAAAAUUUGAGCCAAUUUUAAACAUUUUAUUUCAUUCAAAAAUCAUUAAGUUCAUAUAUCUUAUUUUCAAAAUAGUUUAAACAUCAGAGUAUCCCCCAAAACCAUAUCACAUGAAUCAUAAAACAUGAGGAGCGGUACGAUCACGCCUUCGCCUUGCCAUAAUCUCCUGAAGUACCUAAAACAAUACACUGAACUGUAAGCCCGAAAGCUUAGUGAGUUACCCCCAAAAUACCAACCACAUACAACCAUAAUCAUAACAUAUCGUAUCACAAUACGGAACAGCCAUGCCUCUCAAGUCUGCAGCGUGACUGGUCUGCCCUCAACAGGCCUUCAGUUCACCUAGUCCACUCUCUGAGUCUACAGUAUAACUGGACCGCCCACACUGGGCCUUCAGUCUAUCUGGAUCUAUCCGAGCCUUUGGUAUGACUGGACCGCCAUACGGGCCUACAAUCUAUCUGGACCGCUCGUAGGGUAUGUUCGCCUUCAGCACACAGCAGGACUGCCUCAACCCAAACAUCAAGCAAAUAACAAUGUGUACAUAUAACAGGAAAUCACAUAACAGUCCCUAGGCAAACAAAUCGAUCUAGCAGAUCAUAAAGCAUAGCAUCAUCCUUACCAUGAUAUCGACCUAACCGAUCACUAACAUAGCAUCAUCCUAUAUACCAGGAUACUGACCUAAACCAGGUCACUAACAUAGCAUCAUCAUAUAUACCAGGAUACUGACCUAAACCAGGUUACUGACAUAAUACUGUCCCAAUUACCAGGACGCCGAUCUAACAGAUCAAUAAGCACAUCAACAGUACAAGUACAGAUAUCAGAUAUAAUUAUCUCAUAGAUCAUCGAUUAUAGCAAUCUCUCAUGACCAAGGCAUCGACCUAACCAGGUCACUAACAUACCAAUCCUAACGGAUCACAUGAGCAUAACAGCAUACUGUCUAUUCUGAUACCAAUCUAACAGAUCAUAACCACAUGUAGCAUACUGUAACCAAGAUAACAACUAAAAGGGUCGGCCUUGGUGCCUUAGACCCUAUUGAUAUAGUGAGGAUAACUCACCUGAAAUUGUUGACUGAAAAGAUAAGACCAAGCUGCUCCGGCCUUUGACACGAUCGCCACCACUGAACACUACCAAAGAACCAAUUCCAUAAAUACCAAUAUUACCAAAGUACCCUUGGAAGUCAAUGUCACACCCCCACGGGGGUAGCGGACUUCAUAUACAAUAUCACAACAACGUGUAUAAUAGUACUCAAAGUAAUUACAACCAUCAUAAAUAUAAUUGAAAAAGUUACACCAAAGUAUAUUUUUACAUGUUUCAAAAUCAAUUACAUUAUGAUGACAAAAUAAAUUGUUGACGAUUUAACGUCCCAUCCUCAAAGCGCUGAAAUUUUCCUGUUUCAUUGAUUUCCUGAGAAUACAAGUAGUUUUGAAAAAGUGUCAACAAUUAAGUUGAUGAGUUCAUAAGAGUUUUGUUUGAGGAAGAAACCGUUUUCCUUAUAAAAUUGAUAGAGUUUGAUUUCCAGAAAAUCCAAUAUUUUCAUAGUUAAGUGUGAAAAGAAUAUUCCUAUAUGAUGUGAUAAUGAACCCUAGAAAGACCCGUAGAUUUCUCCUAUAAUUGUCCAGCGUAUAUAAGUUAUAUAAGAUUUAAGUUAGAUAAACCGUUGAAUAUAGUGGGUCUGCCCUGGGUCCACAACCCAACGAGGAACAGGAAAUGAGGCGGGCCCACCAAUUCUAAGCCGAUCAAGACUAAAUUCUUAUACGACUCUAGCAUAUACGCUCAGCGAUUAUAACUGAAGCCUAACAAUUCUAAAUGAAAUAUAGUUUUCAUAUCAUAAUAACUAUUUUAUGUGAACCUGGUACUUUGUAUCUGUACCCCUUUUUGUAUAAAAACCUGGUACUUUGUAUUUGUACCCUUUUUGUAUAAAAACCGGUACUUUGUAUUUGUACCUCUUUUUGUAUAAAAAACCGGUACUUUGUAUUUAUACCCUUUUGUAUAAAAACCGGUACUUUGUAUUUGUACCCCUUUUCGUAUGAAAACCUCCUCUUUGUAUAUGUACCCCUUUUCGUAUGAAAACCUGGUACUUUGUAUCUGUACCCCUUUUUGUAUGAAAACCUGGUACUUUGUAUUUGUACCCCUUUUCGUAUGAAAACCUGGUACUUUGUAUCUGUACCCCUUUUUGUAUGAAAACUUGGUACUUUGUAUCUGUACCCCUUUUUGUAUAAAAACCCGGUACUUUGGAAUGUACCCCGUUUAUAUGAAAACCCGGUACUUUGGAAUGUACCCCAUUCGUGUGAAAACCUUUUGUAAUGUAAAUGAUCAUAAACUAUACCUAUUAUAGUUUAUCAAAAUGUUUGAAAUGUAUAUGCAACCUAACUAUACUUAUUAUAGUUUAGUAUGUUUAUUUGUGGUGUAUAAGAACCCUUUCUAUGUAAGUCAAAUGUAUAGUACAAUAUAGCUAUGUUUAUCUUGCUUUGUUUUGUACUAAUGGUUAUGAUGGAGGAUUCUUAUAAAUUCAGUAAGUAUUUUCCUAUUAUAUAAAUAUACCACUACAAGAAAUACAUGUAAUAUAUGAAGUCAUCAAAGAUUUAACACUUUGCUCAACAUGUUACAAAGUGUUUUGAAAGUUAUAAGCUGUUAACUAACUCUUAACCUUUCUGCACUGUUUUAGAAAGAUCAUAGAAAAAUCAUACGAAGUCGAAAACUAAAUCCGUAAAUUCUGAGAGUUCCUAAAAUGUGUCUAGUUUACUCAUAAUUUUUAUCAUGAUUUUUGGAAGCCUUUAACUUGUAUUAAAAUACUCAUAUUCACAGACUGGUCCGGAUUUGUGUUUGAAAAGACAGGCUGUUUUGUAAAAAUCACCAUCAAUUGUAGAAAAAUCGUGUGGAGAUGUGCAAGUAGUCAUUUUAAAGCUACGAACUGGAACUACUUGCACCUAAAACAGUUUUGAAAACUAAAAUGUUUAAGUUGUCCAAAACAGUCCGUGAAUGGAGUCCAACUUUUCUGAUAAAAGCUGUUAGAAAAAGUUUAGUUAUGUUCUUGGUGUUUUAACUUGUAUUCCCACCCUAAAAACUUAAAAAAUCAUGAAAAUAUAGGGGUAUGAACUCACCUUAUGUGAUUUCAGUAGAUGAUUGUUGAAGAAUAGAUGUGAUCAACUCAAGAACACUUGAAGAUGCCUUGAAGAUUUUCGAGAAUCUAACAUCAAAGUGAUGGAGUUUGUGUAAGCAAUCAAUGAUUUGAGUAGAAUGAAGUGCAAUAAUCACAAGGAGGAUGAAUUAUACUUACCAAGAGAAGAAUAAAGCUUGAAGAUCAGCCUUGGAGUCUUGAAAUAGAGAGAAAGAGUUUGAGAGAUAAGUUGUGUUUGAUUUUUGGUGAAAUGAGAGCAAGUGAAAGAAAAUGAGGAGAGAGGUUGAGUGACCAGCUCUAAAAACGUUGAAAUAACUUGUGAGAGGGGUAAAAAGUACAAGGAAGUGACAAGGUAUGGUAGGGAGGAGUGUGGGUUAGUCAUGGAGUGGGUAUGGGGGUUGCUUGUGUCAUAAUACAAAGAAAAGUCAACACUCAACCUUUGUACUUCACCCACUCUUCUUGGAUAAGGUUUUAUCCCCAAAAACGUGAUUAAUCAAUAAUUAGGGGGCCUUAUAUGUUAAAAUAAAAUUUUGGGUGAAAAUACCGCGUUAAAAUGAUGAAAAACGAAGCUAAAAUGAAGUCAUAGUCGAAAACCGGGAAGAAAUGGGCUUCCCUGCGAGACCUCUCGGUCCUGGCCGAGGUUCGGUCCCUUCUGAUCAUGGGCCGAAGGCGAAAUGGAGCGAAAGGAGUAAGAUGCGAAAUGGACCGAAGGUUCGGUCCGAAGGGGUGGGUUCGGUCCCUUAUGCGAGGUUCGGUCCGAAGGGAGGGUUCGCUUCUGAUGCCUUCGCUUCUGAUGUUUUCGCUUCUGACAAGUUCGGUACCUAAGAGGGGUUUCGGGUCCUUAAGAGGGUUCGGCUCCUUAAGAGGGGUUUUGGGUCCUUAAGUCCUUUUUAUCCGUUUUUACCCCGUUUUAAGCGGUUUUUGACCCGGUUAAGGGUCGGGAUGGCCCGAAAGACUUCAAAACGUUACGGGAACUUUUGAGAGAGAUUUGGGAGAGAUUUCACAUACUUGGAGAGAUUUCUCAUACAAAGAGAAAUUUGGGAGAGAUUCCUCAUUCUUGGAGAGAUUUGGGAGAGAUUUUCGAUAAAGAGAGAUAGAGUGAAAACGAUUGAGAGAGGUUUCGUGUGUGACAUUUGUGAGUGUCCGGCUUCGCAACGCAAGGUCCGUAAACCCCAUUAAGCCAUGUUUAAGGAUCUUACACACUCCCAAUGAGUAUGCAAAAUUGUUUUAUCGGUUUGGUUCGUUACUUACCACAGUUUUUGGUUAAGGAAAUCUAAAUGUAUGAACUUUUCAAUUUAUGAUCUCUCAUUAGAAUAGUGAGUUGUUUAGAAAUUACAUAACGUAAACCCUAGUAUACAAGGGUUAACUGAGGUGACCGGUCUGACUUGUUGACUUUAUUUUACUUUGACUUGACCAGAAUUUGACGGUUGUCAUAUCAUCCCCCCGUUAGAGGGAAUUUCAUCCUGAAAUUUGCAUUUUGAAUGGGGAUCCAAGAAUUCGGAGGAAAGAUGGGGGAAACUUUUCGUAGUACAAGAAAUUGAUUAUGGUGAGGAAAAACCCGCCUGAUGUCACAUGACGGCCUUGGAAUUUCUUAUUGUUUGUCACAACUAGAAAUUUUGUGUCUUGUAAUCACUACAUUCAAGUAAAUGUUGAAUCAAAAACUUAAGAGCAUGUGUGAUACCUAUUAUUAUGACAUCAAAAACUUCAAUCAAAUACAUCAUACAAAUACUACAAAUAGUCAUCAAACAAUUGGAAACCCUAGAAGUUCUUGUUUAGGUCCAUUUUGGACUAGGACUUCCUUAUUGGACCCAAAUGGACCAAUAAGCUUCCAAUUUGACUAUCAUGGGCUUAGAACCCUAAUUGGGCUCUAAUUGGACCCACAAUCAUUUAUUUCAACAUUUUGGGCCAUUUUGGGCCUAGAAUGAAAUGAAUUAAAAGCUUUGAUCCAUGAUUAACCUAAUCUAGCUUAAUAAAGCAUAAAAAUCACAAUUUUAUUUUAAAAGGCCAAUGAUCACCCAAACUAACUCUAAUAUUGGGCUUAGGGGCAAAAAGCCCAAAAAUCCUUUCUUCCCUCUCCAUUCUCGGCCCAAGCCCAAGGAAAAAGGAAGAGUUGACUUUGGAUUGCCACCUCACUUUUAUUUGUUAGGUCUCCAUGCAUGCAACUCAUACUUCCAAGCAUCUAUCUUAUCAAAGUCACUCUCUUCUUUCCUCUCUCUCACUCUCGGCCGAAGCACACACACAUACACAAAUAUCUCACAAAUUCUCUCUAGAACACUCAAGAACACAUCCUUCCUCUCCACUCAAAAAUCUCGAAAAUUAGGAGGCUUUCAAGGGGAUAUUUCCACAAACUCUUCAUCUAAGGUAAGGUUAUACUUGGAUCUAUGACUUAGAUUCUUUGUUUUAUCAAAAUCUCUUCCUAAUCCAUGCAAAAAUCGUGAUCUUGCAUCCUAGAACCACCUCAAACUCGAGAUCUUCAAGAAAAGGGUGCUAAGGCCAAAAAUCACCAAGCUUUCUUCCAUCUUUUCUUCAAAAACCGAAACCACACCCUAAGGUGAGCUUCAUACCCCCUAUUUUUCUGUUUUAUAAGUUUUGUGGGGGGAGGGGGGAAUACAAGUGAAAGUGUAGAUCUAUAUGUGUUUUGUAUGCCUUGUAUGAUUUCUAUGUUUAUAUGUGUGUUUUUGUGUGUUUAUAAUGUUGGAUCUAGCCAUAAACCCCUAAAAAUCGAGAUAUACUUUAUGUUAAAUGAUACUAGCCUCAAAUAUAUUUCUACAUACAAAGUGUUCCAAGAAAAAAAUAGCUAAAUGGCUUAAUAACUUCUUCUUAAGGCUAAAAACUCAAUUUUUGGACAUAAAAUGUUAAAAAUAUAAAGUUAAAGGGCCCAAAAUGAAAUAUUUCGAAUUCUGAUGGGUGAGAUGAGUCAAAACAGUUUCCAUAAUGUAUUUUCUGAAAAUAUACUUUUUGGGAGGAUUAAAAACAUAAAUUUCAAGCUUAAUGGGCUAAAAAUGACAUUUUCGGCCCAAUAGGGCCCAAUAUGCGAAAUUUUCUGUUUUGAAGGGCCAAAACUGUGUUUUUCUGUAAAACAGUGGACUACUAGUGUUCCAAGUCCUUUUCUAAGGUUUAAAAUGCUUUUCAAAUUUAAAAAGGACCAAAGUUGCAAAAAUUUUCCAAUUUGGGCCAAAAUUGUAAAAACUGCGAAAAAGAGGGGUUAUAACCGAGAAAACUGCAUUUUCAGGGACUCAAACUGUUUUCAAUGAAAAAUAUGCUGAAAAAUAUCAAUUUCAAUAAUUUUUGGUGUUAAAAUGUCAAGAAAAAUGAUUUAAGGACCAAACCGGAAAGUUAUUUAAUUAGAGGGUUGAAAAAGUAAAUUUACAAACAAAGAGGGGCUGAAAACAGAAAAUUUUCAAGGCUAAUUCAAUACACUCAACUUGAUCAAAUAUUGGCACCGCGACUACCGACGAAAUACAAUACACAACAAUACCAAAAAUCGUUGUUAAACGAAUUGAUUCGGUCUCGAAUCAAUAACAACCCGAAACUACUAACACGACGAUAACUCGAUUCACACAAGUAACAUUUGGGAAUUUAAUACACACGUGAGAGUGCACAGACGUCGACGCACCAUCUUUGGGCCCCAAAGUGUAAAAUCUUGUUUGUUGGGCCUAGCUAGCCCAAUGACCUGAUCUUAAGGCCCGAAGACUUCUACCUUACGAGUUGUUGGGUCUUACAUGAUCUAACACAGCGUAAAAGGACUUUCAAUGGCUUUUAUACUAUUGGUCCCCAAGGGUCCUUUGGUACUGCUAGUAAAGUCGGUUAUUUUAAUGCGAGGCGGGUCAAGGGCCCCUCGUACUCUUUUUUUUUUUCCCAACCGGCUAAUGGAGUUAUCGAGGUCUUCGUGCCCUCUUUCUCUUCGGAUGUGGGAUUACUCGAAGUCAGGGCGGUUGGAUUACGUGAAUAGUACGGACGACGCCUACGGGAUCGUUAGUAUAGUUGUAAACUGGUCGUUUGCGUAACGCGUGUUUAUAGCAAUUCACCAUGCGCAAUAAUCCGACGUCGCCUGGAAUCAAUGACUUCACACGCCGCGAUGGUUUUAUUUUCAACUUCAUGGAAUUCAAAGAAUUAGGAAAACAUCGGGUUUUCCUAGGGUUUUACAAUACAUACAGUUUCGAAAUGUACACAAGCAUAAUGAACAUUUUUUUUACAACUAUAGAAACAAACAAGCAUACUUAUGGAUCUUCACAAACUUCUUUUUACUCAAAAACUCUUUUCAGAAAAUAUCGGAUUUUCUGGUGGUUUUCAAAAUAAUACAAAACGUUGCUUUUCAAAUACCGCUUAUGAACUCACCAACAUUUCAUAUGUUGACGUUUUUCAAAAUACUUGUAUUCUCAGGUAACAAGUGAACCAAAGGAAAAUGUACUCAGUGAUGGCUUGCAGUUUGUUUAUUUAUGAAUCGAACAAUUUAUUUUUGGGAAUGUAAUGUUUAAACAAUGUACUCAAUGUAAACUUUAUCGGUUGUACUAUAUUAAUGCAUGGUGACGAAUGAUGUUAUGUUUCAUAUAUAUUCAAUGUUAUGGUAUUCAAUUAAGUCACAACAGCCCUCGGACGUUUCCGCCGUCUGGUUCGGGGGUGUGACAGGUUGGUAUCAGAGCUUUGUUUAUAGUGAACUAGAAUGUCUAGCCACACAUUGAUAUGCAACUAUAAACCAAAAAGAGGGACUAACAUAAAUCUGAACAAAACAAGUAAAUAAAACACCCUUGCUUGCAGUAGGAAUAGGAACUUAACGCCGAACCAAAUAAAAUAAUGCUAGUAUCCCGGUUAAUUCAGGACUGUUCUUAGGGGUACCAAGGAGUGGAUGUAGCCUGAUCAACUACAUUCUCUCCAAAGUACAACUAACACACGUUUUGAUGAGAUCAGAAUAGCUAGGGAACCUAAAACUAUAUCCUUCUAGUACCAAAAAGAGAACGUCUAUUUACUAGAUAUCGUAGUCGUGAGAGUGACGAUAGUUUAUACUUUCCCCCAGUCGUCAUGGAGGGAGAGCAGCUGGGUAUUCAGUUCCAUCAAGUCCUAGUGGCUCACGGGAUGCUUGAAGAUGAACCAGAAGGGAAUCCAGAGGAAGCACACGACGUCAGACCUGACGAAUACAUAGACAACGACUACGAACUUGGAGAGACCGACGCCGACGUCGAGGAAGGCCAAGACGGGGAUACGAACCAUAUCCCUCCGUGUGAGAACGAGGCGCAACCAGACCACCCCGCUCCGCCAGUGAACCCCCCAAGGGAGAACCGUUCCCCCGAGGCUGAGAUCGCUGCACUGCGACAACAGCUGUAUGCGAUGGAAGCUCGGGCAGUGCGAGCUGAGCAUGAGAGGGAUGAGGUUAUUGAAGACAUGACGGAGAUGGCUUAGUUAGUAGCGCAACAUUUCGGCAUAUGACCCCGUCGCUACGUAGGACGCAAAUCAUCGCGGUUAGGGAUAGACUGACUAUAGUAGAUCGGUAGGAACUAUGCUAUGUACCCCGACUCUAUGUUUAAGUGACUACACUACUCAUAGAGCCGUUAUGCUGUCGAACUAGUGUCACUCAUGUAUGCUCUUACGAGCAAAAUUUUCUUGUAUCAAAUGCGGAUAAUAUUAAUAAACUUUUACGUGCUUUGUUAUGAUAUUACAAAUUGCUAUGUGUUGAGAAGUUAUGAUUGUAUGUUCAAUGGUAGUAGUGUUCAAGUUCGUACCAUGCACCUAGUCAGUAGGAUCACAACCUCACGGAAACCCAGGACCAACUCCACCUGAAGUUGACUCAGCCGCGUUCCAGGCAGCUGUAUCUGCUGCGGUCACUGCAGCGAUUGCACAAAUUCAUCAAGGGAACAAUGGAGGAGUCAAUGGGCAAGGAGCCGGAAGUUCGAACAACGGAAUGAAUCAAGGACCCACCAAAACAUGUACCUACAAGGACUUCACAAACGCCAAACCACGAACUUUUAACGGCACUGGAGGGGUGAUCACUCUGAAGCGAUGGAUCGAGAAGGUGGAGUCGGUAUUCGAGAUAUGCGAUUGCCCUGAGCAGAUGAAGGUGAAGUUCGCGGCCUGCACUUUUGUGGACCAAGCACUCACUUGGUGGAACGGACACGUGGAAGCCAUGACGCUCCCUGUAGCCAACUCUAUUUCGUGGGCAGAGAUGAAAGAAAUGUUAAUGGCUGAGUACUGCCCACGAGGCGAAAUACAGAAGAUGGAGCAAGAGCUAUGGAACCUCACUGUGCAGAAUGCGAAUAUUGAUGCCUACAUAUCGAGAUUUAGUGAACUAUCUCUGUUGUGCCCGGGUAUGAUCACCUCGGAAGGAAAGAAGAUUGAGUGAUUCAUCUGGGGACUAACAUCACCCAUUCAAGGAAACGUAAUAGCUGCAAACCCGGAAACAUUUGACAGCGCGAAGAGAUUGGCGAAGAAGUUGUAUGACCAUAACACCAAGAAGGGUGAGAAGCCAGCAGAGACUGAGGGCAAAAAGGAAGGUGAUGGCAAGAAAGGGAAGAACAACAAGAGGAAGGGACGUCAGGGCCCCGAAACCUCUAAAAAGCAGCGGACAGUGGCGGUUAAUGCUGCCACUGCACCGAUUCCAGCCACCCCACAUGCUCCAGCCUCAGCUGCUUCAAAUGCUUCAAACCUUAUUCUGGUAAUCUUCCCAAGUGCAACAAGUGCGGUUUCCAUCACCAUGGAGAAUGCAAAGAGUUUCAGUGCACCAGUUGCAAUCGAAGGGGAGACACUGCGAGGUACUGCAGGACUUACCCUCCCCAGAACCAAAAUCUAGGAAACAACAACAACUAUCGCAACAACAACACCAAUGCCAGCGGCAAUAAUGCAGGGCCUAGCCACACCUGCUUCGGGUGUGGGAGGACUGGGCACUUCCGCCGAGACUGCCCUAGCAACAACAAUCCCGGGAACAGAGGAACAUGAAGGAUGCUGACCAUGGGCCAAGGAGAGGCGGUUCAGGACCCCACAGUUGUGACCGGUACGUUUCUCCUAAAUCACACUUAUGCAUGCAUCCUAUUUGACACCGGAGCGGAGCGAAGUUUCGUAAGUGAUAAGUUUAAGCAUUUAUUAAAACAACAACCCCAAAAGCUAAAUGAAACCUUUACGGUGGAAAUGGCCAAUGGGAAAACCGAAUCCACUGGGGAAAUCUACAUCGGAUGUACCCUAACCCUUAAUCAACACGUCUUUCGAAUAGACCUAAUGCCAGUAUCAAUUAGGAGUUUCGACGUAAUCAUCGGCAUGGAUUGGUUAAGCCCCCACCAUGCUGAAAUUAUGUGCCACGAGAAGGCCGUUCGUCUUCGUCUCCCAAAUCACGAAACCCUAGUAAUUUACGGAGACAAACCCAGCAUGAACCUUCGCCUCAUCUCGUGCAUUAAGGCAUAAAAGCACCUACGAAAGAAGGAUUCGGCAUUUCUAGCUCACAUAGUGGAUAAAACCAGGGAAGAGACUAACAUUCAAGAUAUUCCGGUAGCGUGUGAAUUUACAGACGUGUUUCCUGAAGAUCUUCCGAGAGUACCCCCAGAGAGACAGGUUGAGUUCCGAAUCGACCUCGUUCCAGGAGCAACUCCUCUCGCUAAAUCACCCUAUCGGUUGGCCCCUGCUGAAAUGCAGGAAUUGUCCAGCCAACUCAGUGAGCUUCUGGACAAGGGAUUUAUCCGACCUAGCUACUCGCCAUGGGGAGCUCCAGUGCUCUUUGUCAAAAAGAAGGACGGAUCUUUCAGAAUGUGCAUCGAUUACAGAGAGUUAAAUAAACUCACUGUUAAAAACCGCUACCCACUCCCACGAAUCGAUGAUCUAUUCGACCAGCUCCAAGGAGCUAGUUAUUUUUCUAAAAUAGAUCUACGGUCCGGAUACCACCAACUCAAAGUCCGGGAAGAGGAUAUUCCUAAAACCGCUUUCCGAACCCGCUACGGACAUUAUGAAUUCGUCGUAAUGCCCUUCGGUCUAACAAAUGCACCUGCCGCAUUUAUGGACCUAAUGAAUCGAAUCUGUCGACCGUUCCUGGACAACUUCGUCAUUGUGUUUAUCGAUGACAUCCUCGUCUAUUCUCGAAGCAAAGAGGAGCAUGGCCAACAUCUCCGACAANNNNNNNNNNNNNNNNNNNNNNNNNNNNNNNNNNNNNNNNNNNNNNNNNNNNNNNNNNNNNNNNNNNNNNNNNNNNNNNNNNNNNNNNNNNNNNNNNNNNNNNNNNNNNNNNNNNNNNNNNNNNNNNNNNNNNNNNNNNNNNNNNNNNNNNNNNNNNNNNNNNNNNNNNNNNNNNNNNNNNNNNNNNNNNNNNNNNNNNNNNNNNNNNNNNNNNNNNNNNNNNNNNNNNNNNNNNNNNNNNNNNNNNNNNNNNNNNNNNNNNNNNNNNNNNNNNNNNNNNNNNNNNNNNNNNNNNNNNNNNNNNNNNNNNNNNNNNNNNNNNNNNNNNNNNNNNNNNNNNNNNNNNNNNNNNNNNNNNNNNNNNNNNNNNNNNNNNNNNNNNNNNNNNNNNNNNNNNNNNNNNNNNNNNNNNNNNNNNNNNNNNNNNNNNNNNNNNNNNNNNNNNNNNNNNNNNNNNNNNNNNNNNNNNNNNNNNNNNNNNNNNNNNNNNNNNNNNNNNNNNNNNNNNNNNNNNNNNNNNNNNNNNNNNNNNNNNNNNNNNNNNNNNNNNNNNNNNNNNNNNNNNNNNNNNNNNNNNNNNNNNNNNNNNNNNNNNNNNNNNNNNNNNNNNNNNNNNNNNNNNNNNNNNNNNNNNNNNNNNNNNNNNNNNNNNNNNNNNNNNNNNNNNNNNNNNUCUUCACGGAUCACAAGAGUCUCCAACACAUCUUGAACCAGAAGGAGCUGAACAUGAGGCAACGAAGAUGGGUUGAAUUGCUAAACGAUUAUGAGUGCGAGAUCAAGUACCACCCAGGCAAGGCCAACGUGGUGGCUGACGCAUUAAGUCGGAAGGAGUACUCUAAUCGUCGUGCAAGAACUCUCUCAAUAACCAUUCAAUCUCACCUGACCACUCAAAUUGCAGUGGUCCAGUCGGAGGCCAUGAAGACGGAAAAUAAAGCAAGUGAAGCACUGCACGGAAUGGAAAAGAACCUAGAGACAAGGGAGAAUGGAGUAUACUACUUCAUGAACCGAAUUUGGGUCCCAAAAAUCGGAGGAUUUAGGGAGGUUGUUAUGAAGGAAGCCCACAAGACACGAUACUCCAUUCAUCCCGGUUCAGACAAGAUGUAUUUGGACAUUAAACAACACUAUUGGUGGCCUAACAUGAAGGCGGAAAUUGCGACCUACGUUAGUAAGUGCCUUACGUGCGCCAAGGUAAAGGUGGAGUACCAGAAACCCUCAGGAUUGUUACAGCAACCGGUAAUCCCUGAGUGGAAAUGGGAAGGGAUUUCUAUGGAUUUCGUGACCAAACUACCCAAGACGUCGGACGGACUGGACACCAUAUGGGUAAUAGUCGACCGACUGACGAAGUCUGCCCAUUUCCUACCUAUAAAAGAAUCCUACAAGAUGGAAAGAUUGACACGUUUGUACAUUCGAGAGAUCGUGAGACUCCACGGAAUACCAGUAUCUAUCAUCUUGGAUAGGGACAGUAGGUCCACUUCACGAUUUUGGCAAUCACUUCAUAAGGCGAUGGGAACAAACCUCGACAUGAGCACCGCUUAUCAUCCACAAACGGAUGGUCAAAGCGAGCGAACCAUCCAAACGCUCGAAGACAUGCUCCGCGCAUGCGUGAUAGACUUUGGGAAGUCUUGGGAUACCCACCUACCUUUAAUCGAGCUCUCAUAUAACAACAGUUAUCAUUCAAGCAUUAAGGUCGCUCCUUUCGAAGCAUUGUACGGGCGUAAGUGUAGAUCACCGUUAUGUUGGGCUGAAGUAGGUGACACCCAGCUAGCAAAAGCACUCACGUCGGAUCAGGCGCUUACGGGGCCGGAGAUCAUUCGUGAAACCACGGAAAAGAUCAUUCAAAUCAGAGCUCAAUUGCAAGCGUCGCGCGACCGACAAAAGAGCUAUCCCGAUAAGCGGCGAAAGCCCUUAGAAUUUCAAUUCGGAGAUCGAGUACUGUUAAAAGUCUCGCCUUGAAAAAGAGGGGUUAUAACCGAGAAAACCGAAUUUUCAAGGACUCAAACUGUUUUCAACUAAAAAUAUGCUGAAAAAUAUCAAUUUCAAUAAGUUUUGGUGUUAAAAUGUCAAGAAAAAUGGUUUAAGGACCAAACCGGUAAUUUUUUAAUAUAAAGGGUUGAAAAAGUAAAUUCGCAACAAAAAGAGGGGCUGUAACAGAAAAGCUGAAAUGUUAAUUCAAUACAUCCGUUGUGAUCAAACAUUGGCACCGCGACUAUCGACGUAAUACAAUACACAACAAUACCAAAAAUCGUUGUUAAACGAAUUGAUUCGGUCUCGAAUCAAUAACAAUCCGAAACUACUAACACGACGAUAACUCGACUCAUACACGAAAACAUUUGGUAAUUCAAUACACACGUGAGAGUGCACAGAUGUCUACNAUCAAUAACAAUCCGAAACUACUAACACGACGAUAACUCGACUCAUACACGAAAACAUUUGGUAAUUCAAUACACACGUGAGAGUGCACAGACGUCUACGCACCACCUUUGGGCCCAAAAGUGUAAAAUCUUGUUUGUUGGGCCUAGCUAGCCCGAUGACCUGAUCUUUAGGCCCGAAGACUCCAACCUUACGAGUUGUUGGGUCUUACAUGAUCCAACACAGCGUAAAAGGACUUUCAAUGGCUUUUUACUAUUGGUCCCCAAGGGUCCUUUGGUACUGCUAGUAAAGUCGGUUAUUCACAUGCGAGUGGGUCAAGGACCCUUCGUACAUUUUUUUUAUCCCCAACCGGCUAGUGGAGUUACCGAGGUCUUCGUGCCCUCUUUCUCUUCGGAUGCGGGACUACAAGAAGUCAGGGCGGUUGGAUUACGUGAAUAGUACGGACGACACCCACGGGAUCGUUUGUAUAAUUGUAAACUGGUCGUUUGCGUAACGCGUGUUUAUAAUAAUUCACAAUGCGCAAUAAUCCGACGUCGCCUGGAAUCAAUGACCUCACAUGCCACGAAUGCACAACAACUACAUGGAAUUCAAAGUGUUAGGAAAACAUCGGGUUUUCCUAGGGUUUUUCAAUACAUACAGUUUCGAAAUGUACACAAGUUCAACGAACACUUUUACAAUUAUAGAAAUAAACAAGCAUACUUAUGGAUCUUCACAAACUUUUUCAGAAACUCUUUUCAGAAAAUAUCGGAUUUUCUGGUGGUUUUCAAAAUAAUACAACACGUUGCUUUUUCAAAUACCGCUUAUGAACUCACCAACAUUUCAUAUGUUGACGUUUUUCAAAAUACUUGUAUUCUCAGGUAACAAGUGAAUUAAAGGAAACGUACUCAGUGAUGACUUGCAGUUUGUUUAUUUAUGAAUCAGACAAUUUGUUUUUGGGAAUGUAAUGUUAAAACAAUGUACUCAAUGUAAACUUUACCGGUUGUAUUAUAUUAAUGCAUGGUGACGAAUGAUGUUAUGUUUCAUACAUAUUCCAUGUUAUGGUAUUCAAUUAAGUCACAACAGCCCUCGGACGUUUCCGCCGUCUGGUUCGGGGGUGUGACAUUGUUUAUGCUCUCUGUUUAAUCCUUGGCAUUACUACUAUGAAUACUUUAUAACGUAGUUAGCGAGUUUCAUCAUUACGAAUGUUUCACAAAUUGUGACGAAAUUUGUAUUAUAAAUCCUACCAGUUCCUUUAUAACCGCUUGGUGUAUACUUGUCGCAUAUCAUUAAGAUUGCAAGGGCAUUCGGAUGGGUGACCCCGCCUUAAGCCCACAACCAAACAAGGAACAAGGAAUGAGGUGGAAUCACGCAUUCUAAGUCCAUAGAAUCAUAAUGAUAUAUGACCAUAAUGUUUACACUAGCCAUUAUAAACUCACUAGUAAAAGCCUUGUGUUUUUAUAUACGUGAUAAGACUUAUUUGAGUUUUGCCGUGUUCUUGAGAUUCAUGGUCGAUAUACUUUAAUUGAUGCUAGAUUUAGCAUAUAAAGAAAUUUAGAAUUUAAACGUCGAUGUUAGAAACACGUACUGAUAUUUGCGGGCAGUUCCGGGGUGGUCUCUCCUUCGGUGAUCGCAAGCACCCUUCCACCAUCACUGGCAUUUCUUUCUCUUGGGCAGUCCUUUUUAAAGUGUCCCGUUGCUCCACACUUGUAAUAGGUUGGGCUUACUCCAAAGCCAGGGACCUGGUUGAUGGGUCGUGUUGGUGCCUUAAAGAAACGGAUAAUGUGCCCCUCUUUGUCGCAAUUGUUGCAAUACAUCUAUCGGCAAGCCCCAAUGUGAUGGAAGUUACACUUGUUGCAUUUCAGAAGGGUUCCAGCAUAUUGUUUUAUGGGAGUUGGCGUGGUGAGGGUCGUGGCAGCAUGAACAGCAAUAAUCUGUUGCUUCUUAGCAAAGUCUUGGGCUGGUGGGUCCUUCUUGUUGUCCCAAAACUUUCUUUUGUUGUUCCCUCCUCUUGCUUGGUUAAGGGUGGUUGUCGUAGUGUCAUGGCUGGCAUGAUGGUCGAUGAGUUGUUGUGCCAACUCCUUGGCGCUAUCUAAGGUAGUUGGUCUUGAGGCCAAUACGCUAUCUUGAAUUUCGGGGGACAAUCCCCAGAGUUAUCAUUCCAACUUUUUGUCUUCCGGGGUGACCAUCGCGGGACAAAGGAUUGCUAGAUCACAGAAUCGGGUGGUGUAAGUUGUAAGGACGGAGCCUGUCAUUUUGAGAUUCCACAGUUCUUGCUCCAGCUUUUGCACUUCGCCUCUUGAGCUAUAUUCUUUCAGCAUCAUUUUCUUUAAGUCCUCCCAACUUAACUAGUUAGCCACUGCAAGUGUUAGUCAGUUAACGUGACUUUUCCACCAAGUGAGGGCCCAGCCAGAGAAAGUGUAUGCUGCAAAUUUGAUCUUGCUUGUUUCGGGGCAUGCAAAAAUUUCAAAGACCAUUUUGGUCUUUUCAAACCAUUGCAUCAAGGUGAUGACGCCCUCGCUUCCAUUGAAAGAAUCGGGCUUGGCACUAGAAAGUUCUUGUACGUACAUUCCCUCGUACGUCCUGUACUGUCCCCGUGGUUAGAGUUUGUCUCUCUAGAUCUAGCACCACCGGUACCAUUUGUACCAAUUUGUGACAUUGCAGCUGCCACGGCUGCUGUUACUGCAGCUUGGAACAUUGCGGGAUCAAACUAUGGAGGUGGCGUUAGAGGUGGUGGUGCUGUGCUGCCGGAAGGUCUGGGUCUUUUCCUUGGUGGCAUAGUUCUGUCAUAAGUUUGCAAAAAAAAAUGAUCAGAUGGUAAGUUCCCAAUAGUAAAGACAAGUCGGUUGUUAUUGAACUAGAUUUUUCUGUAUUAUGCUCCGAUUUAAGAAUGUCUUGCAUGUAAUUCAUAAAGGAAGUCCAUAUGAAUGAAUUUCAUGAGCUUAGUAGGUUUUGUAUCCAAGUGAAACCUUGAAAUUUGAUCCAAGCUAGGCCUUUCUUACGACCAUUUGAUGUAUGCUUAGUGGUAUGAUUAAGACUUAAUAGACCCUUGAGUCUGAUGGAUCUGCCGUAAACCCAUUUUGUUAAUAUGAUUCUAGAGAUUUUGGUUUCAGAGAAAUUUUUGACCUAAUUGCAGGUAUGUCUCACCUCUAUGCAAGGAAAAGUUUUUAUAACAACUCAAUCUUCUCAAUUAUUAUGACCACUUAAUUUGCAGUGUCAUGCUUACGCCUAGAAUAGAGUAGCACCAACGCAUACUCAUGAUCCUAAUUUACCAGGUCUUGUAAGCGGUAUGAACUCUACUCAUGACGAUCCAUUUCUUGUGAUGCCUGAGGCGAGGUCGAUGCAUCUUGCAGCUUUGCCAAUCGACGUUUGGCUGCAAUCAUCCUCUCUUUGAAUGUCGUGUGUCUAUCCUGUUACACUCUUUCCUCUUCAUGAGCGGUGAUAAGGUCCUAAAAAGAGAGUUGGUCUCGGGAAUAGUAGUCUAAUUCCGAGUCUCGGGUACAUGAGACGAUAGGGUCUGUAGUAGCGUGCAACUUUCAAACUUGGUUUGCAGUCUCCCUGUUUUAAAUCCUCGAUGUUCGCGAUCUGCCGGGUCUUUGCUGGGAGGGCCCUGUCAGUCGGUCCCCCGUGGUUGGGUUCAUAGCACCCUCGUUGGUCUCCACAUGGUGGUUGCUGUCAUUGCUGUCGACUUCAACCCUUGCUCAUGGUUGCCCAACGGGGCACGAGUUCGAUGUAGUCGAAACGGUUCGCGGGAACCCUUGUUAUGCAUGGAGGGUUGAUUACCGCUUCUGAUUCUCCUCAUAACCAUCCACAUUUUCUCGGGUUGGAAAAAUAGGGGUCGUUUGGUAAGUAGGAUCUUGCUAUGUUGUACGUGCGAGAAUAGGAGUGGAAGAGAUAAUUACUAGGCGUCUAAUUCUAUAAUUAAUUACUUAUAGGGGUGAUCCUUAUUAGUUACUUCUAAAAUGACAUAGUGCAUACUAAUUACAUAUAACAAGAUAUGAUAGACCUUCGAAUAAGUGAUCCUACCCUCAGUCCACAUCCAAACAAGGAAAAGGAAGUAAGGCAAUGACCACAAAUUCUAAGUCUAUGAUUUCUAAGUUAUAUAUAACUUUAGAGUAUCCACUUAGUGACUAUUGAUCUAUUAUUAAGAUCUAUUUAGUUUUCAUAUAAGUUAUGAUAUUACAAAAUACUCCUAUAGUAUUUUAAAUUUUAUGUUUGGUUCUAAUGUUCUCAUUGUGGUAGUGUUGGUAAGUUUUUAGACUUGUUGCCAUAUCAAAACCAUUCUUGGGCAUGUGCUAAUCACUCCUCGGAACAGCAUAGUUGAUCAGGCUAUGCCACCCCCAAGACUGACCAUACAUCCUCGAGCUUACCUGUGAUAUCCAACAAUCAUUACUUUUGUUUUGUUCUAGAAUGAUGCUGACCUUAGUAUGUAUGCAUGCAUGUAUACUUUUAAUAGGAAAUUAUUUAUUUCUAAAAGUAUAAUUGUUUUGAAAACUUUAAAUCAGAGACUUUCAGUCCCAAUGUAUUUAUAGUUUGUAUAUCUUAUGUGGUUCGAUAUACUGAGUUCACUAUAAACAAUGCUCUGAUACCAAUCUGUCACACCCCCAAACCAAGGAUGGCGGAAACGUCCGGGGGUGGCGGACUUCAUGUACAGUAUCACAACAACGUGUAUAAUAGUGCUCAAAGUAAAUACAACCAUCAUAAAUAUAAUUGAAAAAGUUACACCAAAGUAUAUGUUUACAUGUUUCAAAAUCAAUUACAUUAUGAUGACAAAAUAAAUUGUUGACGAUUUAACGUCCCAUCCUCAAAGCGCUGAAAUUUUCCUGUUUCACUGAUUUCCCAAGAAUACAAGUAGUUUUGAAAAAGUGUCAACAAUUAAGUUGGUGAGUUCAUAAGAGUUUUGUUUGAGGAAGAAACCGUUUUCCUUAUAAAAUCGAUAGAGUUUGAUUUCCAGAAAAUCCAAUAUUUUCUUAGUUAAGUGUGAAAAGAAUAUUGUUAUAUGAUAUGAUAAUGAACCCUAGAAAGACCCGUAGAUUUCUCCUAUAAUUGUCCAUCGUAUAUAAGUUAUAUAAGAUUUAAGUUAGAUAAACCGUUGAAUAUAGUGGGUCUGCCCUGGGUCCACAACCCAACGAGGAACAGGAGAUGAGGCGGGCUCACCAAUUCUAAGCCGAUCAAGACUAAAUUCUUAUACGACUCUAGCAUAUAUGCUCAUCGAUUAUAGCUGAAGUCUAACAAUUCUAAAUGAAAUAUAGUUUUAAUAUCAUAAUAACUAUUUUAUGUGAACCUGGUACUUUGUAUUUGUACCCUUUUUGUAUAAAAACCGGUACUUUGUAUUUGUACCUCUUUUUGUAUAAAAAACUGGUACUUUGUAUUUAUAACCUUUUUGUAUAAAAACCGGUACUUUGUAUUUGUACCCCUUUUCGUAUGAAAACCUCCUCUUUGUAUCUGUACCCCUUUUCGUAUGAAAACCUCCUCUUUGUAUCUGUACCCCUUUUCGUAUGAAAACCACCUCUUUGUAUCUGUACCCCUUUUCGUAUGAAAACCUAGUACUUUGUAUCUGUACCCCUUUUUGUAUGAAAACCUGGUACUUUGUAUUUGUACCCCUUUUCGUAUGAAAACCUGGUACUUUGUAUCUGUACCCCUUUUUGUAUGAAAACUUGGUACUUUGUAUCUGUACCCCUUUUUGUAUAAAACCGGUACUUUGUAUCUGUACCCCUUUUCGUAUAAAACCGGUACUUUGUGUUUGUACCCCUUUUCGUGUGAAAACCUUUUGUAAUGUAAAUGAUCAUAAACUAUACCUAUUAUAGUUUUUCAAAAUGUUUGAAAUGUACAUGCAACCUAACUAUACAUAUUAUAGUUUAGUAAGUUUAUUUGUGGUGUAUAAGAACCCUUUUCUAUGUAAGUCGAAUGUAUAGCACAAUAUAGCUAUGUUUAUCUUGCUUUGUUUUGUACUAAUGGUAAUGAUGGAGGAUUCUUACAAUUCAGUGAGUAUUUUCUAUUAUAUAAUUAUACCACUACAAGAAAUACAUGUAAUAUAUGAAGUCAUCAAAGAUUUAAAACUUUGCUCAACAUGUUACAAAGUGUUUUGAAAGUUAUAAGCUGUUAACUAAUUCUUAACCUUUCUGCACUGUUUUAGAAAGAUCAUAGAAAAAUCAUACGAAGUCGAAAACUGAAUCCAUAAAUUCUGAGAGUUCCUAAAAUGUGUCUAGUUUACUCAUAAUUUUUAUCAUGAUUUUUGGAAGUUUUUAACUCGUAUUAAAAUGCUCAUAUUCACAGACUGAUCCGGAUUUGUGUUUGAAAAGAUAGGCUGUUUUGUAAAAAUCACCAUCAAUUGUAGAAAAAUCGUGUGGAUAUGUGCAAGUAGUCAUUUUAAAGCUACGAACUGGAACUACUUGCACCUAAAACAGUUUUGAAAACUAAAAUGUUUAAGUUGUCCAAAACAGUCUGUGAAUGGAGUCCAACUUUUCUGAUAAAAGCUGUUAGAAAAGUUUAGUUAUGUUCUUGGUGUUUUAACUUGUAUUCCCACCCUAAAAACUUAAAAAAUCAUGAAAAUACAGGGGUAUGAACUCACCUGAUGUGAUUUCAGUAGAUGAUUGUUGAAGAAUAGAAGUGAUCAACUCAAGAACACUUGAAGAUGCCUUGAAGAUUUUCGAGAAUCUAACAUCAAAGUGAUGGAGUUUGUGUAAGCAAUCAAUGAUUUGAGUAGAAUGAAGUGCAAUAAUCACAAGGAGGAUGAAUUAUACUUACCAAGAGAAGAAUAAAGCUUGAAGAUCAGCCUUGGAGUCUUGAAAUAGAGAGAAAGAGUUUGAGAGAUAAGUUGUGUUUGAUUUUUGGUGAAAUGAGAGCAAGUGAAAGAAAAUGAGGAGAGAGGUUGAGUGACCAGCUCUAAAAACGUGGGAAUAACUUGUGAUAGAGGUAAAAAGUACAAGGAAGUGACAAGGUAUGGUAGGGAGGAGUGUGGGUUAUUCAUGGAGUGGGUAUGGGGGUUGCUUGUGUCAUAAUACAAAGAAAAGUCAACACUCAACCUUUGUACUUCACCCACUCUUCUUGGAUAAGGUUUUAUUCCCAAAAACAUGAUUAAUCAAUAAUUAGGGGGCCUUAUAUGUUAAAAUAAAAUUUUGGGUGAAAAUCCCACGUUAAAACGAUGAAAAACGAAGCUAAAAUGAAGUCGUAGUCGAAAACCAGGAAUAAAUGGGCUUCCCUGCGAGACCUCUCGGUCCUGGCCGAGGUUUGGUCCCUUCUGAUCAUGGGCCGAAGGCGAAAUGGAGCGAAAGGAGUAAGAUGCAAAAUGGACCGAAGGUUCGAUCCGAAGGGGAGGGUUCGGUCCCUUAUGCGAGGUUCGGUCCGAAGGGAGGGUUCGCUUCUGAUGCCUUCGCUUCUGAUGCUUUCGCUUCUGACAAGUUCACUUCUGACAAGUUCGGUUCCUAAGAGGGGUUUCGGGUCCUUAAGAGGGUUCGGAUCCUUAAGAGGGGUUUCGGGUCCUUAAGUCCUUUUUAUCCGUUUUUACCCCGUUUUAAGCGGUUUUUGACCCGGUUAAGGGUCAGGAUGGCCCGAAAGACUUUCAAAAAGUUACGGGAACUUUUGAGAGAGAUUUGGGAGAGAUUUCACAUACUUGGAGAGAUUUCUCAUACAAAGAGAGAUUUGGGAGAGAUUCCUCAUUCUUGGAGAGAUUCUCGAUAAAGAGAGAUAGAGUGAAAACGAUUGAGAGAGGUUUCGUGUGUGACAUUUGUGAGUGUCCGGCUUCGCAACGCAAGGUCCGUAAACCCCAUUAAGCCAUGUUUAAGGAUCUUACACACUCCCAAUGAGUAUGCAACAUUGUUUUAUCGGUUUGGUUCGUUACUUACCACAGUUUUUGGUUAAGGAAAUCUAGAUGUAUGAAAUUUUCAAUUUAUGAUCUCUCAUUAGAAUAGCGAGUUGUUUAGAAAUUACAUAACGUAAACCCUAGUAUACAAUGGUUAACUGAGGUGACCGGUCUGACUUGUUGACUUUAUUUGACUUUGACUUGACCAGAAUUUGACGGUUGUCACAGUCAAACUGGUCAACUCUUGGUCAAGGUCAAAGUCCUCAGUCAAAGUCAACCUUCCUGGUUGACUCUACUCGCCGAGUCCCCCGUCGACUCGCCGAGUUCCCUUACCUAGAAAACUCUCAUGAAACAACUUAACUUACCGAGUCGCCCCAAGACUCGCCGAGUCCAACGAUCCUUGAGUCCCAUCCUGUCCAACUCACUGAGUCGCCAACCGACUCACUAAUCCAAGGAUUUAACCAAAAGAGGUUGGGGUUCUGCAACCUGACUCGCAGAGUCCAAGAACAGACUCGCCGAGUCUAAGGCAAUCUUCAACAAACUCGCCGCGUUGUUCUUCCAACUCGUCGACUCCAUGUACGUGUUCAUACAACUCGUCGAGUACACCCAUGUGACUCGCCGAGUCUCUUCAGUUCUCAAUCCAUUCAUAGGCUUUUCGAGCCAUGCUGAGGCUCCAAUCCGUAGAUCCACCCUUCUACAAUCUAUCCUUCACAUAAAGUUGCAAACUUUACAUGAAACCAAAGAGAUAUAGGCCCAAAACACACUAGGGCUUGGGUUUUAGACAAAAGGGCUUCACCAACAAUUCAAUAACUGAUGCUUUAUGACUUUCUAGACCAAUGCAAGUCCAGAUCUGAAGUAGCAACCUCAGAUAUGGACUCCAAACCCGAAGUGGACCUCAAUCAUACCAAAAUGGCCCCAAAUCUCAUUCAAGAAUAAAUCUAGAAGCAACAAAGGAAAGGUAACAGCUCAUUACCUCCAAGAUGUGCCCAAAACUGCAGUAGAUUUUGGAUCUACACUACUUUCUUGAUGCAAACCCUUUUGAUCUUCAAGUUUCUUCCACUAGAACACCUCUCAAAGCUUCAAUCUCCCUCCAAUGGCCUUAUACACACGAGCUAGGGUUUACUGGAUCUCAAAGGGGGCUAAGGGAGCUGAGGGGAGGACAUUAAAUCCUUUAAAUAGGGUACAAACCCUAAGAUUUUGGUUUUUCUCAUCCCAGAACCAACUCGUCGAGUCCAGCUUCCGACUCGGCGAGUUGGUGACUUAAUUCGCGAUCCAAACACGCUCCGACUCAGCGAGUAAGCGUACCUACUCGUCGAGUCCCUUCUUCGAAAUUACACUUUAAACUCUUAAAUCGUACUUCUGAAAUUCAGGAUGUUACAUAUAAGUUACCAAUAGAUUCUGGAAGAACAUGGAUCUCCGUAUAUGAAAAAUCAAGAUACCUGAGAUGCACCAACUCUACAAUUGAAUCGUGUAACUUAUUUAUAUGGUAUCCUUUGAGUUUUAAGAUUCUCAUGCACUUGAAUCGUUCAAAUGAAAAAUUCUUCUCGACUUCACCCUCGAUGAACAAUGUGCGCAAAGUUCUAGCCACUGUAUCCCUUUCAAUGAACUUACAAAUCUUGCCUUCUAAUUCAUGAUAUAAUUGGUAAAAAAUGAGAUGCUUAACCUGGGGAAUACAAGCAAUGUCAUCAUUCUUCACACCCUUCAGACGUAAGUUUUCAUGUUUCGAAAGUGAUAACAAAAGAUCAUGCACCAGAUCAUGCAUACUACAAUGAGUGAUGUGACCAUACUCGUCCCUUUCAACAUCUUGGAACAAUGAAUUGCUGACCAAAAUUUGAAAAAUAUCAUUCCCCAAAUCCUCCAUCUCAUCCUUUGUGCUGCGUUCACCGCCGGCAACCAAUUUGUGAUUUGAUAUUCUAGUUCUAGGUUUUCGUUAUGAAUUUUGUUUUGAUUUAUUGAAGGUUAGUCCAGCAGACUCGCGAAUGAGAGCUGCCUCUAAAAGAAGGGUACUGAAAUCAAAUGAAAUCGAUAUCAAGGCAGAUAAGGCAUUUGAGCAUCGAAAAAAAUGUGUUAGACAUUGUUCAUUUUCAUCUUCAGAUUUCAUCGAGAAUCAUGUAAGACCUUUCUCCCUGCUCCCAAUUUUACUUGACAUUUGGAUGUCGUGACUGAUUUUGGGAGUCUAAUUUCGUGAUUGAGAGUGAAGGUAUUUCGGAGUUGAAUGAUGUGAUUUUUAUUUAUUUAUUUUUAAAUAUGCAUGAUUAGAUUUCCUUCUUACACCAUAUACCUCUGUCUUGUGUGAUUUCAUUAUAGUGUUAAGCCGUAAUUCGUAUUUUCACAUGAUUAUGUUCAGUUUUAUAUUUGUUGAGGUAAGGGUAAAUUUAUGACUCAGGGAGGAAAUUUGUACUUCGGUGUUGCAACCAUGUUUCAUUUUUAGGCCGGAACUGCCUUGUUAGGGGAGACCCUUCUUUCCAAAAAAUACAUGUUUCAUUUUAGGCGCUUUGUCUCUAGCAAAAUCCCAACAUUUUGAAUUUUACAGAGCUAGAUUAAUUUAGUUAUUUGAUCUUUACCAUGUUCAAAUUAGUAGCAGGAUACUUAAGAAAUGUGCUAAUAAGUAACAGAUUAUGUUUAAUUUUUAGGUAUAUGGGUUUGUUUAUAUGGAAGAACCAUGUCUAGAAUGCUUGUUAUGAAGUUCUCUUUAUUGAUUGAUAGGUUCUUGUAGCCGCACUCACUUGACGACUUUGACAGGAUCAAGAUGAUGCUGGCAAUGAUAAAGGUAACUUAACUCUCAGUUUGCAGUUUUAAAGUUUGAAUCAAUGCCAAACUGUUGCUAGAAUAUGGCUUUUCAGUGAUGCCUAUUUCGGAUGAUUUUUUUUUUUCUUAUUGGUCUUAAUAUGAUAGUUAAACACUUAUUUUUGUAGUGCAGUUGCAUCUUUUUUCUAAUGUAUGCAAUAAAAAUUGAUUUUUUUUACCCAUCUGUACAGCCAUUUUUCAUAUUGAAAUCAGUGAUAUGCUUCAGUUUACCAAAUUGGUUGCAUAAAAUUGUAAUAACUUGAAACAUGGCUUCGUAAAUUGCUAAAAUGUAUAAUUUUUAUUUGAGCACUCAUAGCAAUUGUAAUAAUUUGUUAUCUUGCAGAAGGCUGGAGUUGUAAGGCAAGAGCAAGCUAAGAUUAAAGAAGGAAACCACAGCCUAAUAUCAUUUAAGAAUUAUAAACAUUGAUCCUGAUCUGAUAUGAUUAUGUUUCCAAAUGCAAUAUAUUUUUCAUAAUUAUUUACAUAAGAGUAUAAAAUGUCAUAUGACAAUUAUAAAAAAUAAUAGAUAAAAAGUAAUUUAUAAGGUAUCAUUAUGUUUCCAAAUGCAAUAUAUUCUCGCUUAUGCUCUUAGUUGUUUAUAUUCAAAUUGAGAUUGAAAUUUACUAGUGUUUGUUUUUAUAUACAAACCAGCUCUAUUUUGUAAGCAUUUUUUUUUAAUGUAACAGAGUUUGUUUAUUGAAUCCAUAGCAUACAAACAGUCAUAUAUUAGUGACAUGGUUAUUGGCAGGUGGAUUUAUGUGAGUUUGACUAUGACUAGAGACAGAGUACCUUAUUCCAAAAGGACCAAGCCAUCGAGGUGAACCCUACAACAUAUGAUUCAGAAAGUGAAAAGAGAGUUUAUUAUUGAGGCAGAGGAGGAAUGAGUGAUACACCAUCAGUUGGACUUUUAUACAUCUUUUUAAUCUAGUUUGACAUUAGUUGCUUCCCACAGUGCUCCCCGUCUUACCUUUUCUUUAGUUAGGCACUUGCACCUAACGAAACUCAUGUCACGAAUAGAUGACAUGUUGGUUAACCACAUGGGCAGUUUUCGUGUUCCAAAUUCUCUUAUGAUUAACCUAGUCAGUGAAGUGAGGUGCUGUAUUUCUUCAGGAAUUGACUCCCAAUGAUCCUAAUCUCUCAAACAUUUCAUGUGGCAAGGAAGCCAGUUUGUCGCAAUUGGCAAUUCGCAAAGUCUUCAAAGAAUGACACUCGUUGGGAAAAUUGGCUAUUACCGAAAGACUUGGACAGCUGCCGAUUACUAAAGAUUCAAGAGAUGUGAGGCCUUGUAUGCUCUUAAUGUACUCCAGACCUGUGCAGUACCAUAUCCUUAAGGACACAAGAGGAUGGGGAUGGCAUUCAUCUAACACGAUAAUCUUUGGGCAAUAAAAAAUCUCCAACUUCUCGAGGACAGGAGAUAUCAUUUUUGAGCUGUUGGGUGCUCCAUCUAUCCACUUUUCCAGUCUUUUCAUACCAUCUAGUCGGAGCCAUCUCAAUGAUGGAGACAAAUGCUUCGCUGAUCCAGUAACAUCGGAACUCCUUAAGCAUGUCAAGCUGUCCAUAUGCUCCAACACAAGAUCCCAAAGAUGUGGCAGGUUCUCAAGCAUCGGAAGAGAGAGGCAGCUCCUACAGUCAGAUAAUUUGAUUGACACAAGCUUGUCAAGAGGCAUCCAUUUCCCUUCAAUAUGGAUUGCCAUCUUCAUUACCCAAUCUGGAAAAUUAUCACCACAAAAAUAGUCAAUUCUCAAUAUUUUCACAUCUCUUGGUGGUUGCAAGCCUUCCAAUACAUCCUUGUUUCUGUCAGCACCUCGAUUGCUACUCCAACUGAAUUCAAUCUCGUUUAAACUUUUUUUUCCAGAUAAAUCUGCCAUGACUGCAUCCUCUUUGCUACUAAUAUUUUCUAGAUUGAAAAUACAGAGCUUUCCACUGAGGUGUUUUAACCGGCUUAGCUCUUUAAUACCGCGUCCCUCAUUUUUAAGCAAACUGAAGGAAUUAGGCACUAAUGUUCUAAGAGAAGUCAAUUGUCCCAAUAUAUUCUUGGGAAUGCUUCUAAAAGACUUGCAAUAUCGCAGGCUUAUCAAAUUUCUCAUGGAUUCUGGAAACUUGUUAAGGUAAUAGCAAUUUUGCAACUUCAGAGUUUGCAAGUGGUAUAAUUUACCAAUAGAAUCAGGAAGAACACGGAUAUCCGUAUAUGACAAAUCAAGAUACCUGAGAUGCAUCAACCCUCCAAUUGAAUCGUCUAUCUUCUUUAUUCCAGAUCUUUUGAGUUUUAGAAUACGCAUGCACUUGUAUCGUUGAAAUGAAACAUUCUUUUCAACUUCACUCCUAAAGAAGAAUGUAGCCCAUGUUCUAGCCAUCAUUCUCCUUUCAAUGAGAAAGAAAACGUUGGUAUUUUCUCGGCAAAAGUCAUCUUUCAUCACACCCACCAGACAUUUGCUUUCAAGAUUGGAAAGUGAUAAUGAAAGAUCAUGCACCAGAUCAUGCAUGCUACAACGAGUGAUGUGACCGUACUCAUCCCUAUCAACAACUUGGAACAAUGAAUUGUUGACCAAAUUUUGAAAAAUAUCAUUUCCGACAUCCUCCAUCUCCUUGUUUUUUUCCUCAUCUGCUUGAACCAACCCUAAAGCCAUCCAAAGUUGGACCAGUUCUUCCCUUUUCAUCACCUUAUCUUUCUUAAAGAUAGAACAAGAUGCAAAACAUUGUUUGGCGAUAGAACGUCUAGGCAGAUUAUCUAAGCUAAGUUCCAAACUCUUUUGAACUCUCUCCGUUUCAUCUUCUAGAUCCCAAACUUUGCUAUUUCUGAUCGCCAACCACUUCUUUGGGUCGUUGUAAUUUUGCAACACCCCUCCUACUACCUUUACCAGCAAAGGCAAACCACGACACUUUUUCACAAUAUCAUGCCCUAUCUUCUCCAAUUCGGGUGGUGGUGAUUGUCCUGCUAGAAAGGCCCUCUCUUUAAAGAUAUUCCAGCAAUGAUCAUCAGAAAGACCUUUUAAAGGACAUGAAUCCAUUGUCAUAGCCUUUGUUCCUAUGUCAAGUUUUCGGGUAGUGACAAUAACGCCACUUCCAAUUUUAGACUUUAUCAUCAUCAUAUGCCUCUUAAAUUCUUCCCAGUGUGAUCUCUCUUCAUCCCAAACGUCAUCCAGGACUAGUAAAUACCUUUUUGAGCCCAAUUUCUCUUCAAGAUAGCUAAUUAAAUUGACCAUAGUUUCCGACUUCGGUUUCUCUCGUGCAAGAGAUUCAUAAAUCUUUGCAAGAAGUGUGUUGAUGUCAGCCUUAACCGACACACACAGCCAAGCUUUAACAUCAAAAUGUUGCUGGAUUUUUGGAUUAUUGAAGAUGGACUUAGCCAGAGUGGUCUUUCCCAUCCCGCCCAUUCCCACAAUGGGAACAAUCGUAAGCUUUUCUUCUUUCCUUGACUCGGUUAGAAGGUGUAUGAUGCGCUCUUCAUCAUCCUCCCUCCCAACAAUUUUGAAUUCCUCUAAAUUUGGGACAGUCUCGGGAUAUGGACGAUAUUGAACAACAGGGCCAGGCUGUUCAUUUUGUAGUCCCAAUUCGUUUGCAUCCUUAUUGAUUUGAGACAACUUUUCGUUAAUGUUUUUGAUCUUAUGACCCAUUUCUCUACGAAAUAAAACCUUUUUCAAGCUUGGAAGAGAGGGUACCUUUAUUCCCACCUGAUCGCUAUUCUUUACCUCACGCCUCAACAUUUCGUAGUGAACCUCAUCCAUCACAUCAUCAGCUUCACCAACAACAUCUUUUAGCUGUUUCAGCCACUCCAUCACCCCAUGUUUUUGACCUUUUUCAUUCUCUGCAUCCUGUAACUUGGCACGGAUCAUUUUCAAGGUCACUUCAAGUGUGUGCAACUUCUCUUUGUAACCCCAAACAAUGCCGAUUUCGCUGGCGGCUAUGGAUGCCACCUUUUUCAGAAUCGCCUCGGCAACAACAGUAACUAAAGCGUCGGCCAUUUUCACUGGUGUGUGUGUGUGNAAACGUAACCACAAGUCAGAACUCACAAUAAAGGGGUAUGAAGAAUAGACCCAUUGAUUAAAGAAAAAAGAAAACUAUUACAUAUUCGAUAUUAGUUUUGAAGUAAUUUAAAAAAUUUAGUUAAAAUGCUUAAUAACUUUUUACUAAACAGCUAAAAAUAACAUUUUCAGAAAAUAGCCAACUAAAUCAUAUGUGAUUAAGUUUCAGCAGCUUCCCAACUGUCGCUAUAUUGGGCUACGAAAUGGAUCCAUUUUAAACUAAUGGGCCGGAAGUAUAAAACCUUAAAAAGGUAUAACCCUUAUUUUCACUCUUUCAACUUUAAGAAAUUUUAUCAACUAUAACUCAAAAUCAAUUUUCACAUGUCGACUUGAUAAGUACAUCACAGAAAAUCAACAUGUACAUAAAAAACAAAAUCGAGCAUAAGAAAUCGGAGGUGGUUAUGGUGGCAUAACCACCUCCAAUUUCAUUGACUAUUUUCGAAAAAAAUCGAUUUUUUAGGUUAUUUUUUAAAAUUAAUAGAUCAUUAAGGUAUUUAGUUAAAUUUGUAAAUUUUUAUUAAUUUUGUAGGUUAUUUGAUAUAUAUUUGUUACUAAUUGUAUCCUAUAUUUAAUUUUUUAUUGUCUUUUUCAGUCUUUUGUUGUUUUUUUCUUUUAUUAGUAUUAUUUAAAUUAUUUGAUUUAUACAUUAUUAAUAUUAUUAUUAUUAUUAUUAUUAUUAUUAUUAUUAUUAUUAUUAGAUAGACAUUCUAAAUCACAAUAACUUAAAUAAUAAUGCUAAAACAUAGAAAUCUUUUACAAAUUAUGAGUGAUAAUUAUUUUAGAAUAUUUAUAUUUUGUGAAUUGGCUUUUACUCUAUAAAUAGAGGGGGAUGAUCAUUAGUUUUUGUAUCCACCAAACAUGUAGUCUUUGUCUAGUUAGAGAAAAUGUGGGAAUUAUCUCUCCCAACCCAAGUGUUCUUUAUUGUAUAUUUUCUCUCUUUAAGUAAAUUAUCUGAUAACUCAUCUUUUUGUGUUCUUGAUAUUCUAAAUACUUUUAAUAUACAUUUAUAUGAAUUAUUAAUGGUAAAAUAAAAAUGAAAUGUUUAUACAUACACACUACCCCACCUAUUAUAUUAUGUACUAAGCGGACAUCUACGUGUUGUGCAAAAUAAAACUAUAUAGUUAAAAUUUGACGAAUACAUGUCGAAAAUAAUUAUGUUAUUGAUAUUAACUAUGAAAUAAUAAUUUCUUACACUAACUUGAUAUACAAAAAUUAUUUUGAACUAUAUUAUAACAUUUAUUAAAACCAAUAUAUCAUAUCAUUUAAUAGUCGUUACUCAUGUUGGGUACGAAUAAAACUAAAUAUGGUUAUUGAUUUAGUGUUACUUUUAACAUUCUGAUUAAUUAAUUUAUAAAUUACUUAUUUAACCAUUUUUUUUUAAUUUCUAUCAUAACGAUUAUUUAAAAUACAACCAUUAGUCGUAAGGUAACAUAAUAUAAUUUAUAACUUUAAGUUAUUUUUAUUUAUUAUUAUUGUUAAUUAGUUUAAACACUACUUAUUUUGGAAAAAAAUCAAUUAUUAUAAUAAAUAGUUUUGGAUGUUUUACUUAAUUUGACAUGUCAAUUUAAGUUUUACAUUUAACAUUUUAAGAAUAUUAUAUUGAUAAUUCCAAGAAUCAUCCGUAAAUAUGAUUAUAGAUUUAAUAUUUAAUAACAUGCUUAAAUUUCUAAAAUAAAUUAUUAGGUUGAAAGUUCAAAACUUUGUCGAGUCUCAAAUGCGUAUGGUGCAAGUAAAAAUGCAUAUUGUUUGCGAAGCUUUAUAAGUUAGGUUUGAUAUAAAUUAAUAUUCAAUGGAAUGUAUCUUAAUAACAUUGAGACUUUUACUCAUUAAAUUUAUCUUUAUAUGUUAAUUAAGUUAAAAUAUUAUUUGAAUAAUACAAACUUUUAGUUUUUAACAACUACUUUUUAUCAAUUAUGUAACAUCCAGUUCCAGGUAAACUUUCUCUUACGUUUUUAACAAUUAAAAUGAUCAAAAAUUAUAAAUUUUGAGGGCCAUGGCAUGAUGAAGGAUGCACCAAAACGUAGCGAGGGCUUGGCCACGACGUGGCGAUUGUCAGGAUGCAAACCUUAAAUUUUCAGGUUUUGAGCCUUAUUUAAGGGAUGUGAUGGCUAGGGUUUGCCCACCGUCAGCCUCCAUCACCUCCCUUUUCACCCUCACGAAAACUGUAACAUCCCAAAAUUAAUACCAAAAAAUUUCAUUUUUAAAUUAAUAAAAUUAUUAUCCAAAACAUCAUCAUGAAAACCAUAGAGGAACAAAGUGUAUCAAAUACAUCAUAAACAUCAAAGUAAAUAUAAAAUGCGGAAUGAGGUGGUGUGUGCACUGCAUCAUCCCGGGCUCUUACCCUUCGAAUCAGAAGGACUUGAAACAUAAACUGAAAACCAUAAGCACAAAGAUUAGUGAGUUUCCCAAAAUAUCACAUAUCAUACAUAAUAAACAUGUAAUGGGCCCCACCUGUCAUCGGACCCUUCCCGGCAUCAGGCCCCACUUGCUAUACAGAUAUGUGACUCAUCGGACCCCGCCCAAUAUACAUAUAAACACACAACACAUGCAAUAAUCACGAAGAUAAAUAGCAUAUAGAAUGGUCAUCGGGCCCUACCCGGUAAGCAUAUAAGCACAUAAUGUUGGAUUUAGGUGUCUAAGCCCAUAACUAUAAUUGGUAUGUACUUGAUUUGAUAUGUAGCAUGGUCCUUUUGGGUUGCCUUCACACAUGCAACUUGACAGGAUGACUAAUGGGUAGAGAGAGUAGGAUUUAUUAUUUGAAUAAUAAAUUGGUACUCAGAAUGAUUUUAUUAAUAUAUUAUUUGGAAAUCAUAUUAUUAAUUAGUAAUUAAUCAGAAAUUAAUUUGAUAUUGAUUUUGGGAUUAAAGGAAUUGAUUAAUAAUGGAUGGGUUGUUUUGCAAUUCAUUGAUAGUUGUAAAAUUGGGCUUGGGGCUCCUUGUAAGUAGAGUGGACGAAAUUUAUGGGUGACCUCAUAAGAUUUCGUCCAAGGGCUCAUUAAGGAGGUCCAUGGGUUGCUUUAGGCUUAAGUUAGGAACUAGGGUUUCCUUAUUCAAGUCCAGCUUAAAGGUUAAGCAACCUAGCCAUAUAUAAACCCUUUUAACCUAAGAAAUUUUGGCCCCCUAUGCAUUCUAAGAGAACCCUAGCCGAUUUCCUCAUCUCUCCUACUCAUCCUUUGCAUUGAGUGUUUGUGACUCCAUUAGAGGUGCAACACUUAGGGCACUAGGCUUUCAGAAGUCAAGAUCAAGCAAUGAUUGUUCUUGUUAUUAAAAUAUAACAAGUGUGGUAAUCUUCUAACACUAAUAUAUAUGUGAAUUUCGAAAUUGUAUAUACUAGAUCUAGAUUUAUUGCUUUGGUGUUCGUAUUUGUAUGAUUCAAUAGAGAAAAACUUAGAUCCAAAGCAAUUAGGCUUGCAUGAUCACAUAGGAAUGUAGAUAUGCUUAAAACCCAUCAGUGGUAUCAGAGCCUAGGAUGUUUUUCAAUUGAAUUAGUGUAAGAGUGAACUGUCCAAAGUGAUUAAAAAUCGUUUUUAGCUGUCUGACAUAAGAACUCGACGAGUCCAUGAUGAACUCGACGAGUUCAGAGCCCAACUCGACGAGUUGACUCGUCUGUUACCUAAAAUUUUGAUUUUUUUGAUUUGGAUAAUUACCAUAACUCGUUUUUAUUGCCUAAAAUCAAUUUUUCUGAUAGUUAACAUGAUAUCCUUAUCAAAAUUAAAGGAUUCGGUUAAAUUUGGAUAAUAUAAGAGUAUUUUGAUUCAAAGAUUAACCUAGCAAUUUUGAAAAGUUUUAAAAUACACCCUUUGAUUUUAUAGUUUGAAUUUGAAAUUAAAAGUUUUGAUUUUUGGAAAUUUAAAUGGUUAAACCCUAGUAUUUUAAACAUGUAACUCCCCGACUCUCAUGUAUUUAUUUUACAGCUUUAUUUUUCAUCUUGAAAAGUUGACUCGACGAGUCGGAUGCCCUGACUCGUUAAUUAGGAAUGGAUUUGGUCACGUGGCUUAAGUGACUAACUCGACGAGUUGGAGCUGAAGGAUGAAACCCUAAUUUUCGGGGUUUCACACCCUAUUUAAAGGAUCAUUAGCCUCCCUUGGCCUCCCCUCACCGUCCCCUUGAGCUCUAAAACCCUAAUUCGUGUGUGCACUCCAUUUUGGUGAUUUUCGAGCUUGGAAGGUGAUUUGCAAGAAGAAGAUUUGAAGUAUAAGAGGAUUGGUGCAAAGAGGAGCUAGUGGAUCUGACUCUUCUGCUUAUUGGCAUCAGUUUGAAGGUAACAAGUCGUUACCUUCACCUUCCCUCCUUCUAGAUCUCUUUAUGUUUAAGAUUAGGGCUUUUCUAGCAUGUAUAUUAACCAUUUUUGGGUAUGGGCUAGGAUUUGAAGUUGUAACUUCAGAUCUGAGCUUAUAUUGAUCUCUAUAGAUAUAAAGUCUCCAGCUUUAGCAAUUAUGAACCUUCCCUUUUGAGUUAAACCCCAUUAUAAGCUUGGAUUUGACAUUCUAAGCCUUUAGAGCCUUGCAUGCACGUAAAGUUUGCAACUUUACAUAAUAAACAUGCCUUGGGAAGCUUGAUCUACAAUAUGGAGCUUUGGGGUGGCUUAAAAGCAUCUGAAUGGAGAAAUGACUGAAGGGACUCGACGAGUUCUUGGCCAACUUGGCGAGUCCGAUGAAGAUUGCCACACAAGGAUUUCUGCAUGAACUCGACGAGUCAGUAGGACGACUCGGCGAGUCAGCCAGGGUUUUCCCGACGUUUGAACAUGCAUGGAUUCGGAAAGUUGCAAGGAAACUCGACGAAUCAACUAGGGGGAUUCACGACUUCUCGAGUUCUGGAAGGACUCGACAAGUCAGUAAGCUGCACUCGAUGAGUUGGGCCAACAUGGACUGUUGACCUUGACCAUUGACUUUAAAUUUGACCAUGGAAUGACUAGUUGACUUCUGGGGUAUUUUGGUAAAUUGGAAAUUUAUGGAAAUGGUCUUAUGGUAAAUAUAGGUGGUGAAGUUUGUGGUCGUGUUUCGAAAGUUUGAGUUUAUCACUUCGAUUUGACAGUUGAGAGGUGAGUUAUCCUCACCAUACUAAGGGGUCGAAAGCACCAAUGCCGGUCCAUUGGAUAAGAUAACCUAGCAGUUAGUAGUAGGUCGAGUAUGAGUUAGUUAUGCAUGCUAGUUGAUAUGUUAGUUUGGUAGAUAUGUGGGACUACCUGUAUUAUUAUGUGAUUAUAUGUAUGUCCAUUAGUUAUGUUAUAUGUCGACAUAUUAUGUGGGUUAGGUUGAGGUUGUACUGCUCUGUGCGAUAGCCAACAAACCUUAGAGUAUUCUAGAUAUGAGUUGAGAGUCGGGCGGGGCAUGCCAAACUCAUAUAGAGGACUUGGGAGCAUUCCAGAUACAAGCUGAGGGCCGAGUAGGGCAUGCCAUACUCGUACUGUGGGCUCGGGAGCAUUCCAGAUACGAGCUGAGGGUCGGGUAGGGCAUACCAGACUCAUACUGUGGGCUCAAAGGCAAUCUAGAUGUGAGAUGUGGGCCCGGAAGGCAAGCCGGACUCACACAGUGGGCCCAGGAGUAAUCCAGUCUAUAAAGUUGUGGAACCAAUAUAUGUUGUUAUUUGUAUAUGUGCUAUUUGUUGUGUAUCGGUAUUUUGGGGGAAAGCACCAAGCUUUGGGCUUACAGUUUCAGUUUUUGUUUUCGGUACAUUACAUGAUCAUGGGAAGGCAAAGGCGUGGUCGUACAACUCCUCAUGUUUAUGACUUUGUUUCUGGGAUACUCUGAUAUUAUGCUAUAUUGAAAAAAAGUUUUGUAAUGAUUAAUGUUUUUGAAAUGUUUUUAAAAGUUUAAAUUUGGCAUGAUUUUUAUGGACGUUACAAAACAGUUUAAAAUUACACCCUCAUGGAUUUUAUUAAAAACUAAUUUAAGUGUUUAAUUAAUAGAGAAAAUUAAUAAAUCCACAAUAAUAUGGUUUAAAUUUAAUUAAAUUAAAAGUCUAAUUUAUUAAAGGAUUAAACCACUUAGUAUUUUAAAAGUUUAAAAUACAUCCUUAUACUAUAUAACAUUAAAAGUCUAUAUAUAUAUAUAUAUAUNUUUAAAAGGUUUAAAAUACACCCUUAUACUAUAUAAAAUUAAAAUUCUAAUAUAUUAUAUAUAUAUAAGAAAAGUUAGUCUUACCAUUAGUAGGCCUCAUUCACGAAGCUGGACUAUAAGGGGUGUUUAUAGAAGCAUCCUGUAAAAUGACCGUCAUUGGGUGUCCACUCUUACCCACCACACUCUUGACUAGUGGAGGAUUAUUAGCCAAACGAGUAGGAUAGGACUCUAAAUCCUCAUUAAAAGUAUAAUGAAUUAUAAAUUAGCUAAACGCCUUUAUAAAUUCCCAAUCUUAGUUACUUUAGGAAAAAUGUGAAUUUGAUGCUAACCUAUGAAAUUGCACAUUGUACCUUAUGGGUCGUUAGUGGAGCGUGUGUAGUUAACCAGCACACUAAUAUGGGACUAAUGAAUGAUGGCAAUUGGUAGCUCAUAAAUUAUUGUUGAUCAAUGGAGCGUAUGUGGUUAACCGGCACAUUAGUUAGAUGAUAAAUGACAUCGAGAGUACCAAGAUAAUUUACAUGGAUAUUCACACCUUGUUUGUGAUCCUUGGUAUCCCAGUCACAAACUUGAAGGGCAUAAUCGAGAUUAAACAUGCCAUUGAAAAGUUCAAUGAAUCUCAAAAAUAUCUUGGAAUUUCAUUUAAAACCUAAUUCGUCAAAAUUUCGUUUUCGUGGUGAAAUUGGUAGAUCGUCAUUUACCUACCUUCAAAUAAUUUGCAAUUGGAUUAGGCAUCCCUCUUCCGAAUUGUGAAUUAUUGUGUUGGGUCCUAGCCUUAAUAUUUCAUUUGGGUGUUAUAUUGAGGAUUAAAUCAACUAACUUGAAUUCUCCCUUUGUAGAUGUCUAGUUCUGACAACUAUAGUCUUACUCAAUCCUUUGGAAAAAGCUUUCCUCAUAAAGAUGAUAUUCCACGUGUCGAUCGAGGUGAAAGAUCAAUCCCUUCUUCAUGCAUUGAUGGAACUGGAAGUCAUACUUCUCUUCCUCCACGUCCUCCAGUGAUUCUCCCUAACCCAAGUUUUUGUCAACUUGAAAAGUACAAGGUUACUUAAUCCCUGUUGGAAUGCAAACACUUAGAUGGAAACUCUGUGUAUGCACAUGUUCUAAACGUGGAAGUUGCACAUUGACAGAUUGUGAAUGUGGGUGUCAUUUUCCCAAAGGAGCUUGUUGUUGACUUGGUUCUUCAAUCACUUCCCGAUUCGUAUAUUUAAUUCGUUAAGGAUUACUAUAUGACAAAUCACGACGUGACCCUCAUAAAUCUGACAUAUUUGCUAAUUGCUGCUGAAUCAGCAAUGAUUUGAUGCAGUGGUAAAUCAAAAUUGAUUGAAAGAUCUACCUCCCAAAUUUCCCUAGUGUAGGUAAUGACGACGUUAAUAGUCCAUAAAUGAUUUCCCUGGCAGCUAUUGUCUUAGUGCCUAACAAAGAACCCUGGCAACUAUUGUCUUAGUGCCUAACAAAGAACCAUGACAGCUGUUGUCUUAGUGCCUAAUAAAGAACCCUGACAGUUAUUGUCUUAGUGCCUUAUGAAGAACCUUGGCAGCUAUGGAUUUAGUACAGUUAAGUGAACCUUGGUGACUAUAGAGUUAGCGCCUGUUAAGUGAACCUUGGUGACUAUGGAGUUAGCGCCUGAUAACUAUGGACUUAGUACCUGAUAGAUAAACUUUGGCAGCAAUGGACUUUGUGCCAAUUCCUUAGGUCAAUCCUUAGGAACGGAUGAAUAAAGGAUAGUUGAUUCUUAGGAUAAAACCCUAAGAAUAAAGAAGAUAAUGGGGAUGGGUAAUUGGGUUGAUUGUUUAAUGAUUAAAUAUAAUAAUUAUAUUAUUGUGGGUUGAAAACCCUAUAUGCUCACCAGGCUCCCAAGCUUGACCCUCUCAGUUUUCUUUGUAUUACAGGUUAUGGCACAAGAGCAUAAGUUGGCUGACAUAACGAGAGAUUUUGGAUUAUAAGCCAGUAGUUAUAAAUAAUUAUUGUAAGGUCUAUUUUGUUCUGUUUAUGAUUUUGGUCUGUAUUGAACAUGACCUCCUGAGAUUUUGAUAUAUAAUAAAAAUACAUUUCUUUGAAGAAAUGCUUUGAUAAAUUCUUAUCACAUUUUGUUUUGGGAACAAAUUCUGCAACUCUUUUAAUCAAAGGAUUGCUCUGAUUUUAUAAAACAUAGAAUAAACAAAUCGGUCUUUUCUGGCCGUGAAAUUGGGGAUGUCACAUCAGUCAAACAUCAUUGAUUUAUCACUAAGUCUUAUAACUAGGCGUUACAGUGUGAUACUAGGUUGCCGCCUACAGCUCCUCUGCAUAUGUAAUCUAGAAACUGAAAGUAUUAGGCUUAAAAUUGAUAUGUCAAGUAUAGAUGUUUGAUAUGGGUGUUCUGGUCAUCAAUCUCGUUUUCUUGAUUUGUUAGACCAUCUGUUGAUAGACUCAUGCCUACUGCUAGGUUAGAAUGUUCAGAUGGAGCAGAGUUAACCCUGCAUCUAGCGGCAGGAAUGCGAGGGUUAGUUAACCUAGCCACGAUUUGAGGUUCGGGAGUGGUGCUUAUAGACAAAGAACCACUGAGUGCAGAUGCGUAAGUAAGAGAAGCUGAUGACAUCGUGUGAGGAUGUUUUGGGCUCGAAACGUAAAGCUUACAUGGAAACUAGAUCUUGGUGAAGACCAAAAUAUGCAAAGAAAUAGUGUGUUCGUCGCUCCUUACAUGUUUUGAACCAGGCGAGAGGGAUGAGAUGGAAAUACGAGAGUGACAUAGAAAAAAUUAGGGUCGGAUUUAAGAACCCUAAAUCAUCGGCUCAAAUUGAUAACUGGGAGGUAAGAAACCUAAAUCCUCAGCUCAUUAGGGUCGAAUUAUGAGUGUAAGAACUUUUUGGAACCGAGAAUUAGGUUUUUGGUGGAGGUGAUGGACCGAGGAAUUGAGGAAGCUAUGGAUGAAGACAAAGGCCCUAAUUCGAAGAGGCGGGGAAUUUUUGGGAUGAAUAGGCGGGGGUUAAGUUUUUGGAUUUCAUUUUUCCCCCUAAAAACGCGUGUUUCCUUAAAAAAUAUAUAUAGUGACACAGUUACACGACACACAUUUUUUGAUAGGUGCUCUCCGUAUUUUUUUUUUUUUUCUGACACUAAUUUUAGGGCAUGCAAAAAUGCGUGUCCUCUAUCCUUCAAAUUUUGGAAAACUGACAUUAAUUUUUAGGGCAUGUACAAAUGUGCGUCCUCUAUCAGUGUGUGUCAUUAAUUGCACGUCGUAAAAGGCUAUUUUUCUAGUAGUGCUAGUACACAUUGAUGUGGACUGGUUGGAUCCACCACAAAGGACGAUAAAAUAUGUUCGUCAUGAUUUACUAGUAUAAGUGUAAUUCCGAUAUCUUUGAAAAGUUUCAAAGAAUGGUUGAACGAAUAAGAAGAAUCUAUUAGGCAGAAAGAUAAAAGUUUCUCCAAUCUGAAAGGAAAGGAGAGUACUUUAGUAUCAUGUUUUAUGAUUAUCCUAAUGAUUUUAGAACCAUGUCACAAGUGAUCCUUCUAAGGACACCUUAGUGUAUUAAUAUGACUAAGAAUAAGAAUCAAGAAUUGUUGACAUGGUUAAAUCAAAAGGAUAAAUCAUACUUCGUUCCAAAAUAAAGUUUUAGAGUCACACUUUAGUUACUCCAAGUUGUGCCUUGAGUAACAUGUUCUAAGUAGGUUUGUAACACAUGAAAUGUAGAGUAGAUCUUACUCUUGCACAUUUGGAAUUGUUAGUUGUGAUGUUUUGGAUAAAACAAAGACCAACUAAGACCAAUUAUAUGAAGUGUUGUCUUGAUAAGAACCCACACUAACUCUUGAAUAUUUGUUUGUUGAGGAAUGUUCCUUGACAGAGAAUCCUAUAUGUCAGGUGGUCAGUAGGAGUCUAAUGGUCUUGAAUAGUUUCAGGAACUAAUCACGAAUAAACCUUUUAGUUAUCGCUAGCACACGACCUGAGGUUGAUAACCUAUCGUGUUGAAUAUUCUUGUUUAUGUGCCCAUUCCAGUUAAGUUAACUAUGUUGGAUUUGUCUCUAAGCCUGUAACUAGAUUUGGUAAGUACUUGACCCGGUUGUGCAUGGUCCUUUUGGGUUGGCUUCACCAAAGCAACUUGACAGGUUGAUUUAUGAAGAGAGAGGUUAUUAUGGUUUAUUAAUAUAUUAUGAGAAUAAUAUAUUAAAAGGGAAAUCAUAUAGUUUAAUUAAUAUUAGACAAGAAUUAAUUAAGAACUAAUUAUGUAGCUAAAAGAGAUUAAUUAAAUAAAGGGGACUGGAACUGUCAAUUGUGUGAUAGUUGGUUAUUGGGUUGUGAACCUUCUUGGAUAUAAGGGGGACGAAAUUGGAAGUGUAAACCCACUCUAAUUUCAUCCAAGGGGCCUUGUUCCAAAAUGUUCUCAAGCUGCUUGGGGCCUAAGUCAUUCAUUUAGGGUUUUGACUGAAACCCUAGUAGCUCAGCUAUAAAUAGGACUCCAGGGCAACAGUUUCGGUUACACCAAGAAACCCUAAGGUUACUAUAGUCGAAAUUUAGCUUCCUCCCUCUCUCCAAUACCAUCCUCUUGCUUGUGGUGUUUUUAAGCCAUUAAAGGAGUGACACUUGUGACUCUAAGCUCCAAGACAAGAAGAUUCAAGCUAUUAUUGAAGAGGUAAUCAUCUAGAUAUGUUUUAAUAUGAUAUUUUUGAAAUAUGUAUGCUUGAUCUAGGGUUCUUAAGUCUUGGAUGAAUUGCAUGUAUAAUAGAGAAACCUAGAUCCAAGCUUUAGGGUUUGCAUGAGCACAUAGGAUGUUUAUUUUAUUAAACCCAUCAAUGGUAUCAGAGCCUUGAUUGGUUUCUAUUGUAUUGAUGCUUUGUAUGUUCAUUCAUGCUUAAAAAAUUCAUUUUUUGGCCAUCUAACUGACGGACUCGACGAGUAGGAUGAACUCGAUGAGUCCAUAUGGGGACUCGGCGAGUCGGGCUGUCAGACAGAGGAUAUCUCGGGAUUUCUUGAUGUUUUGCUAAAGGAUGAUUACUAAAAUUGUUUAUGACUAAUAAAAUCUAAAUUUUAUAUUUAUUAUGUGAUUAUCCUUACCAAAACAAAAGAUAAUUACCAAUUAAUUGAAUAAUAAAUUCCUUAUAUGAUAAAAUUUGAUUAUUCGAUUUAUUUGAUGAAUUAUCUUGUGAAUAAAAUGAAAUAGGUCAAAUUUAGAUAAUCAUUAAAUUAAUUGUAUGAUUUAAAUUAUUUGCUAUUUGACCGUAUAUGUUUUGAAAAGUUCAAAACUUGUCCCCAAGUUUUGAAAUUUAAUUUUUUGAAUUAAAAGUUUAAUUUUAAAAUUAUUAAAUUUCAAACCCUACAAUUUUACAAGUUUAAAAUUCACCCUAUACUAUUAUAAUAUUAUAAGAAUAAUUAUUAUAUAUGUAUAACUAAAACUGCUAAUCUUACCAUUGGUAGGCCUCAUUCACGAAGCCGAUCUAUAAGGAGGUUUAAGGUUAUGGCCUAUAAAAUGGCCGUUUAAUUGGUGUCCACUCUCACCCACUGCUUCCUUGAUUGUUGGAGGGUCGUUAGCCGAACUGGUAGGAUAGGGCAAACCCUUUCCUCAUUAAAAGUAUAAUGAAUUAUAAAGUAACUAAAUGUUUUUACAAAAUUCCCAAUCUUAGUUACUUUAGGCAAAAGUGAAUUUGAUGUAAUUCCAUAAAAUUACACUUUGUACCCUUGAUAAGACGUUAGUGGAGCGUGUGUGGUUAACCGGCACACUAAUUGGGCUCUAAGAAAAGGUGGCAAAGGGUGACUUGAUGUUUUUCAUAGAUUAAUAGAGUGUGUGUGGUUAACCGGCACGUCGAUUAAAUGACUGUAACAUUGGGGGCACCAUGUACAUUUACAUGGUUAUUCACACCCGCUUUGUGAUCCUCAGCAUCUUAGUCACAAACUUGAGGGGCAUAUCGAGAUUUAAACAUGCCAUUGAAACGUCCAAUGAAUCUCAAAAGAUUUAGGAGUUUUCAAUACAUUUAAAACUUAAUCUCCUUUUUCGUUUUUCAUGGUGGAAAAUUAGUGAAUCGUCAUUCACUUACCUUCAAAUUAUUUGCAUGUUAGAUUACGACAUCCCUCUUCUAAUUUGUAAAUAAUGUUGUUGGAUCCUAGCCCUAAUUUUUCAUUUGGGUGUUUAAUUGGGGAUUCAUUUAUAAUCAAACUUGUCUCUUUUCUGUUUCAGAUGUCUAACAACAACACUUCUGGCUCAAACUCCGCUGGCUCGUUCUCACUCAUGAAAUUGUGUGGGAGAGCGAUCUUUGACGGGUCCAAUUUCAAUGAUUGGAUCCGCAACAUCUGAAUGGUCACUCGUUACAAAGACAAAUAGUAUGUCCUCGAUGAAAAGCUGAAGGAAAUCAACCUCAACACUGCCACUGCCGAUGAGAUCGCUGCCUUUGAGGCACAUAAGCAUGAUGCUACAAAAGUCCAUUGCAUCAUGCUAACGACUAUGACUACAGAAUUCCAGAAGUCCUAUGAGGACAUGUAUGUUGGAAUAGUGUCUUAGGCUGCAACUAUAUUAGGCAAGUAUUUGACCCGGUUGUGCAUGGUCCUUUUGGGUUGCCUUCACCAUAGCAACUUGAUAGGAUGAUUUAUUAAGAGAGAGUAAAUAUUAUUAAUAUAUUAUGAGAAUAAUAUAAAGAAUAAUAUAUUGUUAUUUGAUUAAUAUAAGUCAUAGAAUUAAUUGGAAUUAAUUUGGUGACUUAAAGAGAUUAAUUAAAUAAGAGGGUAUAAACUGUCAAUUGUUUGAUAGUUAAACUUUAGACUGUAAAUCCAUAUAGAUAUGGAUUGGACGAAUUCUAGAAGCUAAAGGAUAGCUCAAAUCGUCCAUUGCUUAUCUAAGGAAAGGAUUUGGAUAGCCUUAAGAGAAGAUUAUCCAAUUAGGGUUUAGGUUGUAACCCUUAAGGAGUCUACAAGUAUAAAUAGACCCUAUGGCAUAGGGAAAUCGGCACUUCAUCUAAAGCAUAGAAACCCUGGCCGAUUUCCUCCCCUCUCCUCUCUCCUAAAUCAUCUUCCUUGCUAUUGGUGUUUGUAAGCCAUUAGAGGAGUGACAUUUGUGACUCUAGAAGCUCCAAGACCACAAGAUCAACAAGGAAUUCAAAGGUAUGGUUCUAGAUCUGUUUCAAUGUUGUUAUUUAACCUAAUUAGUCAUUAGAAGUCUUGGAUUCAAAGCAUGUUUAAUUAGAAAGCCUAGAUCCAAGCAUUAGGGUUGUGCAUGCGCACAUAGGAAAGUUCUUAUGGCUAAAACCCAUCAGUGGUAUCAGAGCCUAGCUUGGUUUUCAUUAAAUUGUUGCUUAAUUAUCUGAAACUAAACUGCAAAAUUCGUUUUUUUUGGUUUCUGAUUCAUGGACUCGGCGAGUUCCAAAGUAGACUCGGCGAGUUGGCCUGACUCGGCGAGUCCCUUUGUGCACUCGGCGAGUCCAGGCGUCAGGAAUGGCCAGAUUCGGGAUUUUUUCAUAAUUAUCUUAUGGAAACUUACCUUAAUCAUAAUAGAUCAAUCUAAAUCCGAUUUUUUGAUAUAUAUGACUAUUAUCUUGAUCUAGUUAAAGGUAUUUAUCAACUAAUAAAAUAUUUAAUUUCCUUAUAUGAUAAUUAAUUAAUUAUUUUAAUUAUUUUGGUAAUUAUCUUUAAAAGAAAUCUUGAAUAAAAUCAAAUAUAGAUAAUUAGGAUAUUAAUUGUUAAUUGGAAUUAUUUGUUAUUUGAUCCUCCAUGUUUUAAAUGUUUAAAACUUGUCCUCAAGUUUUGAAAUUUAUAUUUUGUGAUUAAAAGUUUUAAUUUAGACAACUUAAAUUUCAAACCCUAGAUUUUAAAAGGUUUAAAAUACAACCCUAUACUAAUAUGAUAUUACUAGAAUAAUAUAUAUAUGUAUAACUAAAUGCUAGUCUUACCGUUAGUAGGCCUCAUUCACGAAGCCGAUCUAUAAGGUGGGUAUAAGGUUGCGGCCUAUAAAAUGGCGCUUAAUGGGUGUACACUCACACCCACCGCUUGCUUGAUUGGUGGAGGGUCGUUAGCCGAACGGGUAGGAUAGGGCAACCUCAUCCUCUCAUUAAAAGUAUAAUAAGAAAUACAAAGUAACUACACAUAUUUUAAAAUUUCCCAAUCCUAGUUACUUUAGGAAAAGUGAAUUGAUGCAAUCCCAUGAAAUUACACUUUGCACCUUGCUAAGAUGUUAGUGGAGCGUGUGUGGUUUACCGGCACACUAAUUGGUUCUAAGCGAAGGUGGCAAAGGGUGAUUCAUUGUUUAUCAUAGUUCGAUGGAGCGUGUGUGGUUUACCGGCACAUCGAAUAGGUGAUCGUUACAAUGAAGGCACCAUGUGAAUUUGCAUGGUAAUUCACACCCGCUUUGUGAUCCUCGGCAUCCCAGUCACAAACAAGAGGGGCAUAUCGAGAUUUAAACAUGCCAUUGAAUAGUUUCAAUGAAUCUCAUCCGAACCUAGGAAUUCUCAAAAACACUUAGGACUAAUAGUUUAAGUUUUGUGAUGGAGAAUUAGUGAAUCGUCAUUCACUUACCUUCAAUUUAUUUGCAUGUUAGAUUACGGCAUCCCUUUUCUAGUAUGUAAAUGUUAUUGUUGGAUCCUAGCCCUAAUUUUCUUAUUGGGUGAUAAUUAGGGAUUCUUAUUCUAAUCUAUCUUUGUCCUUUUCUAAUUGUAGAUGUCGAACGCAAACAACGCUGCUGCUAGUUCUUUCACGUUGAUGAGCCUUUGCCAAAAGGUCACCUUCGAUGGAACGAACUUUAGCGAAUGGAUAAGAUACAUUCGCACCAUUGCUCGCUAUGAGGAUAAGGAGUAUGUCCUCGAUGAGAAGCUCGAGAAAAUCAACCCCGAAAUCGCUACUCCGGCCGAAAUCACCGCUUUUGAGACUCAUGAGCGAGAUGCAACGAAGGUACAUUGCAUCAUGAUUGCCACCAUGAACUCCGAAUUCCAAAAGUCCUACGAGGACAUGUACCCGUACGAGAUGCACCAAGACUUAUUGGAGAGGUACCACCAAAACGCGAGACAAGAGAGGUACGAGAUUUUCACUAACAUGAUUUCCGCGAAGAUGGGUCAUGGAGAAUCUCUUACCGUGCACUUGCAAAAGAUGCAAAGGUAUGUCGACCGCCUUCGCAAGUUAAAUGUUGACUUCGGUGAGGAUUUGGCGAUCGACAUGGUGCUUCACUCUUUGCCUCCGAUGUACAAUCAAUUUAGGAUGACCUACCACAUGAACAAAGAAGAGGUCACCCUAAGCAAGCUCCAAGGUCUCUUGAGGGUUGCUGAGAGCAACUUCAAAGACAAGUCUGUUGCACCUACUCCCAAUCCGCCCGCUGCUCCUGUCUUGGCUAUUGGACAAGGGAAGGGAAAGAAGAGGAAAGCUUCAUCGAAGAACUAUCGCAAGGUGAAAGCCCGAGAUGGUGCCUCUUCUAGUGGGACCAAAGUUGAUCCCGCUAAGCCCUGCUCUAACCCGAAGGAGGCAGAGUGCCACCACUGCCACAAGAUAGGACAUUGGAAGAGAAGCUGCCCGGAUUACCUGCAAGCAAUCAAAGAAGGAAAGAUCAAGCCAUCUUUCGCAGGUAUAUAUACAAUCAAAUCUAACGAUUCUAAUCAUGCUAUUUCUUGGGUUCUUGAUACCGGUUGUGGUUAUCACAUUUGUUCUAAUGUGCAGGGACUAAGAAGAAGUAGGGAUGUGGAGCAAGGAAGGAUCAAUCUAAUCAUGGGGAACAGAAGAUCGUCGCCUGUGACCAAGAUUGGAGUGUAUUCCUUAGUGCUUAGGAAUAGUUUAGUUUUAGAUUUGAACAAUUGUUGCUAUUCGCCAGAAAUGGCAAGAAACAUCAUUUCAUUUCAUGGUUUAUAUAGACAAGGAUUUAGAUUUUCUUUUAAUAAUGAGAAUGGUUCUAUUUUGGCUUAUCUAAAUGGUGUCUUUUACUUUGAAGCUAUACCAUGUAAUGGAAUAUAUGAAACCGUUAUGAUUGUUGAUAACUUAGGAAAUGAUGUUUUGAAUAUUGAUUCUUCCACUAGUAUGGAUAAAGCAUCCUUGUGGCAUUGUCGUCUUGGACAUGUCAACAAGAAACGCAUAGCCCAACUCCAAAAGGAUGGAGUGUUGGAGUCAUUCGACCUUAGGGAAGAUGACACAUGCGAGUCUUGUUUGCUUGGAAAGAUGACUAAGUCACCCUUCACGAGUACAUGUGAAAGGGGCGAGGGUCUAUUGGACCUAAUACAUACCGAUGUAUGUGGACCGUUUAGAUCAACCACGAAGGAUGGGAACCGCUUCUAUGUGACUUUUACCGAUGACUAUAGUAGAUAUGGGUAUAUCUACUUAAUCAAGCAAAAGUCAGACACCUUUGAAAAGUUCAAAGAGUUCAAGAAUGAAGUGGAGAAUCAAUUGGGCAGGAAAAUCAAGAUGCUUCGAUCCGAUCGAGGAGGAGAGUACCUAAGUCUUGAAUUCCACGAUUAUCUCAAGGAGUGUGGAAUAGUUUCACAAUUGACGCCUCCUAGGACACCGCAGUUGAAUGGUGUGGCAGAAAGGCGUAAUCGAACCUUAUUGGAUAUGGUUCGCUCUAUGAUGAGUCGUGCUUCACUACCAAUCUCUUUUUGGGGGUAUGCCUUAGAGACUGCCGCCCAUAUCCUUAACCGAGUCCCUACUAAGAAGGUUGCCAAAACACCUCACGAGAUGUGGACAGGGAAAGCUCCCUCGUUGGCACAUAUCAAGGUUUGGGGUUGCGAGGCUUUCGUAAGACGAGAUACUCACGACAAGCUUGAACCUCGAAGUGAGCGAUGUAUUUUCAUCGGCUACCCGCAGACAUCCUUUGGAUAUCUCUUCUAUAGACCGAAGGACAAUGUUGUCUUCGUUGCGAGGAGAGGAGUUUUCCGAGAGCGAGAACUCAUAAGCCAAGGAGACAGUGGGAGGCAAAUCGAACUUGAAGAGAUUCAAGAGUCGAUAGAUGAAGGAACCUCUACCGCUGGCACUCAACCCGAGGAGGAAACUCCGGUUGAACCGAUUGACGAAUCCUUACCUCUUAGACGUUCCGAUAGAGUUAGAGUUCAUCCCCAGUUUUAUGGCUUUCAUAUUACUACCGAAGGGGACACGUAUAUUAGUGAUGGUACACUAGUAAAUCUUGAUGAACCUAAUAGCUAUAAGGAAGCCAUGGCAGGCCCGGAGUCUGCAAAAUGGAAAGAGGCAAUGGAUAGCGAGAUCCAAUCCAUGUAUGAUAACCAAGUUUGGAAUUUGGUUGAUUAUGUGCCCGGACGUAAGACCGUUGGGUGCAAAUGGAUCUUCAAGAAGAAGACCGACGUGGAUGGAAACGUACACACAUAUAAAGCGCGAUUGGUUGCGAAGGGCUUUACUCAAACUCCCGGAGUUGACUAUGAUGAGACCUUCUCACCAGUUGCGAAGAUUAAAUCUAUUAGAGUGAUGCUAGCUAUUGCCGCAUUUCAUGAUUAUGAGAUUUGGCAAAUGGAUGUCAAGACCGCUUUCCUUAACGGAAAGUUGGCUGAGGAUGUUUACAUGGCUCAGCCAGAGGGGUUUGUGGAUCCGAAGCAUCCGAAUAGAGUGUGUAAGCUUGAGAAGUCCAUUUAUGGACUUAAGCAAGCGUCUCGCAGAUGGAAUCUUUGCUUCGAUGAGAAAGUCAAAGAGUUUGGAUUUGUACGAAGCGAAGACGAAUCUUGUGUAUAUGUCAAAGCCAGUGGGAGUAUAGUAAGCUUCCUCGUUCUAUAUGUCGAUGACAUAUUACUCAUAGGAAACGACAUCCCGACUCUGCAGGAGGUUAAGUCCUGGCUCGGGAAGUGCUUCGCUAUGAAGGACCUCGGAGAGGCUUCUUACAUUUUGGGAAUAAGGAUAGUAAGAGAAAGAAGUAAGAGACUAAUUGGACUUAGUCAGAAUACUUACUUAGAGAAGGUACUAAAACGUUUUAGUAUGGAAAACUCAAAGAAGGGAGAACUACCGAUACAAAGUAAUGCCAAAUUGAGUAAGACUCAAAGUCCGAGUACCGAAGCUGAGAUAGCAGAAAUGAGCCGAGUACCAUACGCUUCCGCAGUUGGCUCAAUCAUGUACGCUAUGACUUGUACUCGCCCUGAUGUAGCCUUCGCUUUGAGCAUGGUUAGCAGAUAUCAAGGGAAUCCUGGCAAAGCACAUUGGAUUGCGGUGAAGAAUAUCCUUAAGUACCUUCGGAGGACGAAGGAAUGGUUCUUAGUCCUCGGAGGGAGUGAUGACUUGAAGGUGCGAGGGUAUAGUGACGCCAGUUUUCAGACCGACAGGGACAACUACCGUUCGCAGUCGGGCUGGGUCUUUACCCUAAAUGGAGGAGCAGUGACAUGGAAGAGUUCCAAGCAGGAAACCGUAGCUGAUUCAACGUGCGAAUCAGAGUACAUUGCAGCGAGCGAAGCGUCGAAGGAGGCAAUAUGGCUAAAGAACUUCAUCGGUGAUCUUGGAGUUGUACCUGCCAUAAAGGAGCCCAUGGAGAUUUUCUGUGAUAACGAAGGAGCGGUUGCCUUGACCAAGGAACCGAGGGAUCAUGGUAGAUCAAGACAUAUCGACAGAAAAUAUCACUUCAUUAGACAUCGUGUAGAAGAAGGACAACUCGUAGUGAAGAGGAUAUCAUCAGAAGAUAACCCAGCAGAUCCGCUUACGAAGGGACUGAGUAGGGUUAAGCACUUGCAGCAUGCUAGGAGUAUUGGGCUGAAGGAUGAUAUUAGCAUAGAUUAGAUAGUAUUAGAAACGUGUAAUAGAUAAAUGUAAUUAACAUUUGAUGAUUAAAUAAAGGAGUUUUAUUUAUGAGUAAUGUUACUAUCUUAUGUUAAUUGUUUAGCUAUUGUUUCACUUUGCAUGUUUUGACUUCCAGAAUAAUUGAGUUUAUUAGGAAUAAUCGAAUUGUUCAAAUGGUCCACAAUCGUUCAUAUGUUGGGAGUAGAUAUGAAUGAAGAUUGUCAUGAAUUGGUGUGUAGAAUGUCUAAAUGGUGUUAGACAUAGCAAAGGAUUGCUGCAACGUUCAUGAGUGCUUAUGAACUAGUUUUGAGCAUUGGAAUAAACCCGCGCUUGCUGGAAUCACCUUAUGGAAUACGAUAUAAAAGGUGAUCGCAAGACGAUAAUAUCAUAUAGUCUUAAAACCUAGAUAUAUGGUUUAUUAUUUGUUAAUUGAUUGUACAUUGAUAAUACGAAAACGCAUCAGUAACUUGGUGUUAUAAAACGUAUUGUUGUGUAUAGUUGGUAAAUGAAUAAGUAAAUGCAUAUAAGUCGAAGUUUAUCUGUAACUUUUAUCUAAGAAGGUAAAAGCGAUAUCUCGGCCGCUCGAUGAUUUGAUUUGACUUAUGUGCCGGGCCCGGUCAGAACUGAAUUGAUGUGUUCGAUUAAGUUCUAUGUCAAAUAAAUCAGAGAUCGAGAAACCUAAAUGCUUGACUAACCAUUCCAUAGGAUUGUCAGCAUGAUAUCUAACAGAGGACUGUACGUUCCCUUAUCUAAAGGACAAGAUUGAUUAGAUCAGAGUUGACAGCGUCUUUGAGAGCUACGAUUGCAAACCGAAUUGUACUUGUGCAUAUAGUUACUAGACUUAUCCAAGUGGGAGACUGUUGGAAUAGUGUCUAAGGCUGCAACUAUAUUAGGCAAGUAUUUGACCCGGUUGUGCAUGGUCCUUUUGGGUUGCCUUCACCAUAGCAACUUGAUAGGAUGAUUUAUUAAGAGAGAGUAAAUAUUAUUAAUAUAUUAUGAGAAUAAUAUAAAGAAUAAUAUAUUGUUAUUUGAUUAAUAUAAGUCAUAGAAUUAAUUGGAAUUAAUUUGGUGACUUAAAGAGAUUAAUUAAAUAAGAGGGUAUAAACUGUCAAUUGUUUGAUAGUUAAACUUUAGACUGUAAAUCCAUUGGGAUAUGCUUUGGACGAAUUCUAAGAGAUAUAGGAUAGCUAAAAUCGUCCAUAUGAGUUAUUAAGGAAUGGAUUUGGAUAGCCUUAAGAGAAGAUUAUCCAAUAGGGUUUAAAUUGUAACCCUUAAGGAGUCUACAAGUAUAAAUAGACCCUAUGGCUGAGGGAAUUCGACACUUCACCUAAAGUAGAGAACCUCUGGUCGAAUUCCAUCCCCUCUCCUCUCUCCCAAAUCAUCCUCCUUGCUUUUGGUGUUUGUAAGCCAUUAGAGGAGUGACAUUUGUGACUCUAGAAGCUCCAAGACAACAAGGUCAACAAGGAAUUCAAAGGUAUGAUUCUAGAUCUGUUUCAAUGUUGUUAUUUAGCCUAAAUAGUUAUUAGAAGUUUUGGAUUCAUAGCAUGUUUAAUUAGAAAGCCUAGAUCCAAGCGUUAGGGUUUUGCAUGCGCACAUAGGAAAGUUCUUAUGGCUAAAACCCAUCAAUGUAUCCCUAUGAGAUGCAUCAAGAUCUGCUGGACCGGUACCACCAAAGAGCUAGGAAAGAAAGGUACGAGAUCAUCACUUCGAUGAUCACUACCAAAAUGGGUAAUGGAGAGUCCUUUACUGCUCAUCUACAAAAGAUGUAGAGAUAUGUUGAUCGGCUGCUAAAGUUAAAUGUUAACUUUGAUGAAGAGCUGGCAAUCGACAUCAGCCUUCACUCCUUGUCUCCAUGCUACAACCAGUUCCACAUGACCUACCACAAGAAUAAGGAAGAGGUCACUUUGAGCAAGCUUCAAGGCUUGCUGAGGACUGCUGAGAGCAACCUCAAAGAUAAAUAUUUACAUUAACUCCUACUCCCACUGUUGCCCUAGUCUUGGCAAUUGGGAAAAGGAAGGGUAAGAAGAGGAAGGCUCCUUCAAAGAGCAACCGCAAGGGAAAGUCCCAAGAUGGUACAUCUUCUAGUGGAACCAAGGUUGGUUCUGCUAAACCCAACUCCAACCCCAAUGAGGCGGAGUGCCACUACUUCCAUGAAAUAGGGCAUUAGAAACGAAGCUACCCGAAGUAUCUGCAAGAUAUCAAGGAUGGAAAGAUCAAGCCAUCCUUCAUAGGUAUUUACACUAUUAAAUAUAAUGAUUCGUCACAUUCUAUUUCUUGGGUUCUUGAUAUAGGAUGUGGUUUUCACAUUUGUUCUGAUUUGCAGGGCCUAAGAAGAAAUAGGGAUGUGGAGCAUGGGAAUACAAACUUGAUCAUGAGAAACAGAAGAUCGACGCAUGUCACCAAGAUUGGAGUUUACUCUUUAGUGCUUAGUAAUGGAUUAGGCUUAGAUUUAAAUAAUUGUUGCUAUUCGACAGAUAUGGCAAGAAACAUCAUUUCUUUUCAUAGUUUAUAUAGGCAAGGAUUUAGAUAUUCAUUUGAUAAUGAAAAGGGUUCUAUUAAUGCUUAUAUUAAUGGUGUUUUCUAUUUUGAAGCAUUGCCUUGUAAUGGAAUAUAUAAAACUGUGAUGAUUGUAGAUAAUUUAGGAAAUGAUAUGUUGUGUAUCGAUUCUUCCAAUAGUUUGGAUAAAGCAUGAUUGUGGCGUUGUCGUCUUGGACAUGUCAACAAGAAACGCAUAGCCCAACUCCAAAAGGAUGGAGUGUUGGAGUCAUUUGACCUUGAGGAUGAUAACGUGUGCGAAUCUUGUUUAUUUGGAAAGAUGACAAAGUCACCCUUCACUAGCACUUGUGAAAGGGUGAGGGUUUAUUGGAUCUCAUACACACCGAUGUGUGUGGGCCCUUUAGAUCCACCACAAGGGAUGCGAACCGCUUCUAUGUGACUUUCACCAAUGAUUAUAGCAGAUAUGGGUAUAUCUACUUAAUCAAGCCCAAGUCAGAAACCUUUGAAAAGUUCAAAGAGUUUAAACAAGAAGUGGAGAAUCAGUUGCGCAGGAAAAUGAAGAUGCUUCGAUCCGAUUGAGGUGGAGAGUACCUAAGUCAUGAAUUCCACAAGUACCUCAAGGAAUGCGGAAUCGUUUCGCAAUUGACGCCACCUAGGACACCGCAGUUGAAUGGUGUGGCUGAGAGGAGUAAUCGAACAUUGAUAGGCAUGGUUUGUCCCAUGAUGAUUCGUGCUUCACUACCUAUCUUAUUCUGGGGGUAUGCCUUAGAGAUUGCCGCCCAUAUCCUUAACCUAGUCCCGACCAAGAAGGUUGCCAAAACACCUCACGAGAUGUGGACAUAGAAAGCUCCCUCGUUGUCACAUAUCAAGGUUUGGGGUUGCGAAGCUUUCGUAAGACGAGAGACUCACGACAAGCUCGAACCUCGUAGUGAGCGGUGUAUUUUCAUCGGCUACCCGCAAAAGUCUUUUGGAUAUCUCUUCUAUAGACCGAGUGACAAUGUUGUCUUCGUUGCAAGGAGAGGGGUUUUCCGCGAGCGAGAUAUCAUAAGCCAAGGGAGAGUGGGAGGCAAAUCGAUCUUGAAGAGAUUCAAGAGUCGAGUGAUGAAGGAACCUCUAAUGCUGGCGCUCAACCCCAGGAGGAAACUCUAAUUGAACCGAUUGACGAGUCCUUACCUCUUAAACGUUUUGAAAGAGUUAGAGUUCAACCCCAGUUUUACAUUUUUCAUAUUACUACAGAAGGGGAUACGUUCAUUAGUGAUAGUACACUAGUGAAUUUGGAUGAACCUAACAGCUGUAAGGAAGCCAUGGCAGGCCCAGAGUCUGCGAAGUGGAAAGAGGCGAUGGACAGCGAGAUUCAGUCCAUGUAUGAUAACCAAGUUUGGAGCUUGGUUGAUAACAUGCCAGGUCGUAAGACGGUCGGGUGCAAGUGGAUCUUCAAGAAGAAGAUCAACAUGGAUGUGAACGUACACACUUAUAAGGCGCGAUUGGUUGCGAAGGGCUUUACUCAAACUCUCGGAGUUGACUAUGAUGUGACCUUCUCACCAGUUACGAAAAUAAAGUCUAUUAGGGUGAUGUUGGCCAUUGCUACAUUUCAUGACUAUGAGAUAUGGAAAAUGGAUGUCAAAACCACUUUCCUUAACGAAAAGUUGUUUGAGGAUGGUUACAUGAAUCAGCCAGAGGGUCUUGUCAAUGUGAAGCAUCUCAAUAGAGUGUGUAAGCUUGAGAAUUCCAUUUAUAGACUAAAAUAAGCGUCUUGCAGAUGCAAUCUUUGUUUCGAUGAGAAAGUCAAAGAGUUUGGUUUUCUGUGAAGCGAUGAUGAAUCAUGUAUAUAUGUCAAAGCCAGUGGGAGUAUAGUAAGCUUCCUCGUAUUGUAUGUCGAUGACAUACUACCCAUAGGAAACAAAAUCCCGACGUUGUAGGAAGUCAAGUCCUGGCUUGGGAAGUGUUCCGCUAUGAAGGACCUUAGAGAGACUGCUUAUAUAUUGGGAAUAAGGAUAGUGAGGAACAGGAGUAAAAUACUAAUAGGACUUAGUCAGAAUACUUACUUGGAUAAGGUACUAAAAUGUUUUAGUAUUGAGAAUUCCAAGAAGGGGGAGUUACCAAUCCAAAGUAAUGCUAAGUUGAGUAAGACUCAAAGUCCGAGUACCGAAGUCGGGAUAGCAAAGAUGAGCCGGGUACCAUACGCUUCCGUAGUUGGCACAAUCAUGUAUGUGAUGACUUGUAAUCGCCCUGAUGUGGUCUUCACUUUGAGCAUGGUCAUCAGAUAUCAAGGGAACCUUGGCAAAGCACAUUGGACCACAGUCAAGAAUAUUCUUAAGUACCUAUGGAGGACCAAGAAAUGGUUUCUAGUCCUCGGUGGGAGUGAUGACUUAAAGGUGCAAGGGUACAAUGAUGCCAGUUUUCAUACUGAUAGAGACAACUAUCGUUCUCAGUCAAGCAGGGUCUUUACCCUGAAUGGAGGAGCAGUGACUUGGAAAACUUCCACGCACAAGAUCGUAGCUGAUUCAACGUGCGAAUCAGAGUACAUUGCGAUGAGCGAAGUGUCAAAGGAGGAAAUAUGGUUGAAGAACUUCAUUGGAGACCUUGGAGUUGUGACAACCAUAUAGGAGCCUAUGGAAAUUUUCUGUGAUAACAAAGGUGCAGUUGCCUUGACCAAUGAACCAAGGGAUCAUGGCAGAUCCAGGCAUAUCGACAGGAAAUACCAUUUCAUUAGACAUCGUGUAGAAGAAGGACUCCUCGUAGUAAAGAUGAUAUCGUCGGAGGAUAACCCAUCAGAUCCGCUUAUGAAGGGACUGAGUAGGGUUAAGCACUUGUAGCACGCUAGGAGCAUUGGGCUGAAGGAUGAUAUUAGUUUAGAUUAGAUAGUUAGAAACGUGUAAUAGAUAAAUUGUAGUUAACAUUUGAUGAUUAAAUAAAUGGGUAUUAUUUAUGAGUAAAGUUAUUGUCUUAUGUUAAUUAUUUACCUAUUGUUACAUUUUUGCAUGUUUUGGCUUCCUGAAUAAUAAGAUUAUUCGAACGUUCCACAGUCGCUCAUACUUUGGGAGAAGGUAUGAAAGAAGAUUGCCGUGAAUUGGUGUAUAGAUUGUCUAAAGUGUAUUAGACAUAGCAAAAGUUUGCUACAACGUUCAUGAGUACUUAUGAAUUUGAUUUAAGCAUUGGAAUAAACCCACGCUUGCUGGAAUCACUUCAUGGAAUUUAUCACGAGUGAUUGCAAGACGAUAAUAUCAUAUGGUCUUAAAACCUAGAUAUAUGGUUUAUUGUUUGCUAAUUGGUUGUGCAUUGAUAAUGCGUAAACGGAUCAGUAACUUGAUGUUAUAAAAACGCAUUGUUGUGUAUGAUUUGAUUAGUGAAUAAUAAAUGCAUAUAAGUCGAAGUUUAUUUGUUCCUUUUAUCCUAAGAGGGUAAAAGCGAUAUCUGGGACCCUCGACGAUUUGGUUUGACUUAUGUGACGGGCCGGUCAGGACUGAGUUGAUGUGUUCAAUUAAUUUCUAUGUCAGACGAAUCAGAUAUCGAGAAACAAACUGUAGGACAAUAAGUAUGACUAUGUUCCAUGUAAUUGUCUGCACGAUAUCUAGAACGGAGGACUGUAUGAUCAUUUAUCUAAAGGAUAGGUUAUUGAUAAGUUCAGCGUUCGACAGCGUCUUUGAGAUAGUUGGAUUUGUGUCUAAGCCCGUAACUAUAUUUGGUAAGUACUUGACCCGGUUGUGCAUGGUCCUUUUGGGUUGCCUUUACCAAAGCAACUUGACAGGGUGAUUUAUGAAGAGAGAGGUUAUUAUGGUUUAUUAAUAUAUUAUGAGAAUAAUAUAUUAAAAGAGAAAUCAUAUAGCCUAAUUAAUAUUAGACAAUAAUUAAUUAAGAAUUAAUUACGUGGCCAAAAGAGAUUAAUUAAAUAAAGGGGACUGGAACUGUCAAUUGCAUGAUAGUUGGUUAUUGGGUUGUGAACCUUCUUGGAUAUAGGGGGCGAAAUUAGGAGUGUAAACCCACUCUAAUUUUGUCUAAGGGGCCUUGUUCCAGAAUGUUCUCAAGCUGCUUAGGGCCUAAGUCAUCCAUUUAGGGUUUUAACUGAAACCCUAGCAGCUCAGCUAUAAAUAGGACCCCAGGGCUUCAGUUUCGGCUACACCAAGAAACCUUAAGGUUACUAUAGCCAAAAUUUAGCUUUCUCCCCUCUCUCCAAUACCAUCAUCUUGCUUGUGGUGUAUGUAAGCCAUUAGAGGAGUGACACUAGUGACUCUAAGCUCCAAGACAAGAAGAUUCAAGCUAUUGUUGAAGAGGUAAUCAUCUAGAUCUGUUUUAAUAUGAUAUUUUCGAAAUAUGUAUGCUAGAUCUAGGGUUAUUAAGUCUUGGAUGAAUUACAUGUACAAUAGAGAAACCUAGAUCCAAGCUUUAGGGUUUGCAUGAGCACGUGGGAUGUUUUUUUGUAUUAAACCCAUCAGACUAUGCAUGUGAGUUCCAUGAUUUCUCAUUUGAUUACAUAAGGCAAAGCACCUUGAUCAAUGAAAGUACAUUGAUCUGUAUGGGUGAGAUGCUCAAUGACCUGGAAGCACUGGUAGGCCUCUUGUGCUACAAGAUGGCAAGAAAUUAAGAUUAAGCUAGUUCAGUCCAUGUGAGUUUGGAUUUGUCAUAAACUUUGUCUUUAUGAUAGUGGUUGGAAAGAAUAAAUUCACAUGGAUAGGAACACAUACACCAUAAAAUCUAAGUGGAAAAAGGUUUCUCUCUACUUCAUGAAAAUGAUUGUGAGGAAACACUUUCACUAGUAGAUUUUAAAGGAUUAGAGUUACCAGUUGUGACAAUUGCGUUCUCAAAUUUGAGUAUGAUUGUAACAUCCCAACUAGACCUGGCAAUUCGUGUAUUCGUGUCAUGAAAACAUGUCAGCCACAAAUUUGACACGAUACGAUUACACGAUGAGAAAUAAGCUUUAUCUCAAUUUUUAAGAUGUAUUCGUGUCGUGUAUUCGUGUCGUGUCGUGUCUCUCACAGAUUCGUGUCUUCGUGUUUGAAAUUGCCAGGUCUAAUCCCAACUCUCAGGUAUUAUAUUUAUAUACUUAUUUUGGGAUUGAAUGUGUGAAUUGACGAGUUGUGUGCCCGACUCGUCGAGUAGAGUCGGAUUGGUCAUGUGGGUUUAAUGACCAACUCGAUGAGUCUGAGAGCCGACUCGCCGAGUAAGCGUGUUGGCACUGUGUGAGGAAACACUAAAUCAUCAGGUUUGUGUCCUAUUUAAAGGACCUUAAGCCCUCAUUUCUGCCUCCCUCAUCACCCUUGAGCCCUGUGAAGAACCCUAAUUGAAUUUUAGCUUGUUGUGUGAGAAGGAGAGACUAUCUUGAGCAUUUUGGUGCACUUUCAGAGAAGUAGAGGAAAGCAUCAAGGCUUAGAGAAAGGAGGGACGUUUGGUUCUAGAGGUUCUCAAUGGAUAGCUUCUAUUUGAGGUAAAAAGAUGCUAUCUUGAACAUUUUUUUUGUGAGAUCUUAGUAUGAGGAGUUCUAGGGCUUUUCCCCAUCCUUCCUAUGUUAUUGAGUCCCUUGAGCAGAUCUUGAGGUAGAAACCUCAGAUCUGGAUUGUACGAGGUCUUGGGAGCCCAUAGACCCAAGCUUUAUGGAGCUAGAGGCAAGCCUAUGAGCACCAAACCCUUGUUGGAGAUUGUAUUGGCAUUAUGGAGCAAAUAUGCCAUGCAUGAAUGUAAAGAUCGAAGCUUUAGGUGACAUUCGAGCCUUGGGAAACUAGAUCUAGAGUUUGGAGUGGUAGAUCUGCCUUAAAACGUCUAAAUGAGAAUACAUAUUGAAUGGACUCGCUGAGUCAAUGACCUGAUUCGACGAGUCGGCUAGGGUUUCCCCCGAUGAGUCUGGAUGUAACACAUGUCCCAAAUAUUACUUAAUUUAUUUAAAGUUUAGGGUGUUGGUGUGUGUGGACUCGGCUAGUUGGGAGUCUAACUCGUCUAGUAGAGGUCAUUUCAAGGACGCGGGAUCUACACUCUACUCGACGAGUCGGAAGGCCGACUCGGCGAGUAGGCACUGUAAUGAUAAAACCCUAAUUGUAGGGUUUGACCCUAUAUAAUCUUCUUAAGGGCCUUGAGGCUGACCUCCCAUCAGCCUCCAAACCCUAAGAAUGUAUGUGCUAACCUUAUUGCCACUUUCUUCCAUUUUGUGAGGUAGUGUGGUUUUGUAGCAUAAGAAAAAGGAGAUAGUGUGAAGAUCCAGCAAACCAAGCACCCAUCCUUGAGCUUGACCUUCUUGUGGACUAUUGUAAGUUUUUAAGACUCGAUUUUUAUCACAGAUUAUGGCUAGAUCUUGAGAAUGCUCUUAAUUUCCUACCCUUUUUGUUAAUUGUAUGCAUGGGGUUCAUAAAGUUUGCAACUUUAUGAAUCUCCAGGGCAAAAUGGUCCCAAGGUGGGCUAGAUCUGGCCUUUGGUUGAGUAAAGAUACCAUGCAAGGGUUUUAGGGCAUAUUUCCCUCUUUUUGGCCAUUUUGACCUAGGGACAUGCAUGUCCAUAAAGCCUCCACCUUUGGAACAUUUAGAGGACUAGAAACCUUUCUAGAAAGGAGGGAUUUUAUAUCCCUAGAGUUUUGGACCAUAUGGAAAAGCUUUGGAGCUUUACAACCUUUACUAAGGACCUUAGAGCAUUUGGAAUGGUCCUAGAAGACAAAGUUGGAAACUUUAUGCUUCUAGGCACCUUAGGGCUUCAGAUCUAAGCCCUGGAAUCCCUGUAUUAGGUGUAUAAUCACAACAAGCAAACAGGAAGGGGGACUCGGCGAGUUCCCCUAGCAACUCGACAAGUUGGGUUGGGUUUCCUCGUUUUUUGUAUAUCAAGCGAACUCGGCGAGUUGAUGAAAAAACUCGGCGAGUUGGCUAGGGUUCGAUCAGGUCUUCUGAACUCGGAAGGAACUCAAUAAGUCACUAGUUGCACUCGACGAGUUGGAGUCAACAUGGACCAUUGAUUUUGACUGAUGCCCUUGGUUUUGACCAAGGUUGACCACGGUUGACUUUGGAAGCAAUUUUGGGUUUAUGACAAGUCUAUCUUAUGAUGCUUACAGGCAGUUGAGUUGGAGCAACAUGUGUACAUAUUUAGUUCUAGCAUUGUCAGUUCAGCAUUCAAUAGAGGUGAGUCUUCUCACCAUACUAAUGGGUCUAAGACACUAAGGCCGACCCAUUUUAUGAUAUAUAGUACACUAUCUGGAGUAGAGAUCUAUAGUAUGAUAGUUAGCUUUGUGAUAAGUUGUAUGUUAGUGAUUAUGUGAUUCUUGCAUGAAAGACCAUGGGGGAGCCCAUGGCACUUGGAUGUAAGACCAUGUGGGGGAGCCCAUGGCUAUCUAGUAAGGAAAGACAAUGGGGGAGCCCAUGGCACUUAGGUAUAAGACCAUGUGGGGGAGCCCAUGGCAUCCUUAUGCAGGGAUAUGUAGUAGAGAUAACUUUUAUAGCUAAUGUUAUAUGGUAGAGAUAGCUUUAUGGCUAAUAUGAUAUGUUAUAUGGUAGAGAUAGCUUUCAUAGCUAAUAUGAUAUGUGUUAUGUGGCUUAUGUGUGUGGGGUAUGCUCUAGGGGGACUCACUAAGCAUUAGCUUACAGUUGUAAAUUUGUUUCAGGUACUUCUGAGCCCAAGGGCAAGAGCAAGGGCAAGGCGUGAUGGCACGACGUGCACUCUCUCACCGAUAUUUUGUGGGACACUCUGAUAGUUUUAAAUAAAGAUUUAAUGAAUGUGGAUUUGAAAACAAUUAUGUUGGGAUUUCAUGAUUUAUGGAAAUGUGUUUGAUUAAUUAAAAAUAAAAAUUUUCUUUUAAAAUUUGGGUUGUUACACUUAACAUGGGUAACUCCGCGAGUUGAUGAGACAUCUCGACGAGUUAAGUUGGGUUUUCACGACAUUUCUGAGGAAGUGAGGGGACUCGGCGAGUCACAUAGAUGCACUCGGCGAGUGUCACACCCCCGAACCAGACGGCGGAAACGUCCGAGGGCUGUUGUGACUCAAUUGAAUACCAUUACAUUGAAUAUACAUGAAACAUAACAUCAUUCAUCACCAUGCAUUGAGAUAGUACAACUGGUAGUGUUUACAUUUAGUACAUUGUUUUAAACAUUACAUUCUCAAAAGUAAAUUGUUCGAUAAUAGUUAAACAACAACAAGACAUCACUGAGUGCAUUUUUCCCCUCUGUUUACCUGUUACCUGAGAAUACAAGUAUUUUGAAAAACGUCAACAUAUGAAAUGUUGGUGAGUUCAUAAGCAGUGUUUGAAAAAUAAUGUUUGUUAUUGUUUUGAAAACCACCAGAAAAUCCGAUAUUUUCUGAAAAGAGUAUCGUAAAAAAAGUGUGAAGAUCCGUAAGUAUGCUUGUUUGUUUCUAUAAAUGUAAAAAGAAUUUUUGUUAUACUUGGUGUGCAUCUCGUAGUUGUAUGUAUUGAAAAACCCUAGGAAAACCCGAUGUUUUCCUAAUACUUUGAUUUACGCUUUCCGUAUAGUUGUUGUACCAUUGCGGCAUGUGAAGUCAUUGAUUCCAGGUGACAUUGAAUUAAAUGUGUAUUGUGAAUUGUUAUAAACACGCGUUAACAAAAACGACUAGUUUACAACUAUACUAACGAUCCCUUAGGCAUCGUCCGUACUAUUCACUUAAUCCAAACACCCUGACUUCUCGUAGCCCCACAACCGAGGAGAAAAGAGGGCACGAAGACCUCAAUAAUUCCAUUAGUCGUUCAAGGCUAUAGUGAAUGCGAAGGGCCCUUGGCCCGACCCGCAUUUUGAGAAUUCUCGACUUUACUAGCAGUACCAAUGGACCCUUGGGGCCCAAUAGUAUAAAAGCCAUUGAAAGUCCUUUUACACAGAGUUAGGUCAUGUAAGACCCAACAACAUGUAAGUAAGUUGUCUUCGGGCCUAAAGAUCAGGUCAUUGGGCUAGCUAGGCCCAACAAGCAAGAUUUGACACUUUUGGGCCCAAAGAUGGUGUAUCGACGUCUGUGUAUUCUCACGUAUGUGUUGACUUCCUGAAAUUUCCGCGUGUGUAUUGAAUAUCGUCGUGUUAGUAGUUUCGGAUUCGUUAUUGAUUCGAGACCGAAUCAAUUCGUUUGGCAACGAUUUUGGUGUUGAUGGUGUAUUAAGUUUUGUCGAUAGUCGCAGUACCAGCAUUUUCUCUCAACGGAUUUAUUGUUUAAAACUUUGGAGUUUUUCUGUUUGCAGCCCCUUUCUUAGAUAAGUUUACACUUUUAACCCUUUUGAAUAAAAGAAUUUCCGAUUAAGUCCUUAAACCCUUUUUCUUGACAUUUUAGUAUCAAAACAUGUUGAAAAUGAUAUUUUUUUCAGCUCAUAUUUAUUUGAAAACAGUUUUAGUCCCUCAAAAUGUAAUUUUUUUUCUCGGCUGAAACCUCAUUUUUCGCAAUUUUUACACUUUUGGCCCAAAAUAGAAAUUUUUUGCAUCUUUGGUCCUUUUUAAAUAUGAAAAGUAUUUUUAACCCUUGAAAUGGACUUGGAGCACUAAUAGUCCCAUGUUUUACAGAAAAGUACAGUUUCAGCCCUUCAAACUUGAAAAUCUCGCAUAUUGGGCUUUAUUGGGCCGAAAAUUCACUUUUGGCCCAUUAUGCUUAAAAUUUUACAUUUUAAUCCCUCAAAAGAAUAUAUUUCCAGAAAAUACAUUAUUGAAACUGUUUUGACUCAUUUCAACCAUCAGAAUUUGUAUUUUGUCAUUUUGGGCCCUUUAACUUUAUAUUUUUAACAUUUUGAGUCCAAAAAUGGGUUUUUAGCCCAAAGAAGUUCAUAUUAACCAACUUGGUUAUUUUUCUAGAAAUGAUUUGAAUGUAGUAAUAUAAUUUAUGCUAGAAUCAUAUAACCUAAUGUAAAUCUCGGUUUUAAGGACUUUUUGACUAGAUCCAACAUCAUAUUCACACAAAAACACAAAUAUAAACAUAGAAAUCACACAAGGCAUACAUAUACAAAUAGAUCUACACAUUUGCUUGUAUUCUCCCCCUACAAAACUUAUAAAACCGAAAAAUAGGGGGUAUGAAGCUCACCUUUGGGUGUGGUUUCGGUUUUGGAGAAGAGAUGGAAAGAAAUGAGGUGAUUUUCGGCCCUAGCAACCUUUCCUUGAAGAUCUCAAGUUUAGAGAGUUUCUAAGAGAGUGAUCAAGAUUUUUACAUGAAUUAGAAGAAGAUUUUGAUAAAACAAAGUACCAAAAAUCAUGGAUCCUAGCUUGAUCUUACCUUAAGUGGAGAAUUUGUGGAGAUAUCUUCUUGAAAGCUCCUUAAAAUCUCGAAAUUUAGGAGGGGAAUUGAGAGAGUUUCUUGAGAGAAAAGAUGAGUGAAAUGUGUGUGUGUGCUUGAAAUCGGCCGAAACAAGAAGGGAGAGAAAGAAAUAGAUCUUGAAGUGAUAUGUGUAUGGAAGUAUGAGAUAAGAUGCAUGGAAAACCAACAUGUAAAAAAGAGGUGGCUACGAAAGUCAACUCUUCCCCAUGGAUUGGGCUUGGGCCGAGAAUGGAGAGGGGAGACAGAGGAUUUUUGGGCUUUUUGCCCCUAAGCCCAUAUUAGGGUUAGGUUGAAUGAUUGUUGGCCUUAUAAAAUAUAAGUGUGAUUUUUAUGCUUUAUUAGGCUAGAUUAGGUUAAUUAUGGUUCAUAAUAGUUCAUAUAAUUGAUUUAUUUCAUUCUCGGCCCAAUAUGGCCCAAAAUGUUGAAAUAAAUGAAAGUGGGUCCACUUAGAGCCCAUUUAAAGGUUCUAAGCCCAAGAUAGUCAAGUUGGAAGCUUAUUGGCCCAUUGGGCCCAAUAAGGAAGUCCUAGUCCAAAAUGGACCAACACAAGAACUUCUAGGGUUUCCAAUUACUUGUUGACUAUUUGAAAUGCUUGUAUGGUGUACUUGAUUGAAAUUUUGUUGCCAUGAAGUAAGCAUCUUACAUGCUCUUAAGUUUUUGAUUCAAAAUUUUACUUGAGUGUUGUGAUUACAAGGCACAAAAUUUCUAGUUGUGACAGCGAGUCAGGUCAACAUGGAUUGUUGACUCAAGUGUUGACUUCUGUUGACUUUAGGGUUUGGUCAAGGCAGGGAUUAUGGGGACCAUGGAGGGGUAAAAUGGUCUUUUACCCAUUCCAAGAGUUUGAAAGAGAAUAACUUAGUUUAUUUAGAUUCGUGAUUUAAAUGCUAAUUAGAGAUAAUUAUCUUAUGUGUUAUGCGGAGGCUAGUUCGAGAUUCGUGUACGAGAUUAUUUACUUGCUUGCUUACGAGGUGAGUCUUCUCACUAUACUUUACCUAGAGUGGUAAUAUGUGUGUGACCGGAGGGUCUUAUGUGCUUAUGUUGAGUAUUGUGAUAUCCUGCAUUACAUCUUUGUGUUGUGUUAUUUUGAGCUUACUGAGUUAGGACCAGAGGGUCCACCCGAGUUGUGGGACCGGAGGGUCCAACUGAGAUACAUUGAACGGAGGUCUUAUUUGAGCAUAGCCAUGAGAGGCUAAUGAGAUAUGUGUGGUAUUUUGAGGAGCUCGCUAAGCUCCGUGCUUAUUGUGUUAUGUGUUAUGCGUUUCAGGUACUUCUCAGGAUCAUGGGAAGGCGUCGACUUGAUUGUACACACACGAGUUGGAGAUAUGUUUCGGAGGAUCCUAGAAUGUGUUAUGAAAAACUUUUAAACAUGUGUUUCGAUAACUUGAUAAUUAUGGGGAUUUUUGUUAAUUUGCCAAUGAGAUUAAUGUGAUUUUAAAUGAAAGAUUUGUUGAAAAUUUACGGUGUUACAAGUUGGUAUCAAAGCCUUGGUUUGAGGGAUUCGGAUGUACCUUCGGGCGUGUCUAGACUCAAACCGAGGAUUUGAGAAAAAAAUUUAAAAGAAAUGAUUUUUCUAAAAACAAGAAAGAGUUUAAAGAGAAAAACAAGUUGGAGCAGUGUGUACAAUCAGCGAGAGCCCAAACGGUGAUUUCCAAAAAUACCCUUACUUAUUUGUGUUAUGAGGUAUUUAUGAGAUAUUAGGGAUGCAUGCUAGAGGAUAGGCUAGGUAUUUCAUAUUUAGGGCUAGAGUUGUUUGAUUUGUGAUGCCUUAGCCUAGGAGUUGUUGCCAUCUAUUAUUUGCCUUGAGUAUGUGUUGAGUAGGAGUAUUUAGCAGGAAACCCUUAGAGAGAGUUCUAAGUUGGGGGAUAAUCUAGGAGAGAUACCUAGAUGAGCAUACGAGGGGUCUACUGAGGGAGUAGUAUGUUAUUCAUGAGAGAUAGAGUACUUGUGAAUUGGGUUCCUAGGAGAAGGACUUGGAGAGACUACAAGUUGGUGUGGAAGGUAGUCUUAGGCCCGUACUACUGAAAGCACCGGAUCUGUAUACAACCCAAGUAAGAAUCCUUAGGAUGCUAAGGAAUGGGUGAUCGAGUGUGAUUAUGCUCGAGUGACUCUUUAAUGAUUUUGUGUUGUGUUUCAGAGACAUCAUGGUGGGUACCUGCUACAACCCCGAGAGAAGUGGGACUAGUGAUGAUGAGAUUCACAGGAUGAUUCAUGAAGAGGUGGCCGCAACCAUUCGAGAGGUGAUACCUAAGAUGUUUGGGUCUAUUAAGACCACACUGAUUGAGACAUUUGAGGAGCGAUAUGUUGUUGUUACUAAGGCGGCUGUUGCUGCAGCCACCACAGAUGUCGUCGCUGCCAGGCCAUAAGGAGGUGACUUGUUGUUCUUUUGAGAGUUCAGCAAUAUGAAGCCACACGAGUUUGAAGGGACACUGGAUCAGAUUGCUACUAUGAGAUGGAUCACUGAUAUCGAGGGGUGUUUUUAUACGUGUUCAUGCCCUGAUCAUUUGAGAUUUCGGUUUGCGCUAAACCAGCUUUGCUCGGGGGGGCGAAGGACUGGUGGAAGUUUGUGACUACCAGUUUUACUCCUGCAGACCAUGCUGCAGUGACGUGGGAGAGGUUCACUCAGUUGUUCUGAGAUGAUUAUGUUCCCCCAGUGGAGAGCGAAUGUUUGGCAUAGGAGUCUCUGUCUCUCAAGUAGAAGACAGAGUCGGUGACUGAGAUUAUGAGGAUGUUCCACGAGAGGGCGUUGUUCUGCCCUGAACAUGUGUCCACUGAGCAGACAUGUGUGAGCCGAUAUCUAAGCAUACUGAGGAGGGAUAUAUAGGAGUUCAUGGCGAACUUAUCAUACCAUAAAUUGGCUGAGCUUCAAACCAAUGCCAGUGUAACGACCAAAAAUUUCAACCAAAUUAAAACAUUUUAUUUCAUUCAAAAACCAUUACGUUCGUACAUCUUGUUUUCAAAAUAAUUUAAACAUCAGAGUAUUUCCCCAGAACCAUAUCACAUAAAUCAUAAAACAUGAGGAGCGGUACAAUCACGCCUUCGCCUUGCCACGAUCUCCUGAAGAACCUGAAACAAUAAACCACAACUGUAAGCCCGAAAGCUUAGUGAGUUCCCCCAAAGAACCCAUACACACAUAAACGUAGGCAUACAACAAAGAACAACAUACUACGGGUCCAAACAACCUUCCGGUUGAAAUACCCCUGGCCCUCAACCAUCGGGUUGGAAUGCCAACGUGCUACGAGCCCAAUCAUCCUACUGGGAUGGGAUACUCUCGGCCCACAACCAUCAGGUUGGAAUGCCCAUACACCUAUACGUACAACAACUACUAUGGGUCCAAUCAUCCCUCAGGAUGGAAUACCGCAGGCCCCUCAACCAUCGCGUUGGAAUGCCAACAUACUAUGAGUCUGAUCAUCCUACCGGGAUAGAAUACUCCUGGCCCACAACCAUCAGGUUGGAAUGCCCCACUUCCUAAACAUACAGUAACUAAUACUACUAUGGGUCUAAUCAUCCCUCGGGAUGGAAUACCCCAGGCCCCUCAACCAUCGGGUUGGAAUGCCAUACUACUAUGACUCCAAUCAUCCUACCUGGAUGGAAUACUCCUGGACCACAACCAUCGGGUUGGAAUGCCAAACUACUAUGAGUCCAAUUAUCCUACCUGGAUGGAAUACUCCUGGCCCACAACCAUCGAGUUGGUAUGCCAAUCUACACUAGCAAACAUGCACACAUAAAAGGCAACCACACAACACUUUAUAGAACCAACAUACUAGGGCCCUAUCAUCCUACCGGGAUGGAAUACCCUCUGCUACUGCUCAACAUACAUAACCCGCAGGUAACCUCCUACCAGCAUACAUAAGGCAAGACCAACUACAGGUCUAUUCUCAUAACUGCUACCCAAGUACUAGGGUGCUGAUCCAACAGAACUAGCCAUCUAUUAACUAUCCAUUCCUCUAGGAUACUAAGUUAACAAGGCAUAUCCUCAUAUCAUCAUCCUAUAUACCAGGAUACUAGCAAGCAUAACAUCACACAUCAUAACAAGCUCUAAACAACAAUUCAAAGGGCCGGCCUUGGUGCCUUAGACCCUUGAGUACAGUGAGGAUAACUCACCUUGCAACUGCCGAAAUCCUACAAAUUUCUGACUGCUGACUCACCGGAAAUCCCAACUAUCACAUGCAAACAUUACAUUAGAAUCCAAAAUGACUUUCUAGGCCAAAUGCCCACAACACCCGUUAAGUCCAUUAUCCUCUUAUUGGGCCAAGACUCAAAACCAAAUCCUCAUGCAAAGCCCAAUAAUGUCCAUAAUAAUUAUUGGGUCCAAUUUACUCCAUCUAUAUUGUUCAGUCAUGGCCCAAGCCCACUAGUCCAUAAACAGCCCAAUUACUCGAGGCCCAAAAUUGAAAACCCAACAGAGGGAGUACGCUGGGCGUACUCCUCUGGUACGUGGGGCGUACUCUCGCCUGCACCGAAACAUCCUUCCAUGAGCUUAAUGGCUUAAGCACUUAAGCCCAUAUGCUAGAUCCAGUGACAAAAAGGGCCUAGGACUCAUAAAGUCUAAAUCUUUAUCCUUUUGGACGUCCGUAAAGCUCUUAACUCAAGGUCUUAACCCAUUAAGACCUUCCUAGUUCUUACAUGGGACAACCAAAGCCAUUGGGACCUCAUUUUUCUUACUCAAGACCUCUCCAUUGGUCUGAAAGGACAGCUCAUCUUAACCAAAACACAUCAUGCAUUAUGAUGGGCUUUUGGGACAAGAAAUGGUGUCAAAACUUCACCACACUUAGAUCUACACAAAAUAGAUGUCAAGCAAGAAGCUUUAUACCUUCAAGUGGUUGCAAAGGGUGAUGCUUUCUCGGAUCUACAAGCUCCAGCCACCAAGUUUCCUUCUUUCCAACCUCUUCUUUCUUCCUCUAAGCUUUUCUUUGCCAAGCUAAGCUCCACAAGGCCAACACAUCCAACAAUGGAGAUGGAACGGCUAUCUAGGGUUUUUCUGAGGAUAAGGGAAUAGAUAAGGAGGCUAGGGUUGAUCCCUUAUGUUCUUUAAAUAGUGGUUGGCCCCAAAAUUAGGGUUUUAAGACUCUGAGCGUACGCUGGGCGUAACUCUAGUACGUUGGGUGUACGUUUCCUUGCACCCGUGGCCAUUCUUUCUGCUACGUUGGGCAUACCCAUGCGUGUCCCAAAGGCGUGCAUGGCCUUCCUUGACAACUUUUUCCAUUAAGUGCCAUAAAUGUCAAUAUCUUCAAAGUGUCAUAACUCCUUUAUUCCAAGUCCGUUUCCGACGAACUUUAUAUCCACGAAAAGGUGGCGAGAAGCCCUACGCUUCUAGCUACACACCCCGACCCAAAACCUUCUCGAAUAAAACCCAUUGCCCAUAAAAGACCGAAACACCCUUACUCUUGAUCUCGGGGAUCCAUGAAUAAUUACUCUUAGAACAGGGUGUUACAAUUCUCCCCCACUUAAAUAUGAUUUCUCCCUCGAAAUCGCCAAUUGCCAACUCUGGCUACCCAAACUUCUGAAAGGCACAUUCACGCCCCUAAAACGUGACGACCACUAAGGGAGGCCAGCCCCACUAGCACUCCUCCUCGAAGGGAUACCUACUCCUUCUCAUGCAGACUCGAAUACCUACCUCUCUGGAUGACCCUGAACCUAGAAAGUUAGAUUGGAUCUGUCUCCCAGACAGGCUAUCCAAACUAACCAUCCCCUGACCUCUUCCUAUUGCUAUAAAAAGGGACUACUCCACUGUGGGAACCUGAAUUCCCAACCUGAAAACAAGACCACGAGUCAUACUCUGCUAUCGGCCACACUUGCUCUCUCUUUAACUCAUACCCAAAUGUACAUACAACAAUACCCUUACCAAAACCAACACUCACACCUGGCCCAAUCAGCCUCGGGCUGGAAUACCAGGCAUGUCUACGACGGGUCCGCUCAUCCCAAGGAUGGAAUACCCUCGUAUCCCUACACAUGUUUGGCCCAAUCAACCCUCGGGUUGGAAUACCAAACACAUCAGGUCCAAUCAAUCAUAGGGUCCGGUCAUCCUCAUGAUGGAAUACCCCAUAUUGGAAUACCUCCACAUACAUAACUCAAACCCAAAACCAUAGUCGAAACCAAGGAUCUUGUCCUUGCGUCACCCUCGAACUCUCCGGUUCGCCACACCUGAGUGUAACCCACUCAUACUUCCCUAACACGAUCUCUAGGUCCUUGACCUCUGACUGCCAUAUCCUUGCACAGUCCUCAUCACCGGUCCAGACUGCUCCCGAGUCUUUUAACUUGUUAUCUUACUUUCCUCUGUCCAACCCUCCAAUCUGGAGCCACUAUCCCCCUCCUCUUCCAAGGAGACUAAAAACAUGCUUACGCAUCAUCCAACAUUGUCCCAGCGACAGAUCCUCGCUAUACAUCACCCCUUAGCGGUGCCUAUCGCCGUCUCAUAACAUGCGUACAUACUCAAAGACUGAUCAUAUAACCAACAAUCCAUACAUAGCCUGUCGCAUUUCCUCGACACAUGCAAGCCCUUACUAUAAUCGAACCGCCUCAUCGCACCGUCCCAAUAACCGACGUUCAAGCCGCGCCAGGCAACCUUCUACAACCAGCGGCUCCUCUGAGAAUUUCCAAUUCUCCCCCACUUAGGGCACUAACCACCAUCCACUGGCAGCGAAGCUAACACGCUGUUCAAUCGAACCCACCAAUACGCCGAACUUCAAGGAACCUAAGUUCCUGCUGAAAGUUCCCGAAUUCUCGAACCAUAACUUUCCCUUCUCACGAAUCCCACAUUGGAUAUAAACCCUCGAUACUAACUCUUCUCUAAAACAUGCAACACUUUAAUAUCUCAUGCAAGAAACAACAUCUCAUAAUCAUAACAUGAACGAGAUAAAGUAGAAGAACAUACCGACUGACACCUCUGGCUCAGAUCUGAUCUCCUCGGACACAAGCUGAUAAGCAUGCCAUGGAGCCCUUGGAGGCUCCGCCCGACCCUGACUCCCGUCAGUAAGUCUCAAAGUGGUUGGCGCUGGGGCCUGUACUGACCUGGCAGCUAGUAGAGGACACUAGGCCUUCAUAUGGCCCACCUGAUCACAAUGAUAACAAAGUCGAACUCUGGCAGCUGGAGCCUGCUGCCUACAAUCCCUGGCUAUGUGGCCCUCCUUGCCACACUUGUGCAAACCGAAGAAGAACAUAAACUACCCUCAUGCACCUUGCCUUACUUCCCGCAAGUGAGACCCCUCUGACCUCCCUGUCAAUAAUCAGCGGGCCUCAUCUGCUUCCAUGCAGGCUGCGACUGCACCGGGUCCUGCCUCUGCUCUCUCAACUGGAGCUCAAUCUCUAACUCGCGCCGCCUAGCGGCCUCCUGCAACUCUAACAAGGUACUACACCUCAGAGUGGAUACAAACUGCCUGAUGUCCCUCUUGAGCAUACUCAGAUAUCGAGACAUAUGAGCCUGCUCUGAAGCAAACUCCAGGCAAAACAUCACCCUCUCAAUGAACAUUCGGGUGAUCUCCAUCACGGACUCUGAACCCUGCUUCAGUUCCAGGAACUCCUGAGCCAACCUCUCUCUCUCAACUUGCGAAACAUAACGAGUACUGAACAUUUCCCUGAACUGAUCCCACGAAACCGCAGCCCGUUGCACAUCAAAAUAAGAUCCUGUGGUCAACCUCCACCAAUCCUUCGCCCCGAGCCUUAAAAGGUUCAGAGCACACCUCACCCUCUGAUCCGUAGGACAUGAACAUGUGAAGAAGCAACCCUCCACGUCUGACAACCAUCUCAUAGCAACAAUCGAAUCCUAAACUCCAUCAAAAGUAUGAGGCUUCGUAUUGUCGAAAUCCCGAUACUGAAAACCUCGACUGGCUCCUCCCCCUGUCGCUGCCANNNNNNNNNNNNNNNNNNNNNNNNNNNNNNNNNNNNNNNNNNNNNNNNNNNNNNNNNNNNNNNNNNNNNNNNNNNNNNNNNNNNNNNNNNNNNNNNNNNNNNNNNNNNNNNNNNNNNNNNNNNNNNNNNNNNNNNNNNNNNNNNNNNNNNNNNUCAUCCGUACUCAUCUGACCAAUGACUUCGGGUGGUGCUGAUCCAUCCUGCCCACCCUCUCCCGAUCCCGAUCCCGAACCGGAUCCUGACUCGAAACGUCUUGCAUCCGCCAUGCUGAAAUGAACCAUAAGAAUCUCAGAUACCUCGCAUAACCGCCGAGAACUAACCUCUUACCAACAACCUAGGGGUUGUGACUUCCUUGAUACGCGUAUGGGUCCUGUGCUUUCAGUACUACGGGCCCAUACUACCUUCCACACCUACCCAUAUUUGUCUCAAGUAUCACCACAACGCCCUAAGUACAAACAUGCAUCGCAAGCACUCAAUCCUCACCCCUAGAGGAUUACCGAAUAGCUCAUAUCAAGGAACCCUAGGCUAGCAGGCAUCAUAAAUCAGGCAAUCCUAUCAUGCAAUUCCUGAAGAUCCCUAGCCUAGUACUAGCAUGCUGUUCUAACAUAUCUCAAAACAAAUAACUUGCAAGGUAUUUUGGGGUAACUUAUUGGCUCCAGCUGAUCGUACCCUCUGCGUCCUCCUUUACUUAUUUUGAAAACCCUUUUUGAAAAACUCUCCUUGAUUUGAGACUGGAUUCACACGAAUGUUCCUCCAAUUCACUCAAACCAAGGCUCUGAUACCAACUUUUAACGACCAAAAAUUUCAACCAAAUUAAAACAUUUUAUUUCAUUCAAAAACCAUUACGUUCGUACAUCUUGUUUUCAAAAUAAUUUAAACAUCAGAGUAUUUCCCCAGAACCAUAUCACAUAAAUCAUAAAACAUGAGGAGCGGUACGAUCACGCCUUCGCCUUGCCACGAUCUCCUGAAGCACCUGAAACAAUAAACCACAACUGUAUGCCCGAAAGCUUAGUGAGUUCCCCCAAAGUACCCAUACACACAUAAACGUAGGCAUACAACAAAGAACAACAUACUACGGGUCCAAACAACCUUCCGGUUGAAAUACCCCUGGCCUUCAACCAUCGGGUUGGAAUGCCUACGUGCUACGAGCCCAAUCAUCCUACCGGGAUGGGAUACUCUCGGCCCACAACCAUCAGGUUGGAAUGCCCAUACACCUAUACGUACAACAACUAUUAUGGGUCCAAUCAUCCCUCAGGACGGAAUACCGCAGGUCCCUCAACCAUCGCGUUGGAAUGCCAACAUACUAUGAGUCUGAUCAUCCUACCGGGAUAGAAUACUCCUGGCCCACAACCAUCAGGUUGGAAUGCCCCACUUCCUAAACAUACAGUAACUAAUACUACUAUGGGUCUAAUCAUCCCUCGGGAUGGAAUACCCCAGGCCCCUCAACCAUCGGGUUGGAAUGCCAUACUAUUAUGACUCCAAUCAUCCUACCUGGAUGGAAUACUCCUGGACCACAACCAUCGGGUUGGAAUGCCAAACUACUAUGAGUCCAAUUAUCCUACCUGGAUGGAAUACUCCUGGCCCACAACCAUCGGGUUGGUAUGCCAAUCUACACUAGCAAACAUGCACACAUAAAAGGCAACCACACAACACUUUUUAGAACCAACAUACUAGGGCCCUAUCAUCCUACCGGGAUGGAAUACCCUCUGCUACUGCUCAACAUACAUAACCCGCAGGUAACCUCCUACCAGCAUACAUAAGGCAAGACCAACUACAGGUCUAUUCUUAUAACUGCUACCCAAGUACUAGGGUGCUGAUCCAACAGAACUAGCCAUCUAUUAACUAUCCAUUCCUCUAGGAUACUAAGCUAACAAGGCAUAUCCUCAUAUCAUCAUCCUAUAUACCAGGAUACUAGCAAGCAUAACAUCACACAUCAUAACAAGCUCUAAAUAACAAUUCAAAGGGCCGGCCUUGGUGCCUUAGACCCUUGAGUACAGUGAGGAUAACUCACCUUGCAACUGCCGAAAUCCUGCAAAUUUCUCACUGCUGACUCACCGGAAAUCCCAACUAUCACAUGCAAACAUUACAUUAGAAUCCAUAAUGACUUUCUAGGCCAAAUGCCCACAACACCCGUUAAGUCCAUUAUCCUCUUAUUGGGCCAAGACUCAAAACCAAAUCCUCAUGCAAAGCCCAAUAUUGGCCCAAUUUACUAAAUUGGGCCCACCUUUCCAAACGGGCCUAGAUCCAAGGUCCAUAAUAAUUAUUGGGUCCAAUUUACUCCAUCCAUAUUGUUCAGUCACGGCCCAAGCCCACUAGUCCAUAAACAACCCAAUUACUCGAGGCCCAAAAUUGAAAACCCAACAGAGGGAGUACGUUGGGCGUACUCCUCUGGUACGCAGGGCGUACUCUCGCCUGCACCGAAACAUCCUUCCAUGUGCUUAAUGGCUUAACCACUUAAGACCAUAUGCUAGAUCCAGUGACAAAAAGGGCCUAGGACUCAUAAAGUCUCAAUCUUUAUCCUUUUGGAUGUCCAUAAAGCUCUUAACUCAAGGUCUUAACCCAUUAAGACCUUCCUACUUCUUACGUUGGACAACCAAAGCCAUUGGGACCUCAUUUUUCUUACUCAAGACCUCUGCAAUGGUCUGAAAGGACAGCUCAUCUUAACCAAAACACAUCAUGCAUCAAGAUGGGGUUUUUGGGACAAGAAAUGGUGUCAAAACUUCACCACACUUAGAUCUACACAAAAUAGAUGUCCAACAAGAAGCUUUAUACCUUCAAGUGGUUGCAAAGGGUGAUGCUUUCUCGGAUCUACAAGCUCCAGCCACCAAGUUUCCUUCUUUCCAACCACUUCUUUCUUCUUCUAAGCUUUUCUUUGCCAAGCUAAGCUCCACAAGGGCAACACACCCAAAAAUGGAGAUGGAACAGCUAUCUAGGGUUUUUCUGAGGAUAAGGGAACAGAUAAGGAGGCUAGAGUUCAUCCCUUAUGUUCUUUAAAUAGUGGGCGGCCCCAAAAUUAGGGUUUUAUGACUCUGAGCGUACGCUGGGCAUAACUCUAGUACGUUGGGCGUACGCGUCCUUGCACCCGCGGUCAUUCCUUCUGCUACGUUGGGCGUAACCCAUCCUACGUUGCGCGUACCCACGCGUGUCCCAAAGGCAUGCAUGGCCUUCCUCGACAACUUUUUCCAUUAAGUACCAUAAAUUUCAAUAUCUUCAAAGUGUCAUCACUCCUUUAUUCCAAGUCCAUUUCCGGCGAACUUUAUAUCCAUGAAAAGGUGGCGAGAAGCCCUACGCUUCUAGCAACACACCCCGACCCGAAACCUUCUUGAAUAAAACCCAUUGCCCAUAAAAGACCGAAACGCCCUUACUCUUGAUCUCGGGGAUCCAUGAAUAAUUACUCUUAGAAUGGGGCGUUACAGCCAGGCGGAGGGAGAUUGAGCUAGAGUUACAGACCAGGGAGGAGGAAGAGUCUUGGGGUGGGGACCGAACACCAGUGCAGAUGCAUCCGACGACGAAGCGGGCUAAGGUCGCUGAUACUAGAGUUGGGGUCCUGAAGGGCCGCACUAGUGGCAAGUGUGGCAAGAGUCAAGAGGGAUCAUGCCGAGCGGGGAUUUGCUACAAAUAUGGCAAAGAGGAGCACAUAGCGAAGGAUUACCCUAAGGGGUUUGCAGUUUGCUUCCACUGCAACCAGACCAGCCAUCGGAAGGUCGAGUGUCGUCAGCUCAUUCAGUGAUCAGCACAGGGUUCUGCACCUCCUACUUUACAAGUUACUGAGAGUCAGCCAGCAAGCGCCGAGACACCGAGGGUUCAUGGGAGAGCCUUUCAGCUGACAGCGGAGGAGGUCCGCGCAGCGCCUGACGUCAUGGCCAGUACGUAUUCCUUGUUUAUAGUCUUUUACGAUAUGUUGUGCUUAUAUUUUUCUUUGUAUAGGUACUUUUUGUGAUUUCUGUACCUACCUUGGUGUUAUUUGACUCGGGUGCGAGUCGAUCCUUCAUGUCUUUAGCUUUUAGUCGUCACAUCAGUAUCCGACGUGAGACGUUGAGUCGACCUCUAAGGGUUUCUAUAGCCAACAAGCAUGCAGUUUUUGCUACUGAUGUGAUCCGGGGGUGUGUACUAGAGAUUUUUGGUGUUGAGUUCCCGAUAGACUGGUACCGAUUGCGAUGGGUGAUAUUUGUGUCAUAAUGGGCAUGGACUGGUUGAGUUAGUUUGGAGAUGUGAGCGUCAGUUAGUGACUAUACGAGACUAGUGGGGGAGUGCGUACGGUGUAUGGUGAAGGUACCAGAUCUGGAUCAACUUUCUACUCUACUGCCAGAGCGAGACAGAGUCUAUAUCAGGUUUUUAUGGGCGUUUUGGCGUACAUGAUGGAUACGCGAGUUGCUACAAAGAGGUCGAGUUCUAUCGCCAAGGUUCUGAUAGUGUGCAAGUUUCUGGAUGUUUUUCCCGAGGAGUUGUCAAGUGUGCCUCUCGAGAGGCAAGUGGAGUUUCGGAUUGAUUUGGUUCCGGGAGCAGUGCCUAUUUCCAAGACACCUUAUCGCCUUGUGCCACCAGAGAUGAAGGAGUAAUCAUCAUAGCACAAGGAGCUGUUGGGGAAGGGUUUUAUCAGACCGAGUAGCUCACUGUGAGAAGCACCGAUCCUUUUUGUCAAUAAAAGGAUGGUUCACAUCGGAUGUGUAUCGAUUACUGGGAGUUGAACAAGCUGACGGUCAAGAACCGUUAUCCACUACCGAGGAUCGACGAUUUGUUCGAUCAGUUGCAUGGGGUGUCUUGGUUUUCCAAGAUUGAUUUGAGAUCUAGAUAUCAUCAGAUGAGAGUCUGUUAGGAGGAUAUCCAUAAGACAGCCUUUAGGACUUGUUAUAUGCACUACGAGUUUGUGUUGAUGCCUUUCGGACUCACCAACACACCGGUAGCAUUCAUGGACCUAAUCAACCGGGUGUGCAGGCCUAUGUUGGAUCGAUCGGUGAUCGUGUUCAUCGACGAUAUUAUGGUGUAUUCGAUAUUCGGAGAGCAUCAUGAGGAGCAUCUUAGAGAGAUUCUUGGAGUAUUGAGGACGGAGAGGCUUUAUGCCAAAUUCUCCAAGUGUGAUUUCUGGUUACAAGAAGUCCAGUUCCUGGGACACCUCGUUAAUCAGAAUGGGAUAUUGGUCGACCCGGCCAAGAUUGAGGCAGUUAUGAGAUGGGAGGAGCCAAGAUCCCCAACCGAGAUCAGGAGUUUUCUAGGUUUGGCCGGCUACUAUGAGAGGUUUAUCAGGGAUUUCUCCAAGAUUAUUGUCCGUCACACCAGACUGACCCGGAAGGGUGUUACUUUUGCUUGGGGCCCGAGCAGUAGGCCUCAUUUGAGACUCUUCGCCAGAGAUUGUGCGAAGCCCCGAUGUUAGCCCUUCCCAAGGGAGUGGAGGACGUUAUAGUUUAUUGUGAUGCUUCUAUAUUCGGGAUGGGUAUGGUGUUAGUGCAGAGGAGGCACGUGAUAGCAUAUGCAUCGAGGCAGUUGAAGCCUCAUGAGACGAGGUAUCCCACCCACAACCUAGAGCUAAGGCGGUGGUCUUUGCCCUAAAGAUCUGGUGCCACUACCUGUAUGGAGUCCGGUGUACCAUAUAUACGGACCCCAAGAGCCUGAAGUACCUCAUGUAUCAGCCCAACCUGAAUAUGAGGCAGAGGAGGUGGUUGGAUGUAGUGAAGGAUUAUGACUGCGAGAUCUUAUAUCAUCCGGGCAAGGCUAAUGUGGUAUUCGGCGCCUUGAGCCGUAGAGCAGCGAGUGCUCCGGUCCGAUAUGUGUGCAUGAGGAUGACAGUUAUGACUCCAGUCUUAGAUACCUUUCGAGAUGCCCAAGUGGAGGCCGUGAUACCGGAGAACCGUAAGAGGGAACGGGUGAUUGGGCAGGUUUCCGAGCUUAAGACGGACAGUCGUGGGCUUAUGACUUUCUGAGGGCGGAUUUAGGUGCCCUAUACAAGUGGAGCUCGUCAUAUAUUGAUGGAGGAGGCCUAUAGAUCGAGAUUCUCGAUCCACCCAGGGGCCACUAAGAUGUAUUUGGACCUGAAGAGAGAUUAACGGUGUCCCUGUAUGAAUAGGAAUGUGGCAUGGGUAGUUAAGAGAUGCUUGACCUGUCAUCGGAUUAAGGCGGAGCACUAGCAUCCACAUGGUCCGUUACAGCCUCUAGAGAUUCCCCAGUGGAAGUGGGAAUAGAUUUUGAUGGAUUUUAUCACCAAGCUACCGAGUACUGCGCGUGGGGUUGACGCGAUAUGGGUGAUUGUAGACCGGUUGACGAAGAGUGCUCACUUCCUCACCAUCAGUGAGAGCUCUUCUAUAAAGAAACUGGUGGAGAUUUAUAUGAGAGAGGUGGUAUCAUGGCAUGGAGUGCCUACCUCGAUAGUGUCAGAUCAAGGGCGAAGUCUGAUUCUAGUGGGGGAGAAUUGUAGCAUCCCAACUCUCAGGUAUUAUAUUUAUAUAUUUAUUUUUGGGAUUGAAUGAGUGACUCAACGAGUUGUGUUCCCGACUCGUCAGGUAGAGUCGGAUUGGUCACGUGGGUUUAAUGACCAACUCGACGAGUCAGAGAGCCGACUCGCCGAGUUGACACUGUGUGAGGAAACACUAAAUCAUCAGGUUUGUGUCCUAUUUAAAGGGCCUUAAGCCCUCAUUUCCACCUCCCUCAUCACCCUUGAGCCAUGUAAAUAACACUGAUCGAUUUUUAGCUUGUUGUGUGAGAAGGAGAGUCUAUCUUGAGCAUUUUGGUGCACUUUGAGAGAAGAAGAGGAAAGCAUCAAGGCUUGGAGCAAGGAGAGACAUUUGGAUCUAGAGGUUCUUAAUGGAUAGCUUCUGUCUGAGGUUAAAAGAUGUUAUCUUGAUCAUUUUUCUUGUGAGAUCUUAGUUUGGGGAGUUCUAGAGAUUUUCCCCACCCUUCUUGUGUUAUUGAGUCCCUUGAGCAGAUCUUGAGGUUGAAACCUCAUAUCUGGAUUCUAGGUCUUAGGAGCCCAAAGACCCAAGCUUUAUGGAGCUAGAGGCAAGCCUAUGAGCACCAAACCCUUGUUGGAGCUUGUAUUGGCAUUAUGGAGCAAAUAUGUAAUGCAUGAACGUAAACAUCGAAGCUUUACGUGACAUUCGAGCCUUAGGAGACUAGAUCUAGAGUUUGGAGGGGUAGAUCUGCCUUAAAACAUCUGAAUGAGAAUACAGAUUGAAUGGACUCGCCGAGUCGGAUAGGGUUUCCCCCGAUGAGUCUGGAAAUAGGUAACUCAGCGACUUGAUGAGACAACUCGACGAGUUAAGUUGGGUUUUCACGACAUUUCUAAGGAAAUGAGGGGACUUGGCAAGUCACAUAGAUGCACCCGGCGAUUCAGGUCAACAAGGACUGUUGACUCGAGUGUUGACUUCUCUUGACUUUAGGGUUUGGUCAAGGCAGGGAUUAUGGGGACCAUGGAGGGGUAAAAUGGUCUUUUACCCAUUCCAAGAGUUUGAGAGAGAAUAACUUAGUUUAUUUAGAGUCAUCAUUUAAAUGCUAAUUAGAGAUAACUAUCUUAUGUGUUAGGCGGAGGCUAGUUCGAGAUUCGUGUACGAGAUUAUUUACUUGCUUGCUUACGAGGUGAGUCUUAUCACUAUACUUUACCUAGAGUGGUAAUCUUUUUGUGACCGGAGGGUCUUAUGUGCUUAUGUUGACUAUUGUGAUAUCCUGCAUUACAUCUUUGUGUUUUGUUCUAUGUUAUUCUGAGCUUACUGAGUUAGGACCGAAGGGUCCACCCGAGUUGUGGGACCGGAGGGUCCCACUGAGACACAUUGACCACAGGAUCUUAUUUGAGCAUAGCCAUGAGAGGCUAAUGAGAUAUGUGUGGUAUUUUAGGGAGCUCUCUAAGCUUCGUGCUUAGUUUGUUAUGAUUUAUGUGUUUCAGGUACUUCUCAGGAUCACGGGAACGCACCGGCUUGAUUGUACACACACGAGUUGGAGAUAUGUUUCGGAGGAUCCUGGAAUGUGUUAUGAAAAACUUUUAAACAUUUUUUUUAUAACUUGAUAAUUAUGGGUAUUUUUGUGAAUGUGCCAAUGAGAUUAAUGUGAUUUUAAAUGAAAAUUUUGUUGAAAUUUUACUGUGUUACAAUGAUUACGACAUCCCUCUUCAUAGUUCGAAUUGUGAGAAAUGGCAAAUUGUUUGAACAUUAGGGACUUAGGGGUCCUUUUAUGGAGUCACAAACACCAUGAGCAACAAGAUGAACAAGGAGAGAGGGAGGAGGAAUAAAAAAACAUCCAAGAUACUCCAAGGAAUGCUUAGCCACGUUUUUGGGAGCCUUAGGGGUCCUUUUAUACUUGUGUGGGCUGCUAGGAUUUUGGAUGAAACCCUAAUUCUCUGCUUAGGCCUUAAGCAACUCAUGGAGUCCCUUUAGAAAGCCCUUGGAUGAAUUCCAUAUGGUAUUCCCAUAGAUUUCGUCCAAUCCCUUUUCCAUUAGGAAUCCAUAACCCACAAUGCAAUUAUCUUAUAAUUACAAUAUUAGUCCCCCAAGUUUAAUUAAUCUCUUUUAGCAACAAAUUAAUUUUUAAUUAAUUAUUGACUAAUAAUAAUUAAACAAUAUGAUUUCUUCUUUAAUAUAUUAUUCACAUAAUAUAUUAAUAAAUCAUAAUUAAUCCUCUUUCUCCUUAAUUCAUCCUAUCAGUUGCUAUGGUGAAGGCAACCCAAAAGGACCAUGCUCACAAUCGGGUCAAGUACAUACCAAAAUCGUUAUGGGCUUAGAUACCUAAUCAAACAGCCUCCCACUUGGAUAAGUCUAAUUACUAUUUUGCAUAUGACUACAGAACCUGAUCAGCAAUCGUAGCUUUCAAAAGCUGCUGUCAACUCUCGUUUUAUCAGUAACACGUCCUUUAGAUAAAGGGUCAUAUAUUCCUCCAUUCUAGAUAUCGAAUAGACUGAGACAUGGAUUUAAAUCAUUCCCUCUGUCUAUAUGUUGUUUCCUAAUUUUCGAUUUAUGACGACUGACAACAGACUUCAAAUGAACACAUCAACUUAGUCCCGGCUUGGCCAAGCGCUUAGGGUAUCAUCACUAAAUCAUCGAGGGGCCAACAAUUAUCGCUUUUAUCCCACUUUGGGUAAAAGGAACGGAUAAACUUCGACUUAAAUGCUUGCUUGUAGCUACUCAUUAAAUCACACACAACAAUAUGUUCUAUAACACCAAGUUACUAGUGCGAUUACAUGUUAUCAAUGUGCAACUGACCUGCAGAAUACAACUCACACAUCUCGGUUUCAAGAAUAUAAGAUAUUAUCGUCUCACCAAUCACUCGUGAUAAAAUCCAUGAUGUGAUCCAAGUGAGUGUGGUUUAAUCCAAUACUCUAAUCUUAUACCAGCACUCAUGAACCCUCCAGCAAACUUUUGCUAUGUCUACAACGAUUUAGACAAUCUACAGUCAGAUUCAUGACAGUGUUCUUUCAUACCUACUUCCAAAGCAUGAGCGACUGUGGAGGGUUUGGAUAAUCUUAUUAUUAGGGAAGUCAAAACAUGCAAAGUAAACAUAAGAUUAAUACUAAUCCUAUAUGGCCCCAAACUUUUGAGUAUAAAUAAUACACAUUUAUCUAAUCAACAUAUUGAUUACUCAUUAUUUAUUGUUUCGGGUAAUCAACUUAUUACUUGAAUUAUAACAACAGUUGUCCCUUACACCAAGCAUGCACACUAUGUUUACCUAUGGUCCUUACUUUGUGAAAUAGAUCAAUUGAAACAUUUCCAAUGAUGCUCAUUUCACAAUUCCUAAUCUUUAUCAUAAGUGCAAGAAUACUGAAUUCUCGCCAAUACUAGAAUAUGUUAGAUUCUAACAUUUUAUGCAACGAUCCUUUCGUAAUGUCACGGCACAAAAGUCACCAAGACUCGGCCAAUGAAAUUACAAAGUGCUCUAUUGGACAUUGUUACAAAACAAUUCCAUAGAUAUGAAGUUUCACAUAAAAAGUACAUUCCUUUAAACAUCCUUCUUGCAUAAAGUUUAUAAUCUAGACAUAAAUUCUUAACAUCUAACUCCCAAUAUGGAAACAUUUCCAUAUUUUCCAUAUUACAACUCAUUCUAAAUAGAGUCUUAUAUAUUCAUAAUAAUGUCAAUAUGGUCAAUUCAUUACUAUACUUCCAGUUGUCCACAAGCGAUCAAUCCUUGGCGAACCUUAGAUCGUUCUUGACAGUUGUUUAAUUAAUUUAGCCAAAUCGGGUUCUAGUCCUUUUUCCCUCUUAAUGUCCUAGGCAUUUGGAAAAUUUUAGAACGGUCAAAUAUUACAGCAAAUGCAAUCGAUCCUAUACCCGAAACAUAUGGGACACGAUUCAUAACAAAAAACGUGAUACUUUACCAGUUUCUUGCUAUAAUAUUUCUAUUUUCCAUGUUCUCACAAUUCGAACUAUGAAGAGGGAUGUCGUAAUCAUAAUACAAUUUUGANUGUGUGUGAAUAUAUAUAUAUAUAUAUAUAUAUAUAUAUAUAUCUUGGACUAAAAUUUGAUUAAAUUUUCUCAAUCUAAGCUUUUAGAUUUGAAACGAAGUAUAACAUUAUCUCCCUUAAUUAUAGCAAAACAAUUUUUCAACUCAUGCAACUUUGCAAAGUGAAACUUUUGUUUUCUAUAAUUAAUAUUGAUAAUUGCAACACUUGAAAUAAUAAUCAUGCUCCCACUAACAUGAUGAUUAUAUCCAUACCAGCAUAACAUUUAUGCUCCCACUAGCUUUGACACGUAUUCAGAAAACAGUUGGACUUCUAGAAAGCAAUACUUAUUGACUUCUAAAGUUCAUAUUUCUAAUACGAUAUGCUUCAAUAAGGCUUUAUCUAAGCUUCUCAAACUCAUACACAUUUCCUUAGAUAACUUGUAUGUGUGUCUAAACUAAUUCAAAACUUAUGUUACUAAGUCCCAAAUGUUCAGACUAAUCGCUAAAUCUCACAAUUCGAACUAUGAAGAGGGAUGCCGUAAUCAUAAUCGAAUUUGAGAAUGCAAUUUACACAAUCGCUAUCUCCUUAAAAUCUCUCUUAGUGAAAGUGUUUCCUCACAAUCAUUUUCAUGAAACGGAGAGAAACCUUAUGACACUUAGAUUUUAUGGUGUAUGUGUUCCUAUCCAUGUGAAUUUGUCAUAACCAUAAUCAUAAGAUAAUGUUUGUGAUCAAAUCCAAACUCAUAAGGACAGAACGUGUUCAUUCUUAAUUUCUUGCCAUCAAGGUCCCACCAUUGCUUCUAAUUUAUUUAGUAACUCACCUAUACCAGUCAAUGUACUUUCAUUGAACAAGGUGUCUUGUCUCUAUACAAUCAAUUGAGAACUCAUAGAACUCACAUGCAUAGUUGACCAAACCGGAAUGGCACAGAUUCAAGAAUAUGUCAACAUGAUAGGUUACAAACCUCACAUCGUGUGCUAGUGUCUAAUAUGUUUACUCUUGAUUAGUUUUUGAACCUUUUCAAGAUCAUUUAGACUCCCACUGACCUCUUGACAUAUAAUAUUAUCUUGUCGAGAAACAUUUCUUGACAAACAGAUAUUCAAGAGUUAGUGCGGAUUCUUGUCAAGACAAACACUACACACAAUUGGUCUUAGUUGGUCUUUGUCUUAUCCAAGACAUCACAACUUACUAAUUUCAAACGUGUAAGAGUAAGAAAAACAUUUUUCUACUUCAUAUUUGAUGAGUGUGUUAAAACUUCUUAAGAUAUGUCACUCAAGUCACAAUCUUGGAGUAUGACUGUAAGACUUGAUUUUGGAAUGAAGUAUGACUCAUCCUUUUGAUUUAACCAUUUUAACAAUUUCUGAUUCCUCUUCUUAGCCAUACUAGUGCACUAAGGUGUCCUUAGAGGAUUAAUUGUGAUAUGGUUUCAUAAUCAAUAAGACGAUCAUAAAACAUGAUACUAAAGUACUCUCCUAUCUUUUCAGAUUAGAGAAACUUUUAUCUUUCUGCCUAAUUGAUUCUUCUUAUUCGUUCUGCUAUUCAUUAAAACUGUAACAUUCCAAAAUUUGCAAUAAAUUUGAACUUUUAAAAACAACAUAAAUCAUCCAUUUAAUAUAUUUUAUUCAAAACAAAUGAAAUACCAAACCCCAAGAUCAAUUAUGUUUUCAAACAUUAUUAGUUAUAAUUCUAAAAUUUAUGAAAAGACAACAAGUUCAAUAUUAAUUCCAAAAAUCCGCCUCAAGCCAGUGUGUACAAUCAUGCCCGACCAUCCUGUGUACCAGAAAAUAGUAUUUUUAAGGGAAAAAGAUAAGCACAAAGCUUAGUGAAUUCCACACAUACACAAUAUCAUAUCAUAUAAUCCUUACCCCAUACACGAAUACAAUCGGCAGCAAACACAUAACCAUGCAUGCAUGUCAAAGAACGAAUCAAUCAGUAAAAGACAUACUCCUACCGGGACACAUUGGCUAGGCCCGAUCCCCCUUGCUCAGUACAUCGAGUCCUUGGGACACGUUGGCUAAGCCUGAUCCCCCGUACCCGAACCCAUUGGGACACAUUGGCCAUGCUUGAUCCCCCUUGCUCAGUUCGUCAAGCCUUUGGGACACAUUGGCUACGCCCGAUCCCCACUCGGAUGCGCCGAGUCCUACCAUGCAUAAUCCUCAAUACGUGAGGCAAACCACUAGACUCUACCCCGCCUAGUAAUACCCACAUAAAUAAUACAAUACAUAGCACACACGAGCUAAUGUAAAGAAGAUAUAACACAACAUGGUGUAGCGAGGAACUCACCUCAAAGAACAGAGAAACCUCCAAAGCAACCCAAAACUCACCCACACCUGCUUUCCCUUCAUGCCUCCUAAUAAUAAUAAAUUGAGUUGGUUUUAGUUAUUAAAUUGUCUUAAUUAUAAAUAUAACUAAUGGAUAAAUUUUCCAGAUUUCUACAUAAAAAUUAGGGUCUGUUCGGGACCUUUUUUCGCAAUCUUAAACUUCAUAUUUUCAAAACUGUAUCACAUGAUGAUAGAUUAGGUUCUUAUCUUUAAAAGUAGUACUUACUCGCCUCCAUAUGAUUUUAAUACAAUUUAUGGCGAAUUUUAUAAAACUGCUUCGCAUAACAGAUCAUUCCGGACCAGUCUGGGUAAAUGGUCGUUUUUACCCUAGCUAGAGGCAUUUCUGGAUUUUGGUCAAAAAUAAUGAAGUGUAGAGGACUCAAUUAUGAAACUUUGUGCACUGAUUUCGACCAAAAAGGGUUUUCCAUGAUCGAGAUAUGAUCUUUUAAAGACAGGGGCAGAUUAGGAAAAAAUCCUGAAAUCACAGCUUUGACUUUUUAGGGUUAUUUAGCUCCUUAACCCAUUAAGACCUAAUCCAAAAUAAAUUAUAACCUGGAAAAGAAGUCCUUAAUAGUAGACAUAUAGUCUUGAGUCAAAAUGACAAUUGCCACUUCUAAUCCAACUCAAAGCACAACGCUUUUAUAUGCAAAACGAAAUUAUAAUGUUAUAAGAUAAAUUAUGGACUUAGGGUUUUUAGCUUACAACAUUUCAACACCCGAGCCAUAGUACGGACCUAAUAACCUUGCUGGAAACAUCACCACCCACUGCCAUCAUGGAAUUGGUGGCCGGAGGUGGCUGCCACCACCCAAACGGUGGUGGUGGUGGGUUUUACCAAAAGAAAGGAAGAAAAGGAGAUUAUGAUGAAUAUUUACCUUGAAACAAUGGCACACUAGAAAUCAAACUUCAACUCUUCACUUGAUUGCAGCCCUAUCUCUUCCCUUCUGCCCUCUCGAUCUCAUUCUUGGUUCUCGGUUUUCUUUUCUUUACCGCUCCCUCGGCCAUAACUCAAAAUCACGCACACACACUUCACGAUUUGGAUUUUAGGGCUUCUAGGUAUAGGAUGUAUUUCAUUAAAAUAUUGGGCAAAUGGGCUAGCAAGAAGAGGCCGAUCAUGAGGCCAUAAUCCCAUCAAAAAUAAGACUCAAUUUUAGAUUUUUCAUAAUUUUGCCCUCAACUAUGCCAUAAUGACCAAAACAGCCCCCCAAACAAAUUUCUUUGCAUCCAUAGGUUCCUGAAUUGACAAUUUUGGUCCUUCCUUUAAAAAUUGGUUACAAAACCUCCAAGACAUUCCUAAUUAUAUUUUUAUAUUAAUUAUUAUUAAUAUUAUUUAUUUACUUGUAUUUACGCCACUAUUCCGUGAAUAAAUAACUAAUCGGAAAACAGGUUGUUACAGAAACUUUUCAAUGAUUCAGAAUUAUAGUUAAUCUUGUAAGCAUAACCACAUUUAUUAAACUUUUGGUAAAUCAUGACGAAUAAUCUUAUCAUUCUUUGUGGCGAACUUGACUAGUGCACAACAUUGUGUACCAGUUCUCCUAGUCCUUCUCUUGACUAUUUGUCAAGGAAUGAUCUUAAUUUUCUAAAUAUGAAGGUUCUCAUUCAUCAUACAAUACAAGUUGUAUGAUUCCAAGUUUCUAUCCAAUUGAAACUCGGGCGACAAGAAUCUUUUCUUAUUUGGCAAAUUCUUGACAUUACCACAAAUAACAUAACUAAGAAUCACACCCAUUUCAACAUUGCUCAAAUUAGAAAUACACAAACAUCAAUUUUCAUUCAUGCCAUUGCAAGGAAAUAUAUAAAUAAGACAAAACCAAAAUUUAUUUUAUUUAUAAAAGGUGCGGAAAACUUGUCUUUACAAUGCAAUUCAAUUGAAAACUAUGCUAUUACAUAUUCCUAAACAAUCUAUCAUAAUUCUCUAAGUAGUAGCUCAAAAAUACGAUCUUUGAAUUCAUGCGAUCGUAAUCCAUUUCUUCGCGAUCAGACUCAGCUCACUCUUCCUUUAAGUUUCAUUUCUCUUCUUCGAUCCUACAAAACACCAAAUGUAAUCUUUUCACAUCAUGUAUUAAGAAUCUAUAAAAACAAAAACUUAAUAGAGUUAUAUAGUGGAUUUUACCUGAAGCAGAGUCAUACAUCUUGACUCUCCCAUCUUUUAGAUCUCCCAGGUAAUUAGGUAGCUUCGUAACUAAUGCCCCCUCUUUUGGCAGUAGAAACAUAUGGAUUCUUCUGGAAUGGUACAUAGGACUAUCUCAAACUCAACCUUUCUCUUGCGUAGAGAAAAAAAUUUUGGACUUUCAAUAUUUCCAUUUCCUAUAGAAGGUUGGGAUAUUGAUUUACCAGACAAAUUUGCUUGACCAGUAUGCCAAAUCAUUUCUGAUUCAGCAGCAAUAAGUAAAUAAGUCAAAUCAAUGAGGGUUACAUCGUGUUCCAUCAUAUAGUACUCUCAAAUAAACUUACCAUAUGAUUCGGAAAGUGAGUGAAGAACCAAGUCAACAGCCAACUUUUCCGAGACAUCGACACCCAACAUUCCCAAUCUAUAAAUAUGCAACUUCAUAUCCAGGCCAUGAGCGCAUACCGACUUUCCAUCUUCGUGUCUUUUCGCCAAUAGGGCUUGAGUGACCUUGAACUUUUCAAGUCUUCGAAUACGUGGGCCGGGGAGAAUUAUUGGAGGAGGUGGAGGAAGUGAAGAGUGAUUUCCAUUUCCACAAUCCAAUUGUGGAACAUCAUCUUCAAAUGGAAAACUUUUUCCAACGGAUUCAGGAAGACCAUAGUUGUAAGACUUUUUCAUCUACAAAACGGGAGAAAAUUCAAGUUAGUUGAUUGAGUCCUUAAUAAAACACCCAAAUGAGAUAUUAAGGCUAGGACCCAACACAAUAUUCUACAAAUUGGAAGAGGGAUGUCGUAAUCCAAAUUGCAGAACAUUUGAAGGUAGGUAAAUGGCGAUUUACCAAUUUCCACUAUGAAAGAAAAAGGAAUUAUUAGUUUUAAAUGAAUUGAAACUCCUAGAUCUUUUGAGAUUCAUUGAACUUUUCAAUGACAUGUUUAAAUCUCGAUUGUGCCCUUCAUUUGUGACUAAGAUGUCGAGGAUCACAAACAAGGUGUGGAUAACCAUGCAAAUUAGCUUGGUACUCUCGAUGUUACAAAUAACCUAAUCAAUGUGUCGGUUAACCACACACACUCCAUUGAUCUAUAAUAAACAUCAAGCUACCCAUUGCCAUCCUUCAUUGGUUCCAUAUUAGUGUGCCAGUUAACCACACACACUCCACUAACGACCAAUAAAGGUGCAAUGUGUAAUUUCAUGGAUUAGCACCAAUUCCACAUUUUUCCUAAAGUAACUAAGAUUUGGGAAUUUAUAAAAGUGUUUUUUUACUUCGUAUUUCAUUAUAGUUAUAAUGGAAUGUUGUGUCCUAUCCUACCCGUUCGGCUAACGACCCUCCACUAGUCAAGAGUGUGGUGGGUAAGAGUGGAUACCCACUCAAUCAUCAUUUUAUAGGCACUUUCCUUAAACACCCCUUAGAGACCAGCUUCAUGAAUGAGGCCUACUAACGGUAAGACUGACCUUUUACUCAUACAUAUAUAAUAUUAGACUUUUAAUUUUAUAUAUAGUAUAAAGGAGUAUUUUACACUUUUAAAAUACUAGGUGGUCUAAUUUAACAAAAUUAUACUUUUAAUUUAAUUAAAUAUAAACCAUAUCAUUAUGGAUUUAUUAACUAUCUUUUAAUUAUACAUUUAAUUAACUUAAUAAAACCGUAAGGGUGUAAUUUGAACUUUUCAAACAAUUAGGGUUUUAGAAUUUAAAAUUUUUAAAAUUAAACUUUUAACCAAAAAUUUAAAUUCCAAAACUUGAGGGCAAGUUUUGAAACUUUUCAAAACUAUCUAGAUCAAAUUACAAAUAAUACAAUUAAUCAAAUAAUUGGUGAUUAUCUAAAUAUGACCUAAUUCAAUUUCUUGCAAGAUAAUUCAUCAAAUAAUUCAAAUAAUCAAAUUUUAUCAUAUAAGGAAAUAAUUAUUCAAUUAAAUGACAAUUAUCUUCUAUUUUGGUAAGGAUAAUCACUCCAUAUCAAUAAAAUCAUAUUUUAUCAACAAAAAAACAUUUUUGGUAAUUAUCCCACAACAAAAUAGGACAAAAUCCUACAAAAUCAGCCAUCUGCGACUCUGACUCGUUGAGUCAACACUAGGUUCGUCGAGUUCCCAGUGGACUCGGCGAGUUCAGUCAUGGAGUCGGCGAGUCCAGCCCCCAGAAAGUAGAAUUUUGCGAUUUUAAGUUUGAAUGACUAUGUAAUAUGUCAAAUACAUUAUACAAACAGCCUAGGCUCUGAAACCAUUGAUGGGUUUUGAGCACUACAUCAAUCCUAUGGUGUACAUGCAAACCCUAAAGCUUUGGAUCUAGUUUGUCUAAUGAACAUGCAAUAAUCAUCCAAAGCUCAUAAACCCUAGAUCUAGCAUACAAUAAUUGAUAUUAUCAUAAUAAAAGGGUUUAGAUCUUACCUUGAUUGUUAUGUAGCAAUAACAAUCUCAAUUCCUCUUGAUCUUGACUCUUAAAAGCUUAGUGCCUCAAAUGUAGCACCUCUAAUGGAGUCACAAACACCAUGAGCAACAAGAUGAACAAGGGGAGAGGGAGGAGGCACCAAAAAUGUCCAAGAUACUCCAAGGAAUGCUUAGCCACGUUUUUGGGAGCCUUAGGGGUCCUUUUAUACUUGUGUGGGCUGCUAGGGUUUUGGAUGAAACCCUAAUUCUCUGUUUAGGCCUUAAGCAACCCAUGGAGUCCCUUUAGAAAGCCCUUGGACAAAAUCCAUAUAGGCUUCCCAUAGAUUUCGUCCAAUCCCCUUUCUAUUAGGAAUCCAUAACCCACAAUGCAAUUAUCUUAUAAUUACAAUAUUAGUCCCCCAAGUUUAAUUAAUCUCUUUUAGCAACAAAUUAAUUUUUAAUUAAUUAUUGACUAAUAAUAAUUAAACAAUAUGAUUUCUUCUUUAAUAUAUUAUUCACAUAAUAUAUUAAUAAAUCAUAAUUAAUCCUCUUUCUUUUUAAUUCAUCCUAUCAUUUGUUAUGGCGAAGUCAAUCCAAAAUAACCAUGCUCACAAUCGGGUCAAGUACAUACCAAAAUACUUACGGGCUUAGACACUUAAUCCAAUAUUUAUAACUCACAAAAAUCGGCCUCACUCUUGUAAAGAAUCUAGGUGUCAAUUUCUUGAACCAAAGGGCUUCUUAUAUAUUGUGGUUACAUUAUGGUUACACCAUGUAAACCCUAAUGUACAUGACUUUCCGCAUUCCUCAUGAUCCAUGGGUUUUAACCUCCAUGGAGUAUCCGUGGGUCACCACAUGGGUCAAGCCCAACAUAAGGAAUCAUGGAUCAUUAGCCCACAUUAUAAGAAUGAAUGAUUUAUACAAUCAAUCCCUAUAUAUUUAAUUAGUCUCUUUUGACCACAAAAUUAAUUCCAAAUUAAUUCUUGAUCAAUACUAAUUAAAUAAUAUGAUUUCAUAUUAAUAUAUUAUAACUUAUAAUAUAUUAAUAAAUCAUACAUAUCCUCUUCUCAAAAGUCCAAAUUGUUCCAGUGAAGUGCAAACCAAAUGGAUCAUGCUAAAUCGGGUCAAGUACAUACCAAAUAUAGUUAUGGACUUAGACACCUUAUCCAACAGUCUCCCACUUAGAUAAGUCUAAUAACUAUAUUUGCAAGUACGAAUUCAAGAACCGACCAACAAUUGUAGCUCUUAAAACUUUGUUGAACUAGAAUGCGCCAUUUUAGACAAGUGAUCAUAUAAUCCUCUGUUAACAAUAUAUCAGCCAGACAAAUACAUGGAAAAAUGUCAUACUUAUUGUCCAACAGUUUGUUUCCCGAUUUACGAUUUGUUUGACAUAGAACUUAUUCGAACACAUCAAUUGAGUUCUGAUCGGGCCCGACACAUAAGUCAAAAAAAUCAUCGAGUGGCCCAAGAUAUCGCUUUUAAUCCUCUAAGGACUAAAAGGAACAGAUAAACUUCAACUCAUAUGCUUGUAAUAACUAUUCACCAAAUCAUACACAAAAACACGUUUUAUAACAUCAAGUUACUGAUGCGUCUUCAUACUAUCAAUGCACAACCAACUCAUAGUCAACAAAUCAUAUCUCUUGGUUUGAAGACUUACAUGAUAUUAUCGUCUCACGAUCACCCGAGAUAAAUUCCAUGAAGUGACACAAGUGAGCGUGGGCUUAAUCCAAUACUCAGAACUUAUGAGCACUCAUGAAUGUCAUAGCAAUGUCUAACCAUUUCAGACAAUCUACAAGCUAAAUUCAUGACAGUCUUUAUUCAAUACCUACUUCCAAAGUAUGAUCGAUUGUGGAUAGUUUGAAUAAUCUUAUUAUUCUGGAAGUCAAGACAUGCAAAAUUGAAACAAUAGUAAAUAAUUGACACAUGAUAACAACUUUACUCAUAAAUAAACAACAACUUUUACUUAAUCAUCAAAUGUCAAUUACAUUUGAUCUAUUACAAGUUUUAGAAAUAACUAUCUAAUCAUUAAAACUAAUAUCGUCCUUCAGCCUGAUGUGCCUUGCGUGCUGCAAAUGCUUAACCCUAUUCAGUCCCUUCGUGAGGGGAUCUGUUGGGUUCUCCUCUGACGAUACCCUUUUUGCUACGAGGAGUCCUUCUUCUAUCUUGUGUCUUAUGAAGUGAUAUUUUCUAUCAAUGUGUCUGGAUCUGCCAUGAUCCCUUGGUUCCUUGGCUAAGGCAACCACACUGUCACUGUCACAGAAUAUCUCCAUAGGCUGCUUUAUAGUUGGUACAACUACAAGGUCUCCAAUGAAGUUCUUCAGCCAUAUCGCCUGCUUCACCGCUUCGCUUGCUGCUAUGUACUCUGAUUCGUGCAUUGAAUCAGCUACAGUCUCCUGCUUGGAACUUUUCUAAGUAACUGCUCCUCCAUUCAGGGAAAAUACCCAGCCCGAAUGAGAGUGGAAAUUAUCUAUGUUGGUCUGAAAGCUAGUGUCACUAUACCCUGUCACUCUCAAGUCAUCAAUCCCACCGAGGAUAAGAACCCAGUCCCUAGUCCUUCGCAGGUACUUAAUAAUAUUCUUUACCACAGUCCAGUGAGCCUUAGCAGGGUUUCCCUGAUAUCUGCUGACCAUGCUCAAAGAAAAAGCCACAUCAGGGUGAGUACAAGUCAUAGCAUACAUAAUCGAGCCAACAACGGAAGCAUAUGGUAAUCGACUCAUCUCAGCUAUCCCAGCCUCUAUACUCAGACUCUGAGUCUUACUCUGUUUGGAAUUGCUCUGGAUUAGUAAGUCACCUUUCUUGGAAUUCUGCAUGUUGAACCUCUUCAACACCUUGUCCAACUAGAAACUUUGACUAAGUCUAAUCAGUCUUUUACACGUGUCUCUCAAUAUUCUUAUCCCUAGCAUAUAGGUACCUUCUCCAAGGUCCUUCAUAUCGAAACACUUCCCAAGCCAGGAUUUCACCUCCUGCAAGGUUGGGAUGUCAUUUCCUAUGAGCAGUAUGUCAUCCACAUACAAUACCAAAAAGCUAACUAUACUCCCACCAACUUUGACAUAUACAUAGGACUCGUCCUUGCUUCUCGAAAAACCAAACUAUUUGACUUUCUCAUCGAAACAAAGAUUCCAUCUACGAGAUGCUUGUUUCAAUCCAUAAAUGGAUUUCUUAAGCUUACACACUCUAUUAGGGUACUCUACAUUAACAAAACCCUCUGGCUGACUCAUGUAAACAUCCCCAGCCAACUUUCCAUUAAGGAAAGCGGUUUUGACAUCCAUUUUCCAUAUUUCAUAAUCAUGAAAUGCAUCUAUGGCUAGAAUAACUCUAAUAGACUUAAUCUUAGCUACUGGUGAGAAGGUAUAAUCAUAGUUAACUCCUGGAGUUUGAAUAAAGCCCUUCGUAACCAGUCGUGCAUUAUAAGUGUAUACUUUCCCAUCCAUGUCGGUCUUCUUCUUGAAGAUCCAUUUGCACCCGACUGUCUUACGACCCAGUACAUUGUCAACCAAGUUCCAAACUUGAUUGUCAUACAUGAACUGAAUCUCGCUAUCCAUAGCCUCUUUCCAUUUUGCAGACUCACGGCCUGCCAAGGCUUCCUUGUAGCUGUUAGGUUCAUCUAAAUUUACCAGUGUGCUAUCACUGAUAAAUGUAUCACCUUUUGUAGUAAUAUGGAAAACAUAAAACUUAGGUAUAUUCCUAACUCUUGUGGAACGCCUCAGAGGUACAGAUUCGGCAAUCGUCUCACCAGGAGUUUCCUCCUCAUGUUGAUCACUAUUGUUUGAGGUUCCUUCACCGCUUGAUUCUUGAAGAUCUUCAUGGUCAAGUUACCUCCCACUGUCUCCUUGGCUUAUGAAUUAUCUCUCACGAACGACUCCUCUCCUCGCAAUGAAGUCAACAUUGUCACUCGAUCUGUAAAAGAGAUAACCAAAGGAUUUAUGUGGUAAGCCGAUGAAAAUACACCACUCACUCUGAGGUUCAAGCUUGUUGUGAGUCUCGUGUCUCACAAAAUCCUCGCAACCCCGAACCUUGAUGUGUGCCAAUGAGGGAAACUUCCAUGUCGACAUCUCAUGAGGUGUAUUGGCAACCUUCUUGGUAGGGACUAGAUUAAGGAUACGGAUGGCAGUCUCUAAGGCAUACCCUCAUAAUGAGAUAGGUAACAAAGCUAGACACGUCAUGGAACGAACCAUGUCCAACAAGGUUCGAUUGCGCCUCGUAUUCACACCUUUAAGCUGUGGUGUCCUCGGAGGUGUCAAUUGUGAAACAAUUCCAUAUUCCUUAAGAUAGUCUAGGAACUCGAUACUAAGAUACUCACCACAUCGAUCGGAUCGGAGCAUCUUUAUCUUCCUGCCUAGCUGAUUCUCCACUUCUUGCUUAAACUCUUUGAAUCUUUCAGAGGUUUCUGACUUAUGCUUGAUUAAGUAGACAUAGCCAUAUCUACUAUAAUCAUCAGUAAAAGUCACAUAAAAGCGGUUAGCAUCCCUUGUGGCGGUUCUAAAGGGUCCACACACAUCUGUAUGUAUGAGGUCCAACAAACCUUCACCCCUCCCACAAGAACCAGUGAAGGGUGAUUUAGUCAUCUUUCCAAGCAAAUAAGAUUCACAAAUAUCAUCUGACUUUAAGUCAAAUGAUUCCAAGACUCCAGCCUUUUGGAGUUGGCAUAUGUGCUUCUUGUUCACAUGUCCAAGACAACAAUGCCACAAGGAUGCUUUAUCCAAACUAGUGGAAGAAUCAAUAUGAAAUACAUUAUUUCCUAAGUUAUCUACAACCAUCACAAUUUCAUAUACACCAUUACAAGGUAAUGCUUUAAAAUAAAAUAAAAAACACCAUUAUAAUAAGCAUUUAUUGCACCAAUUUCAUUAUCAAACGAAAAUGUGAAACCUUGUUUAUACAAACCAUGAAAAGAAAUAAUAUUUCUGUCCAUUUCAGACGAGUAACAACAAUUAUUCAAAUCUAAUUUUCACCCCCUGCAAAGAAAUAAAGAAUAAACUCCAAUCUUGGUGACAGGUGAAGCUUUCCUAUUCCCCAUGAUUAAGUUUAUCUUCCCGUGCUCCACAUCCUCACUUUUUUUUGUCUCUGGAAAUCAGAACAAAUGUGAAUACCACAACCUGUAUCAAGGACCCCAAGAAUUAGUAUGCGGUGAGUUAUUAGACAAUAUAGUGUAAAUACCUGCAUGGGUGGGUUUUACUUUUGCAUCCUUAACAUCCUGCAAGUACUUAGGGAAGCUUCACUUCCAGUGCCCUUUAUUAUUACAAUAGAAGCACUCUGCUUCUUUUGGGUUGGAGGAGGGAGUAACAGGACCGACUUUAUUCUUGCUAGAAGAGGACCCAUCAAGAGACUUUCCCUUGUGACCCUUGGAAGGGGUCUUCCUCUUCUUUCCCUUGCCUUGCCCGAUUGCCAAAACCGGGGCAGUAGUAGGUAACAACAUUCUUACCUUUGAGACUACUUUCAGCAGUCCUCAAAAGUCCCUGAAGUUUGCUAAGUGUGACCUCCUCCUUGUUCAUAUGAUAGGUCAUGCGAAACUGGUCAUAACAUGGAGGUAAGGAAUGGAGAAUGAUAUCUAUAGCAAGCUCCUCAUCAAAGUUCACAUUUAACUUAAGCAAACGGUCCACAAAUCUUUGCAUUUUCUGCAAGUGGGUCGUGAUGGACUCUCCAUCCUUCAUCUUAUUUGUUAUCAUGGAGGUGAUGAUUUCACACCUCUCUUGAUUUGCACUCUGAUGGUAUCUUUCCAUCAGUUCUUGGUGCAUUUCAAAAGGGUAGAAGUCCUCAUGGGACUUUUGGAGUUCUGUUGUCAUAGUCUCCAACAUGAUACACGAUACCUUAGCAGCAUCCUUCUCAUGGGUAGUGUACUUAGCAAUCUCCUCAGGAGUAGCAGAAGACUCAUCGAUGACCUUAAGCUCCUUGUCAAGGACAUAUUCUUUGUCCUCAUAGCGCAUGACCAUCCUGAUGUUCCUAAUCCAAUCAUUGAAAUUAGUUCCAUUGAAGAUGACUCUCCCACAAAGGUUCAUGAGGGAGAAGGAGCGGGUAGGGUUUGAGCCAGAAGCAUUGUUGGAAGACAUCUGAAAAAGAAGAAAGACAAAGUUUAGAUUAGAUAUAGAGUCCUUAAUAUAACACCCAAAAUUAAAUAUUAAGGCUAGGACCCAACACAAUAUUUUACAAUUUGGAAGAGGGAUUCCGUAAUCCAAGUUGCAAAAUAUUUGAAGGUAGGUAAAUGACGAUUUACCAAUUUCCACCAUGAAAAACGAAAUUGAUUAUUAGGUUUUAGAUGAAUUGAAAUUCCUAGAUUCUUUUAAGACUCACUGAAAUUUUCAAUGGCAUGUUUAAAUCUCGAUUAGGCUCUUCAAGUUUGUGACUGGGAUACCGAGGAUCUCAAACAAGGUGUGAAUAACCAUGCAAAUAUACUUAGUACUCUUAAUGUCAUUUAUCACCUAAUCGAUGUGUUGGUUAACCACACACACUCCAUCGAUCUAUGACAAACAUUAAGCUACCCUUUGCCACCUUUACAAGUCCAUGUUAGUGUGCCGAUUAACCACACACGCUCCACUAACGACUUGGUAAGGUGCAAAGUGUAAUUUCAUGGGUUAGCAUUGAUUUCACAUUUUCUUAAAGUAACUAAGAUUGGGAAUUUAUAAAACAUUUACUUACUUUAUAAUUAUCAUUAUACUUAAUGAGAAUUAACGUCCUAUCCUACCCGUUCGACUAACGACCCUCAACCAGUCAAGGAAGCGGUGGGUGAGAGUGGACACCCAUUAAACCNUGAGUUCAAAUUGGAUUUUUUUGUGUGAUGUUGGUGAGUGAUGUUUUGAUGUGAUGUAUUGCUUAGGGACAAUCAAAAGAUAAGUAUGGGGUAUUUUGAUAUUGUCACACACACACACGCACACACACACACAUAUAUAUAUAUAUAUAUAUAUGUGUGUGUGUGUGUGUGUGUAUUAUUAAACUUAUAAUAUCAUAAUAGUAUAAGGGUUAAAUUUUAAACUUUUAAAAUUCUAGGGUUUGGAAUUAAAGUUUUAUUGUGCGACUUUACAAAUUCCAAAACUUGAGAACAAGUUUUGAAACUCUUCAAAACUUUUCAACUUCAUAACAUAUGAGUUUAACGGUCUUUUAAAAUGAGACUCUUCAUUUUUCUAUAACCUAUGACUUUUAAUGAUUCAUUUAAAUGAAAAACUUUUGGAAUUCCAUAACUUGAGGACAAGUUAUGGAGUCCAUUAAAGUCAUCAAGAUCAUCAGCUAAACUAACAAGCAUGUUGUAACACCCAGAAUCAAAAAGACCAAGAAAAGAAAGGAAAGCCCUAAGUCAAAGGAGUCAACUCAUCGAGUCCAAGGAAUGACUCGGCGAGUCGGAGUGGGAUCCAUGUGCAAGGUUAGGUGACCGACUCGACGAGUCGGCUAGUGUACUCGGCGAGUCUGUUCUGGAUUGGGAAACCCUAAUUUCGGGACUUGGCACCCUAUUUAAGCAUCUUAUUCCCAUUUCUAGGGCUUCAUUUAAAGCCCCCACUAUCCAAAGCGAAACCCUAGUGUCCUCCAUGAAAGCGUGAGCAAUUAUUGUGUGUUCUUGAGUGAUUUGAAGUCUAGAAGAAGAAGAAGAAGAAGAAGAAGGAGUUGGAAGAGCUAAGGAGUGAUUGUAGAUCCUGAAGGAGUCCCUCUUCCUCAUCACUUUCUGGUAAACAAGCUGUUACCUUGAUCUAUGGUUUCUUAGAUCUCUUCAUGUCCCUUUUAUGAGACGUUUGGGACCAUUUCCAAGGCCAACCCAAGUAUUGAGCCUUUGAGGAAGAAUAGAGACUAGAUCAGAGCAUAUUUGAGCCUUAGGAGCUCUGAGGAAGAAGCUUUUCUCAGCUAUGGUUUCCUUUCAUGGCUUAGACCUCCAUUGUAGCUUGGAUUUGGUAUUCUAGCCUCAUAACCCCUUGCAUGCACGUAAAGUCAGCAACUUUACAUGCAAUGCUAGCAGAAGGAGUCCAGAUCUAUGAGUUGGAAGUGUCGGAAUAGACUGCAAGAGACAGAAUAGAUUUGUCACAAGGAGGACUCGACGAUUCAGUUCAUGGACUCGGCCAGUCGGGUCACAAAACCCAAACCCUUCCGUUUAUGAGUCGGAUCAGUGAGUGGGGUUAGAAAAGGACUCAUCCAGUUUGUGUCCGUGAUGGACAUGAAGAUCAUGGUACUCGACGAGUUCAAGGAGGAACACGGCGAGUCCAAGGCAAUCUCCUUAGCUGAUGAAGAUGGACUCGGCGAGUUGUAGAACAACUCGGCAAGUCGGUUGAAGAUUGUCCCGAAGUGUUAGAUGAAGGAGAACUCAUCAAGCUCUCACUAGACUCGACGAGUGGAGUCGGGGUUGUUUGAGAUUUAAGGAGCAUGGACUUCGCGAGUUAGUAGAACAACUCGGCGAGUCGAGUCAACUGGAAGGUUGAAUUUGACCAGGACUUUGACUUUGACCAGAGCUGACUUAGUUGACUUCUAGAGUUCAGUUUGGGACUAAGUGUUAUAUUGAUAUUAGUAGCUCGGGGAGCUAGUCGAGAAGCGGUUCAGAGAGUUGUCAGAUAGCAGCCAGAGGGUUAUUAGCAAGCUCAGAAGUGCAGGUGAGUUUCCCUUUGAGUGAAUGGGUCUACUGCCACAAUGUCGAACCAUGUAGUUAUGAGUAGGAAGACCCAGGGGUUAGCCAUAGGCACUGGUUGCCAGUAUGAUAUUCAGGACCAAGGUCCAAUGGCGGGCGGGUGCCCAAGGAAUGGUUUGCAUGAUAGAGUAUAUUUGUUGUUUGUGUGAUACUUGUAUGUGCCUGGUAGGGAGGUGAGUGUGGGCGAGGUCCCGUAUCUCACUAUUAGCAGAGUAUGGAUGGGGUUCCAUAUCUCAUCAGUAGUCGAGCAGGGGCAAGGCCCAAGUUAAGAAUGGAGUAAGUGUGGGCAAAGCCCGUAUCUCACUAUGAUCAGGAGUGUGGACGGGGUUCCAUGAUUCAUCACUAGUAGGGCAGGGGUGAGGUCCAAGAUAGGCGAGGCCUUAACAUAGGAAUGCAGUAGAGUAGUUAUGGUUUAUGUGUUAGAUGAUAUCUUAUAUGUUUGUAUAUGAUUAGCGGUCGGGGCCCAGAGACAGGUGGGGCCUAAGAGAAACAGAUCUAUAUCUGAGCGGGGCUCGAAGCCAGGCGGGGCGUAGAGCGGCGGGGCCGUUGUAGCGGGCGAGGCUCGAGGUAGUGGGCAAGGCCCGAAGUAGCGGGCGUGGCCCAGUAUUUACAGUAUGUGUUUAUGCAGGGUAUGUGGUAUGUUGGGGAAAUCACUAAGAUUCGUGCUUACAGUUUUCAGUUUUGGUUUCAGGUACUUCCGGUAGCGGAGCGAAGAGCUCGGGAUGAUCGCAUGGCACACACCAUAGUUAGUCAGGCUGGGAUGUUUUACUCUGAUAAUAAGAACAUGUUUUGAAUUGAUACUCUGAACUUAUGUUAUGACUUAUAAUAUGGUUUUAUAAAUAUGGUUUUAGUAAUGUUUUAAAGGAAAUUUUUAGUCGUGAUUUUUGGGUCGUUACACGUGUUCAAGUUCUUGAUUAAACUCAUAUGAACAAGAUAAUUCAAAUCAAAUGAAUUCCAUGUAAUUAGACUUAUCAUAUAAACUAAUAAAAAACAUGAAAUUUUGACAAUUAUAUUUUGAAUUGGAGAAGCAUGAUCAUUACCACAUCAAAAACAGGUUUAUCAGUUCAGAAACAGUUUAGGGUAAUGAUCCUAGUCCAAUUCCAACCUUAAAAGUCAAAAAUUUGCACUCAUGGGUUUCAACUCAUCGAGUGUAUGAACAAACUCGGCGAGUUGGGCUAUUUUUUGAAGGGACUCCGCGAGUCCCCCAGUGGACUCGGUGAGUCCACUGUCCAGAAUCAAAAUUUUCAUUUUUAAAGCACUUCUAAGAAUGUAGCAUCAAGUAUAAUUGAAAAUAAGCCUAGCCUCUGAUACCACUAAAGGGUUUUAAGCAUUCUAACCUCCUAAGGUGUACAUGCAACCCUAAAUACCUUGGAUCUAUGUUUUCUCUAUUAUACAUGCAAACUUUCAUUUUCCAAGGUAUUACCCUAACUAGCAUACAAAACUUUGAUACUUGGGUAAUAAAACAAGUUAGAUAACAUACAUUUUGUUAUAGUUUGUUGCUUGGGGCUUUAAGAGCCUAGCACCAAUAAUGUGAAUGCCUCAAGUGGAAUCACAAAUCACCACUAACACUUGGAAACUUGGAAGAGGACUCUAUAGCUCACAAAAAUCGGCCUCACUCUUGUAAAGAAUCUAGGUGCCAAUUUCUUGAACCAAAGGGCUUCUUAUAUAGUGUGGUUACAUUAGGGUUACACCAUGUAAACCCUAAUGUGCAUGACUUUCCACAUUCCUCAUGAUCCAUAGGUUUUAACCUCCAUGGAGUAUUCAUGGGUCACCACAUGUGUCAAGCCCAACAUAAGGAAUCAUGGAUCAUUAGCCCACAUUAUAAGAAUGAAUGAUUUACACAAUCAAUCUCUAUAUAUUUAAUUAGUCUCUUUUGACCACAAAAUUAAUUCCAAAUUAAUUCUUGAUCAAUACUAAUUAAAUAAUAUGAUUUCAUAUUAAUAUAUUAUAACUUAUAAUAUAUUAAUAAAUCAUAAAUAUCCUCUUCUCAAAACUCUAAAUUGUUCCGGUGAAGUGCAACCCAAAUGGACCAUGCUAAAUCGGGUCAAGUACAUACCAAAUAUAGUUAUGGACUUAGACACGUUAUACAAUAGAUUAAAUAAUAUAUGUUUUAUUUAUAUUCAAAAGUUUUGAGACCAUAUUGGAUUAGGUUAUUCUUGUGUUUCACUUCGCAUGUUUUACUUCCCGAAUAACUAGGAUUAUUCAAACAUCCACAGUCGAUCACAAUUUUGGAAAUAAGUAGUGAAUUAAGAUUGUCAUGAAUCUGACUGUAGAUCGUUUAAGUGCUUAGACAUAGAAAAUGUUUCCUGCAGUGUUCAUGAGUACUCCUAAAAUAUGAUUUAAGUAUUAGAUUAAACCCAUGCUCAUUUGAAUCACUUCAUGGAAUUUAUCACGGGUGAUUAUGAGACAAUAAAAUAUUAUAUUCUUGAAACGGAGACAUAUAGUUGUUGUUUGCGAGUUGGUUGUGUAUUGAUAAUAUGUAAACGCAUCAGUAACUUGAUCUUAUAAAACGUAUUGUUGUGUGUGAUUUGAUGAGUAAAUAGUACAAGCAUAUGAGUCGAAGUUUAUCCGUUCCUUUUACCCUAAAUGGGUUUAAAGCGAUAUCUAUGGCCCCUCGAUGAUUUAGUGAUGACACCCUAAGCGCUUGGCCAAGCCUGGACUGAUUUGAUUUGUUCAAUUAGUCAGUCGUCAUAAAUCGGAAAUCAGGAAACAAACCUUGGACAGAGAGAAUGAUUAUAAUUCAUGUCUCAUAUCCAUACGAUAUCUUAUAGAACGGAGGAAUAUUUGAUCCCUUAUCUAAUGGACGUGUUGCUGAUAUGAUCAGAGUUUAACAACGGCUUUUGAAAGCUACGAUUGCUAUUCAAAUUCUGAAGUCAUACUUGACAUAAUAGUUAUUAGACUUAUCCAAGUGGGAGACUGUUGGAUUAGGUGUCUAAGCCCAUAGCUAUAAUUGGUAUCUACUUGCUUUGAUAUGUAGCAUGGUACUUUUGGUUUGCCUUCACUCAUGCAACUUGAUAGGAUGACAUUUGGAGAGAAGUUAAAUUUAUUAUUUGGAAUAAUAAAUUGGUACUCAGAAAUAUUUUAUUAUAUGAAUAAUAAAUUAGUACUCAGAAUGAUUUUUUUAAUAUAUUAUAAGAUUAAUAUAUUAUUUGGAAAUCAUAUUAUUAAUUAGUAAUUAGUCAGAAAUUAAUUUGAUAUUAAUUUUAGGAUUAAAGAAACUGAUUAAUAAUGGAGGGGUUGUUUUGCAAAUCAUUGAUAGUUGUAAAACUGGGCUUAGGACUCCUUGUAAGUGGAGUGGACAAAAUUUAUGGGUGACCUCAUAAGAUUUCGUCCAAGGGCUCAUUAAGGAGGUUCAUGGGUUGCUUUGGGCCUAAGUUAGGAACCAGGGUUUCCUUAUUCAAGUCCAGCUUAAAGGUUAAGCAACCUAGUCAUAUAUAAACCCUCUUAACCUAAGGAAUUUCACUCCCCCCCCUGUGCAUUCUAAUAGAACCCUAGCCUAUUUCCUCAUCUCUCAUACUCAUCCUUUGCAUUGAGUGUUUGUGACUCCAUUAGAGGUGCAACACUUGGGGCACUAGGCUUUCGGAAUUCAAGAUCAAGCAAGGAUUGUUCUUGUUAUUAAAAUAUAACAAGUAAGGUAAUCUUCUAACACUAAUAUAUAUGUAAAUUUCAAAAUUGUAUAUACUAGAUCUAGGGUUAUUGAUUUGGUGUUCAUAUUUGUAUGAUUCAAUCAUGGUUCUAAAUAGCGUGAGGCGUGGCGUGGCGGCAAGGUCAAGCCUCAAGCUUAACGAGCCAGGGCGUUUUUCAAGGCGUGAUGUGAGGCGGCGAUUUUGUAUUAAUUUAAAAUUAUAUUACCACAUAAAUAUAAAUUUAUAUUAAAUAUAACUACUUUUUAUAAGUGUUAGAUCAAUAACAAGUAACAAAAAUUUAACGAAAACCACAAUACCUGUAUUUCCGAUUAGAAAAGACAUAACAAAGAGCAAAAAAUCGUGUCUCAAACGAAAAAACAUGCGCCAUAACACGCCAUAACUGAUGGGUUUUAGCUUUAAGAACAUCCUAUGUGCUCAUACAAACCCUAAUGCUUGGAUCUAGGUUUCUCUAUUGUACAUGCAAUUUAUCCAAGACUAUAAACCCUAGAUCUAGCAUAUGAUAAUCAAUGUAACAUUUAAUUAGGGUUUAGNAGGGUUUAGAGCAUACCUUGAUUGUUAUGUAGCAAUAACAAUCUCAAAUUCUCCUUGUAAUGACUUUAGAAAGCUUAGAGUCACAAAUGUCACUCCUCUAAUGGUUCACAAACACCAAGAGCAAGAGGAUGAAGAAGAGAAGAGAAGGAGGCUCUCAAAAACGUGUGGAAACCCUAGACCAUUAGUUCACCACGUUUUUGGAGCAUAAGGGUUCUAUAUAUAGUGAGGCUAUUAGGGUUAUCUAACAAGGAAACCCUAAUUUGGAUGCUUAAGCCCUAAGCAACCCAUGGACUCCUUUCCUUAAAGGCCUUGGACGAUUUCUAAUGGGUUUCCCCAUAGAAUUCGUCCAACCUUAUAAUAUAAGGCAAUCCAUAGCCCAAUUGCAAUUAUCUUAUAAUUACAAUUCCAGUCCCUUAAGUUUAAUUAAUCUCUUUUAGUCACAAACUUAAUUCUUAUUCAUUCUUGACUAAUAUUAAUUAAACAAUAUGAUUUCUCCUUUAAUAUAUUAUUCCCAUAAUAUAUUAAUAAAUCAUAUUUAAUCCUUUCUCUCCAUAAUUCAUCCUAUCAAGUUGCUUUGGUGAAGGCAACCCAAAAGGACCAUGCACCAUCGGGUCAAGUACAUACCAAAAUAGUUAUGGACUUAGACACUAAUCCAACAGUCUCCCACUUGGAUAAGUCUAAUAACUAUUCUGCGUAUGACUUCAGAUCCUGAUCUGCAAUCGUAGCUUUCCAAAGCCGCUGUCAACUCUGAUCCUAUCAGAUACGCGUGUCCUUUAGAUAAGGGAUCAUAUAUUCCUCCAUUCUAGAUAUCGUAUGAGACAUGAUUUCUAAUCAUUCUCUCUGUACUAUUUCUCGACUUCCGAUUUAUGACGACUGACUAAUUGAACAAAUCAAAUUAGCCCUAGCCCGGCCGAGCAUUUACGUUUGUCAUCACUAAAUCAUCGAGGGGCCCAAAGAUAUCGCUUUUAUCCUACUUUGGAUAAAAGGAACGGAUAAACUUUGAUUCAAUGCUUGCUUGCACUCACUCACCGAAUCACACACAACAAUAUGUUUUAUAACACCAAGUUACUAGUGCGUUUACAUAUUAUCAAUGUGCAACCGAUUUGCAAGAUACAACUCACACAUCUCGGUUUCAAGAAUAUAAGAUGUUAUCGUCUCACCAAUCACUCGUGAUACAAUUCAUGGAGUGAUCCAAGUGAGCGUGGGUUUAAUCCAAUGCUCAAAUCAUAUUCAUAAGCACUCAUGAACGUUGCAGCAAACAUUUGCUUAUGUCUAAUACUCUUUUAGACAAUCCACACACCAAUUCACGACAGUCUUCAUUCAUAUCUACUUCCAACAUAUGAACGACUGUGGCCCGUUCGAAUAAUUCGAUUAUUCUUAAUAAACUCAAUUAUUCUGGAAGUCAAAACAUGCAAAUGUGAAACACAAGAAUAAUACUAAUCCCAUAUGGCCUCAAACCUUUGAGUAUAAAUAAAACACCUUUUAUUUAUCACCAUAUCGAUUACUCAUUAUUUGUCGUUUCGGGUAAUCAACUUCUUACUUGAAUUAUUACACUUGUCCCAUGCUCUUAGCAUGCACACAAUGUUUACCUAUGGUUCUUACUUUGUGAAAUAGAUCAAAUUGAACACAUUUCCAAUCAUUCUCAUUUCACAACUCCAAAUCCUUUUUCAUAAGUGUGAGAAUAUCAAAUUCUUGUUACUUAUAAAAUAUGCUAGAUUCUAACAUUCUAUGCAAUGAUCCUUUCGUAAUGUCACUGCACCAAAGUCACAAAGACUAUUGCCAAUGAUAUUACAAAGUCCUCUAUCGGAGAUUGUUACAAGACAAUUCCUUAGAUAUGAUGUCUCUCACUCAAAGUACAUUCCUUUGAACAUCCUUUUGCAUAAAAGUUUCUAAUCUAGACAUAGAUUUUCAAUAUUCAAUUCCCAAUAUGGACACGUUUCCAUAUUUUCCAUAUGACAACUCAUUCUUAAUAGAAUCUUAUCUAUUCGUAAUGAUGUCGAUAUGGUCCAUCCAAUAUGGAAACAUUUCCAUAUUUUCCAAUACUAUACUUCCAACUACUCACAAGCGACCAAUCCUCGUCGAACUUUGGAUUGUCCUUUGAUAGUUGUUUAAUUAUUUUAGUCAAAACCGAUUCUAGUCCUUUUUCCCUCUAAAUGCGCUAGACAUUUGGAAAAUUUUAGAAUGGUCAAACAUUAAAGCAUUUGCAAUCGAUCCUAUACCCGAAGCGUAUGGGACACGACGCAUAAUGUUUUAUUUGCUAUGUUCUCAAAAUUCGAAUUGUGAAGAGGAAUGUCGUAAUCAUAAUCGAAAUUUUAAGAACACACUAUGUACCUUUGACUAAAUUUAUUAACAUUUCUCAACCUAAUCCUUUAGAUUUGAAAUGAAGCAUAAUAUUCUCUCCCUUAAUUAUAGCAAAACAACUUUUCAACUCUUACAACUUUGCAAAGUAUGACUCUUGUUUUCUAUAAUUAAUAUUGCUAACCUUGCAAUACUUUCCUUAAUAAUCAUACAAUCAUAACAUUUAUGCUCCCACUAUCAUGAUGAUUAUUAUAAAACAUAACACUUAUGCUCCCACUAGCUUCGACAUGUAUUCAUAAACAUCUUAACUUUCAGAAAAACAAUGCUUAUUGAAUUUCUUAAGUUCAUGUUUCUAAUACUUAGUGCUUUGAUAAUCUUUUAUCAAGGCUUCUUGAACUUAUACACCUUUGCCUUCGAUAGUUCAUAUGUGUGUCUAAACAAUUAAGACUAAUUGCCAAACCUCACAAUUCAAAUUAUGGAAAGGGAUACCGUAACCAUAAUCGAAUUCGAGAAUGCAAUUUUACAAUCACUAUCUUCUUAAAAUCUUUCUUAGUGAAAGCAUUUCCUCACAAUCAUUUUCAUGAAGGAGGAAAUCUUAUGACACUUAGAUUUAAACGGUGUAUGUGUUCCUAUCCAUGUGAAUUUGUUAAAACCAAAGUUUACGACAAAUUCAAACUCAUAUGGACCGAACUUUCUUAAUCUUGAUUUCUUGCCUUAUGGUAGCACAGCUGCCCACCAUGUCUUCCAAGUAGUUAAGCAGCUCACCCUUUCCUAUCAAUGUACCUUUCAUUGAUUAAGGUGCUUUGCCUUUUAUGCGUUCAAAAUGAGAACUCAUAGAACUCACAUGCAUAAUUAACUCGAUUGGAUUGGCACAGAAUCAAAAUAAUGUCAACACGAUAGGUUGUAAACCUCAACUCGUGUGCUAGUGAUGAUCGAUAAGGUUUAUUUGAUUUGUUCUUGAAACCUUUCAAGACCAUUAAGACUCCCACUGACUCCUUGACAUAUAAGAUUCUCUUGUCAAUAACCAUUUCUUGACAAACAAAUAUUCAAGAGUUAGUGUAGCUUUUAUCAAAACACUUCAUAAAUUGGUCCUAGUUGGUCUUUGUCUUAUCCAAGACAUCACAACUUUCCACAUUUAAUGAAUGUUAUAAACCUUCUUAAUACUUAUCACUCAAUGUCACAAUCUUAACUCUAAGACUUGUUUUGGAACGAAGUAUGAUUGACUUCUUGAUUUAACCAUUUCUUCAAUUCUUGAUUCCUCUUCUUAGACAUACAAUUGUACUAAGACUCACUUAGAGGAUCAAUUGAGAUAUGGUUCUUAAUCAUUACGACAUAUCAUAAAGCGUAAAAGGUACGCUCCCUUCUUCUUAGAAUGGAGAAACUUUUAUCUUUCUGCCUACUUGAUUCUUCUUAUUCGUUCUGCUAUUGAUUUAAACCUUUUCAAUCAAUUCAGAAUUACACUUAAUCUUAUAAGUAUAAUCAUAUUUACUAAACCUUUAGUAAAUCAUGACGAAUAUCUUUGUUACUCUUAUGGUGGACUUGAUCAACACGCAACUUUGUGUACUCGAUCUCCUAGUCCUUCACUUGACACUUUGUCAAUGAAUUAGUCUAAUUUCCAAAUAUGAAAUUUCUCAUUCAUCGUGCAACCAAGUUGCAUGAUUCCAAGUUUCUGUCCAAUUGAAACUUGGGCGAUGAGAAACUCUCCCUAUUUGGUAAAUUCUCGACUUUCCAUAAAUAACAUAAUAAGAACCAAAUCCAUUAUUGCUAAUAAUAGAAACAUUUUAACAUCAAUUUUUCAUACACGCCAUUGUAAGGAUAAAUAAAUAAAAUUUAAAAUCAAAAUUUAUUUUAUUGCGGAAAAAUUUGUCCUUACAAUGCAAUUCAUUGAAAAACUAUGCUAAUACAUCUUUCUUAGCAAUCUAAUUCUAACUCUAAGUAGUAGCUCAAGAAUCUAAUCUUCGAGAAAUGCGAUCGAAAUCCAUUCCUUCACGGUUAGAUUCUGCUCACUUCUUCCCUUAAGCUUCCUUUCUUUUCUUCGAUCCUACAAAACAUCAAUUGUAAUCUUAUCACAUUAUGUAUUAAGAAUCUAGAAUAGAAGCUUAAAAGAGUUAGUUAAUGGAUUUUACCUAUAUUAGAGCCAUACGUUUCGACUCUCCCAUCUCUUAGAUCUCUUAGGUAAAUGGGGCAGCUUCGUCUCCAAUGCCCUUUCUCUUGGCAAUAAAAGCAAAUUGACUCUUUUGGAACAUGACAUGGAACUACUUCAGACAUUGCCUUUCUCUUAUGAUCAAACUUUUCGAUCAUAGCAUGUCUUUCGUUGCCAUUGUCUAUAUCCAUAGAGGUCUUGAAGGCAGAUUCACCAAUCAACUUUGCUUUUCUAUUGCGCCAAACCAUUGCUGAUUCAGCAGCAAUAAGCAUAUAGGUGAGAUCUAUAAGGGUCACGUCGCGGUUCAUCAUAUAGUACUCUCUUACGAACUCACUAUAUGAGUUAGGAAGUGACUGAAGAACCCAAUCAACAGCCAUUUCCUCACAGACAACGGAUCCCAACAUUCUUAACCUAUCAAUGUGUGACUUCAUCCCUAGGACGUGUGCACACACCGACUUUCCUUCUUUAUGUUUACUUGCCAAAAGGGCUUGAGUGAUCUUGAACUUUUCAAGCCUUUGAACUUGUGGGUUAGGGAGAAUAAUUGGAGGAGGUGGAGGAAGUGAAGCAUGAUUUCUUGUUCCUCGAUCGAAUCGUGGAAUAUCAUCUUCAUGUGGAAUGCUUGUUCCACGGGAUUUGGGAAGACCAUAGUUGUCGAACUUUGACAUCUACAAAACGGGAGAAAACGAAUUCAAGUUAGUUGAUUGAUUGAGUCCUUAGUAAAUCACCCAAAUGAGAUACUAAGGCUAGGACCCAACACAAUAUUCUACAACUCGGGAGAGGGAUGCCGUAACCCAAAUUGCAGAACAUUUGAAGGUAAGUGAAUGACGAUUCACUAAUUUCCACCAUGAAAAACGAAAAAGAAAUUUAAGUUUUAAAUCUAUGAAAACUCCUAGAUCCUUUGAGAUUCAUUGAACUUUCAAUGGCAUGUUUAAAUCUCGAUAUGCCCCUCUAGUUUGUGACUGGGAUGCCGAGGAUCACAAAGCGGGUGUGAAUAACCAUGCAAACUUACAUGGUGCCCUCACAUGUUACGGUCACCUAUUCGAUGUGCCGGUAAACCACACACGCUCCACCGAACUAUGACAAACAUUGAGUCACCCUUUGCUACCUUUGCUUAGAACCAUUUAGUGUGCCGGUAAACCACACACGCUCCACUAACGUCUUCGCAAGGGCACAAAGUGUAAUUUCAUGGAAUUGCAUCAAUUCACUUUUGCCUAAGUAACUAAGAUUGGGAAUUUGUACUACUAGAAAACAGCCCUUUAAUGAUGCGCAAACAAUGACACUCGCUGAUAGAGGACGCGCAUUUGUGCGUUCCCUAAAAAGUAAUGUCGGUUUUGCAAAAUUUGAAGGAUAGAGGACAAGCAUUAGUGCGUGCCCUAAAAUUAGUGUCCAACAAAAAUGUGUUGUUUUAUAUUUUUUUAAGGAAGGCGCGCGCGUUCUCUUGGGGGAAUGAAUUCCCAAAAAAUUAAACACCCCGCCUAAUGCAUCUCCUUCUUCUCCUUCUAAAAUCCUCUACCAAAAAACCCUAAUAAUCCUUUAAGCAUCUCGUCUUCCACUCUCUCUGCAUUCUCUCUCUCUCUCUCUCUCUCUCUCCCUUCUAUUUCCAAGCCCUAGGCCGCCACCACCAGCAUCGAACCUCAUAAGCUUUAAGAGUUCAAAGUGCCUAAGCAAACACUUACCCUCCCUCUGCAUUCUCUCUCUCUCUCUCUCUCUCUCUCUCUCUCUUUCUGCAUUUAGGAAACAAACUCUGCUCCUCCACCCUCCUCUACGAUCUUUUCCUCAACACCUUCUCCUCCGACCCAUCUCUCCUCUACGCCACCAUCGCUGAUCUACCAGUCGCCCGUUAACGAGACUCUGCCUGCAUCUCCUUCGCUACAACAGGUAAGAGAUCAUCAUUAAGCUUCAAAUGAUUUCCUGACGGUCAAAUCCGAGAAUUAGUUUGUUAAAAUCAUGGAAUUAGAGCCUGGUAGUGCAAAAGACUCAAAUGGUUUUUUCUUUCAAGUGACAUCCUCCAGAAAUGCAAAGCGGUGGUAGUCAGCCUUUCACAAUGUCACCGCCAUGGUUGGUACCGGUGUCCUUAGUCUUCCUUAUGCUCUAUCUUAACUCGGAUGGUAUCACUUUCCUUCAAUCCAAGUCUUCUCUGUAAGAUUCUUUUUUGGUUUAAACGAUGCACACAACAUGUUCGGUGAAAAUCCUCACACAAAAUCCACUUUCAUAAUAUACAAUCUGCUUGAUUCAGGGGCUUUGGAAUCACAGUACUAGUCCUAUCCUGGGUGAUUACACUCUACACACUAUGGCAAAUGGUGGAAAUGACACGAAAUUGUUCCAGGAAAAAGAUUUGACAGAUACCGUGAGCUAGGGCAACAUGCUUUUGGUGAAAAACUCGGGCUUUAUGUUGUAGUCACUCUAUACAAGGACCUGAUUGUACUUCUCGGCAUCGGUCAAUAAAGUUGUUGAACUCAAUUCUUAGUUGGGGAGCAACUGAAGACAACUUCCAUUAAUUUAAAGAUGUUUAUAAGUUGUUUUAGCCUUUUUUAACGAGGCACUUUUGUCUUUUGAUUCAGGAAAGGCAAACAUCAAGAGAAGGACUUCUUACUGUCGGUAGGGAAACAAGAGGACCUGCACAAGCAUGCCAUAGCUCCGAAUUCAAGUUUUUCUUUUCUCCUUUAAUGAGCAAUAAGAAACAAUCAAUAAAUUAAUCAACACACACACAUAGCUUUAGGUUAAAUUACUUGAUUAAUGAAGAGUAUACCACAAGGCCAUUAUGCAUGUGCCAGCUCAAUAGUUUCUUUAUGUCUAGCCAAUUCUUUUAUUCGAUUUUAAAUGUUAAAAAAAUUUCUACUGAUUAACGUUUUUUUUCUUUCUGCAGGCAAUGGUAGUAUUUUGGUUGUUUUUCUGUUUCUCAUUGUUAUGUACUACUUAAUUUUUUUUACCAGUUGCAUUGGUAAUACAUGGAUUUUGGUUCAUUUUUUUAGGUAUUUGAGGUGAUGAGAAAACAAGAAAAGGCUCAUCUUGCUGAAUUGGCUGCAGAGAAGGCUCAUCAGGAAGCCAUUCAGGCUCAACUUGAUAUUGUGAGUAUUUUUUAAGUCAACCUUCAUAUGCUUUUGUCUGUUUUUGUAUUUUUUUUAUUUGGGAAUUACAUUACAUAAUAGUUAAUAAUCAUGUUCAUAUGCACGAACAGCAGCGUAAACUUGCAGAAGAUCAAAUGAAUUUAGUAGAAAAACAAUCACAAGUUAAAGCCCAAAUGUUAAGAUAUGAAGAUGAAUUGGCUAGGAAAAGAAUGCAGGUUUGAGAAUCUCUUUCACUUUCUUACUUUCUCUCUUUCUCUCAAAUACCCACACACACUACAUUUUUUAUAGUCCAGUUUUCCAUCUUCAAUUGUAUAAAAUAUCUGCAAACAGAUCAUGAAGCUCAAAGACAACACAAUCCUGAAUUGGCUAGAAUGCAAGAGGAACAGAUUCAAAAUUUUUAAGGUUGAUACAAUUUUGUACCUUCUCUCUAUCUCCACACACACACACACACACUCAAUAACCCUUUUUGAAGAAACUUGUGUUGUUAUACAUGAAUGUUGUAUCAUUACUUAAAACAGAAUUUUCAACACAAAUGUAGACCCGAUCUUUUUCUUCAGACAGUGGUAUGUUUUUCCUUAUAAGUAAAUUCAAUACAAUCCAUAUUAAUCUUUUUUUUCUUUUAUAAUGACUAAAUUAUAUCCUUUUUUUGUGUUAUGAAGGUGACUUGGUUGAUGUUGUUGUCCCUUUUGUGGGAGAAUCCAUUAGUGAUGGCACUUUAGCAACCUUUGUAAAGAAUAUGUUGAAAUUGAAUAGCCAAAUUAUUUCUCUUUCAUUUUUAUAAUUAUUUUUUUUUUGGAAAACUUUUCUUUUGUUGUUCAUAGAACCUGGAGAUCAUGUGGAAGUUGAUUAUAUGAUCCAAUUGACCAAAUCGAAACUGAUAAGGUACUGUUUUUUUUUAUGGUGAGGGCAUUUUUCGUCUUUUGCACAUACAAGGAUAAUGAGUACUAAAUUUGUUAAUCAGGCAGGUGACAAUUGAUGUUGGUAGUCCUGAAGCUGGAGUUAUCAAAGAGGUAAAUUGUAAUUUUAGUAUGAAUUCACAAAUCACAAUUAUAGAAUUAUCCUCUUUAUUAAAAUUACUGAUAUACCCUUUUAACCAUAACUUAGUUUGUUGCAAAAGAGGGAGAUACAGUGGAGCCAGGUACAAAGGUUGUAAUGAGUAAGCAUCUGAUGAAGUCGAUAUGUAAGUGAUGAUAUUAUUUAUAUAUUUAAAUAAUUCACAUCACAUUUUCAAUGAUUUAAAAUUUAUGUUAUUUAAUUUAGGACAGAUUUAAUGCAACUUCGAUCUGAAUAUAAAGAAGGUUUCCUUGAGAAGCAUGGAGUGAAAUUUAGGCUCAUGUCUGGAUUUGUGAAAGUACGUUACAGCUUACAAAUCAAUUCUCUUGCAUUUUUAUUUUUUCUUUUUUUUAUUUAAUUAUGGUUGAAGUAUAUUUUUCAGGCUGCUGUUAGUGGGCUACAAAAUCAACCAAUUAUUAAUGUUGUUCUGAAUGUAAGCAUAUCUAAUAUCACUGAUGAUGGGUGUGACAAGUUUUCAAGUAAGGAUCUAUAUCCUUAUAUUUAUUUUUUUCAUUAAUUUAUCUUAAAAAUCAUUAAUUUAUAACUAUGGAGGUCUACUUAUACAGAAUUGAAGUCUCUAAAAGUGCUGAACUUGGGAUUCAAUGAUAUGUCAGAUGCUGUCUUGUCACACCUAAAAGGUGGAAUCUCUUAACAUUCGUAUGUACUUAACAUUCAUGUGUAUUUUCCAAAAGUUCAUACACACAAACUUUUACAAAUGCAGGUUUGAUAAAUUUGGAGAGCUUGAAUUUGGAUUCAUGUAGAAUUGGGGAUAAAGGACUUGUUCACUUAGCAGGUAAUUCUUUUAACAACCAUCUUUAUUAUAUAUUGAUGUAUCCAUAUCCAUAUGUUGAUAAUUUGAUAUGUGUGUGUGUUUCAGGCCUUGUUCAUUUGAAAUGUUUAGAGUUGUCUGAUACAGAAUUUGGAAACAAUGGUCUUCGUCAUCUCUCUGGUUAGUAGUAUAUUUGAUCAUGAUCCAAUCUUGUUUGACCCUUUGACUUGGAGUUGACUUUUACAUGAUCUUGAUUGUUGCAGGUUUGGUAAAUUUGCAAAGUUUGAAUCUUUCAUUCACACUUAUUACAGAUGGAGGUUUGCGACACUUGGCAGUGAAACGGAUAUUUGCAUUAAUUUCACAACACCUUUAGGACUUUAAAGAUCUUUAUUAUCCAUCAUUUGCUGAAUGGGUUUCAUGUAUGGUACAAACCUUUUCAUCCAAUCAUAUUUAUCUUAUUAGAGGGGCUUUGUUUCUACUAUAUGCCAAUAUGCUUUCCUGAGACUCUAGUUCUUUUGGGUUCAAAUGCAGUCAAACCACAAGCUUCUGGGGCCAAUUCAGUUGCUGCGACCUUUUCUGAAUUCAAACACCUUCUUCUUAUGUAUAAGUUUAAUAGCAAAUUCAGUACUUUCUUGUGUAUAAGCUCUAUUAGAAGAUAAACAUAUUUUUGAACCCUUUGAGAUUUAUCCAUUUGUCUACUAUUGGAAUGAUUAUUUGUAUGACAUUAACUUUUGUGCAAUGUAUUAUAUUUUUUGUAUAUGGUAUUUUAUUUUCUAUUAUGAGACAUGAAAUGCAAAUUUAAUUUGAAAAUUAGUAAACCUAUAAAUAAUUUUUUUUUUAAAAAAAAAUUAAAAUUACGAUACGCAAAAAUGUGUGUCAUCUUUAUUUAUGACCUGGCCUUUCUUGACAGCAACUUCAAUGAUACGCAUUGCAUGUCAUAAAUGCGCGUCGUAAAUGCGCGUCGUCUAUAGAGGACGCGCAAAAGCACGUAGUCUCUCGUUAUGACAGGGCCUUCCUUGACGCGCAUUUGCGCGUCGCCUGUGCGUUUUAUGACGCGCAAUGAGCAUCGUAAAAGGCUGUUUUUCUAGUAGUGUUGUAAAACAUUUAGUUACUUUUGUGCUUCAUUAUACUUAUAAUGGAAGGUUUUGUCCUAUCCUACCCGUUAGGCUAACGACCCUCCACUAGUCAAGAGUGCGGUGGGUAAGAGUGGACACCCAUUCAAUCGCCAUUUUAUAAGCAAUUUCCUUAAACACCCCUUAUAGACCAGCUUCGUGAAUGAGGCCUACUAACGGUAAGACUGACUUUUACUCAUACAUAUAUAGUUAGACUUUUAAUGUUAUAUAUGGUAUAGGGUGUAUUUUACACUUUUAAAAUACUAGGUUGUCAAAAUUAACAAUUAUACUUUUAAUUGUAAACCAAAACUUUUAUGGAUUUAUUAAACCUCUUUUAAUUAUACACCUUAAUUAAUUAAUAAAACCAUAAGGUUGUGAUAUGAACUUUUCAAAACACUACUAGGGUUUUAGAAUUUAACAUUCCUAGAUUAAACUUUUAAUUAACUUUUAAAUUCCAAAACUUGAGGGCAAGUUUUGAAACAUUUCAAAACAUUAGGGUUUAGAAUUUAAAUAUACAUCAAAAUUAAACUAUUAAUCAAAAUUUAAAUUCCAAAACUUGAGGGCAAGUUUUGAAACCUUUUCAAAACAUUAGGGUUUCAACUAUUUAAAUUUCAAAACUAAACUUUUGAGUUCAAAUUUAAACUAUAAAACCUAAAGGGGAAAAUUGAAACUUUUCAUAACACAAGGAUCAAAUAACAAAUAAUAUAAAUUAAACAAUUAAUUUCACCAUUAUCUAUAUUUGACCUAAUUUCAAUUUCUUGCAAAAUAAGUUACCCAAUUAAUACAAAUAAUCAACUUUAAUCAUAUAAGGAAGUUAUUAUCUAAUCAAUUGGUAAUUAUCUUGUGUUUUGGCAAGGAUAUUCUCUAAGAAACAAUAAAAUUCAUAUUUUAUAGGUUUAAAACAAAUAUGGUAAUUAUCCUUAAGCAAAACAGCAACAAAAUCCGAAAAUUCCUAUGUCUGACGCUCCGACUCGCCGAGUCACACUUUGGAACUCGCCGAGUAGGGCUGACUCGCCGAGUCAGGUUGAACAGUAAGCCAGAUUUUGAUUUUCAGCAACAUAAUGCAUCAAUAUAAUAGAAACCAAUCUAGGCUCUGAUACCACUGAUGGGUUUUAGCUAUAAGAACAUCCUAUGUGCUCAUACAAACCCUAAUGCUUGGAUCUAGGUUUCUCUAUUGUACAUGCAAUUUAUCCAAGACUAUAAACCCUAGAUCUAGCAUAUGAUAAUCAAUAUAACAUAUAAUUAGGGUUUAGAUCAUACCUUGAUUGUUAUGCAGCAAUAACAAUCUCAAAUUCUCCUUGUAAUGACUUUAGAAAGCUUAGAGUCACAAAUGUCACUCCUCUAAUGGUUCACAAAUACCAAGAGCAAAAGGAUGCAGAAGAGAAGAGAAGGAGGCUCUCAAAAACAUGUGGAAACCCUAGACCAUUAGUUCACCACAUUUUUGGAGCAUAAGGUUUCUAUAUAUAGUGAGGCUAUUAGGGUUAUCUAACAAGGAAACCCUAAUUUGGAUGCUUAAGCCCUAAGCAACCCAUGGACUCCUUUCCUUAAAGGUCGUGGACGAUUUCCAAUGGAUGUCCCUAUAGAAUUCAUCCAACCUUAUAAUAUAAGGCAAUCCAUAGCCUAAUUACAAUUCCAGUCCCUUAAGUUUAAUUAAUCUCUUGUAGUCACAAACUUAAUUCUUAUUAAUUCUUGACUAAUAUUAAUUAAAAAAAUAUGAUUUCUCCUUUAAUAUAUUAUUCCCAUAAUAUAUUAAUAAAUCAUAUUUAAUCCUUUCUCUCCAUAAUUCGUCCUAUCAAGUUGCUUUGGUGAAGGCAACCCAAAAGGACCAUGCACCAUCGGGUCAAGUACAUACCAAAAUAGUUAUGGACUUAGACACUAAUCUAACAAUAACGCGUCAUGGCGCGCCAUAUCACGUCUUGUCACGCGCCACGCCUAACAGCAACAUUAUGAGGCUUUUUGUAAUGGCAGAGCCACGCUCACGCCAUGGCGCGCCUUUUAGAACACUGGAUUCAAUAGAGAAAAACUUAGAUCCAAAGCAAUUAGGCUUGCAUGAUCACACAGGAAUGUAGAUAUGCUCAAAACCCAUCACAUACCAUAUGCAAGAGUCACACAGAUAUCUAGCAUCCUAAUAUAACAAACCAUGGAUCAGCAUUGGUGCCUUUGACCUACUAAGCACAGUGAGGAAACUCACAUCUAGCUGUCGAAUCACUCAAAUGAAUCUCUGUUUGCAAGUCCGGGAAAUCCCCGCGCUAUCAACAUCAAAUAACAUCCAACUAAUAAUUGGAUUUUGGCCCAUAAUGGAGAAUCUAAGCUACUUAGCCCAUAACCAGGGUAACAGACCAUUUUAACAUUUAUCUAACUUGGUCCAAAGCCAAAUCCCAACUCAACUACUCCAGAAGGACCAAAUCCUAAAUAUAAUCCAAAGCCCAAUUUAUGUCCCAAUCUUCCAAAUUGGGCCCAAAACCCAUCAUGUACCUAAACCCAAGGAAUACCAACAUACUAGUCAAAAGUUCAAAACAGAAGUCUAAUGAUCCAACAUGGCCCAAAAUUACAAACCCAAAAAACCCAUAUGUUGAGUACACGAGGCGUACUCAGCCCGCACGCCCAGCGUACUCCCCUAAUAACUAAUCUUCUUCAUUAAACACUUAAAUAGUUAAGACAUUUUGUCAAACAUUUAGAUCUGGUUCUGUCACACCCCAAAACCAAGAACGGCGGAAACGUUCUGGGGCAGAGGACGUCAUGUAAAGUAUCACAAUAAUUCAAAGUAGUAAACAAGCAACAACAUCAUCCAUUGCAUUGAUAGGAUAAUUUUAAAUACAAGUGUGUUCUUUCAUAGGAUAAAACAACAUAAAGAAUAAUCAAAAUAAAAGACGAGUCAUGACUGCUCCAUCUUCACAACACCUGGUCGUCGUACCUGUCUAUUUGUGACCUGAGAAUAUAAGUUAUUUUGAAAGUGUAGAUCAUCAUAAAGCUAGUGAAUUCAUAAGUAUUUUAGUGUCAUUGAUUAGUAAAACUUGUGAAGAAAAGACUUGUAAAUGUUUGAAAGAUAAGUUUGUAUUUCAACAAUGUAAACUUUUGUAUAUGUUUGAAAACUCCUAGAAAAUCCUAUAUUUUCUACUAGUAUAAAAAGUAGUCUUCUACCAAGACGCGACUAUUUUGUAUGUUUGUCUCUUUGUAAAAAUGAAAGCUUUUCCCAAGUAUGACUAUCAUUACCAAAAUAUAGUUUUAUAUUACCCUUUAUGUAAGAAGAUCACAAUUUGAAUAUAAUGGGAAAAUGUAUAUGUGUGCUACAGUAUUAUUUGUAUUAAUUACUGAAGUAAUAACUACCUUAAAACCAACGGUUUAAGGCAAAAUGUGAUAUGAUCGUUACCAUGCUAAUCUGACUAAAACACGACGAUGAAAGACGUUGUAAGAAAUGACAUUUGGCACCCGUGGACUUGCAAGUCCCACUGUAGCGAACAACAAAGGUGUAGGAUAGUCAAUCCAGUAUAGAUCUAUAGGCAAACUCACGCUCUCCCUCUAGGAGAUUCUGGUUACAAAACGUGACAUAACGAAAUGGUCGAUGUGUCAUAAAUUAGUAUCUCACAUUAUGUUAUCUCUAAACCUUGUUAUAGUAUACUUGUUAUAGUAAUAGUAUUCUAUGUAUGUAUAGUAUUCUCUUUCUAGUAUUCUCUGUUAUAGUAUGCUCUAUCUAGUAUUCUCUGUUAUAGUAUGCUUUAUCUAGUAUUCUCUGUUAUAAUAUUAUCUGCAUAGUAUUCUCUAUUAUAGUAAUAUUCUCCGUUAUAGUAUUCUCUGUCUAGUAUUCUCUGUUAUAGUAUUCUUUGUCUAGUAUUCUCUGUUAUAGUAUUCUCUGCCAAGUAUUCUUUGUCUAAUAUGUAAUAGUAUAUUUGCAUAGACUCAUGAAUGAACUGACUCUUGUGUGAUUCCUUGUACUAGGAAUAGUAAGUAGUAUCUCCAACUAUACCUAUUAUAGUUACUAGUAAUGUAUGUAUAUGACUGAAUGAAGGUAUGCCUUUGUUACCCAAAGGUACUGAACUGACUGAUAGAACUUUUAUGUCUACAUAUGUAUACAAAAUAUGUAACUAAUAUUUAGACGACCUUCGGACAAAUAACCGAUACCCUAAGGCCACAUCCAAACAAGGAAAAGGAAUUAAAGCGAGUUAGCAUUCCUAAGUCCUUUAAAUAUUACUUACAUAACUAUACAUAUAUAGGCAUGCAUUUGACAAUAUAAAAGUAUAAAAGAAAUCUUGUAAAACAUUUGAAGAGUUUAAUAAUAAAUUUGAUGACUUGAUGUCAUUUUGUAAAAUGAUUUAAAAGCAGUUUGUUGACAUAAACAGUUUGAAGUAUAAGAAAUCCUUUGUUUGAAACAUAGUUUGAAAUACCUGAAAACCUUUGUGUGAAACACAGUUAUAACGGAGUUUGAAAGGAAAAAUACAGUAUGUAAGACAGCUUGAUAAAGAGUUUAACAUGUAAAAACGUUUGAGAAAGUCAUUUUGAAGUAGUAUACUGAGUAAAACAGCUAAAAGUGUAGUAAAUCCAUUUGUAUGCUAGUUAUUAAUCACAUCUGAUUGAUAUAAUAACUAGUAUGAUUCAACUUGUAUUCCCCCUUAUAAAAGCAUUUAUAAACAUUUAAAAGGUUAUUUAAAGAGUAUGAACUCACCUGUAGUGAGUGGAUCAUAUGGAAGUGUCGGACAAGGUGCUAGGUGUCAAGUGAAGACUUGAACACACACAAUGAUCCUAAUAACAUAUAAAGACAUAUGUAUGUAUAAAAUUAGUGAUUAUAACACUAAUUAUACAAGUAUAAACACCCUAAUGUGUGGAAAACACUUUGGUCCAAGUGUUAGGAGGCCAUUGGGUUGCAACAAAGGAGUGCAAGGUAUUAUUAGUGAGUUUAUGGCCCAUGGACCAUACUUAAUGGAGUUUAUGGCCUGGAGGAGUUUACUCCUGGCCGUAAACUCUCUAAAGGGUCUCAAUUUGAGGCUUAAAGGUAUGAUGUCUUAAGUGGUUAAGUGCUCCAAGGCUAAACAAGAGGCUAGGUGAGUUUAAGGUCCAAGAAUUGACCUGAACUUGUGUUUACGGCCUGAGGACCACUUCCCCAUGAGUUUACGGCCGUAAACUCAUAGUAUGGAGUACCAUUUUGAUGUUUGAGGUCCCUAGUUCAAUGGUGGUUGGUUCUAGGCUAAGUUCUGAGCAUAAGGAAGGAAGAGAGGGCAUCAUUGCACCUUUAAAGGGAGUUUACGGCCUUGGGAGAUCCUUGGCCGUAAACUCUCAUUCAUCCUUUGAUUCUUGAUGUUUCUAAGGCCUAAACAUGUUAAACCUAGUGUACAAUGAGUUAGAACAAGAUUACUUAUGAUCUAGGAGCUUGAAUGGUCGGUUUUGGCCAAGAACACUAGUGUGUGUUCUUGGUUAUCUUGGUGAAACUUAAAGAUCUACACAAAUGGAAUGAUUUCACGAAUGAAAUCAUGUAAGAUCACUAGAUCAAGUAAGAUAUCUACUAGUUAGGGCAAGAAACUUACUAGUUUUGUAGAUCGGGGAUGAAGAUCGGGAUGAUAGUUGAGAGGAUUUGGAAGAAAAUCAGCUAAGGAAAAGAAAGGAAAGAACAAAUGGCCAACAUUUCAUCAUAUAAGGUGAGUUUACAGACCACAUGGAGUUUACGGCUGUAAAAUCCAUUGUGGUGGCCAUGAACUCAUGGUUAAUGUGUUUUAGGCUUGUUCUUUGUCCUAUAGCUUCAGCAGAUAAACCCCGACACUUAUCCCUUAAGUGUACAAGGCUCAGAACACUCAAACAGACUCCAAAUUGUGCUAAAAGUUAGUAGGAAUGAGUUUGACUUUCAAUGAAGUGUUUGACUGUACAGGAUAGAAAAUUUCGGGUUGUCACAGGUUCCUACGGGGUGACUUAUCGCGUAAAGUUGGCAACUUUACACUCAUACAUGGCUUAAUGGGACUCAAAGCUCCAAAGAGAGCUUAAUAAAGGGAUUAAUACUCGCAUUAACUGAAAAUAUCCAUAAAUUUUUCAUUUUUAUGAACAUAAGGCCUAAAUGGAGCAUAGAUCUAGCAUCCAUUGCUUCUGGAGUGGAUCAAAAUCUCAUCUUUACUUCAAAAGACUCAAAAAUACCCAAGAAACACCAUAAAGUAGAUCUAACACUAAUGAUCAUCAAUGUGUGAGAUUUUUACCUCAAAAAUCUUGCAAAUGAGAAGGUGAUCCUUGAUCUACAAACCUAAGAUACUCCUCCAAAUGUUCCUCUUCUUCUUCUUCACCACAAAACACCAUCAAAUCACUCUCAAGCUCAAAACUCACCAAAUGCUCUUAAGGUUUCGUUUUCAGGGUAAGGGAAGAUGGAGGCUGCUCAAAAGUGUCCAAAAGAUGUUAUAAUGAGGUUUAAAUAGGGUGCAAACCCUAAAAAUUAGGGUCUGCCUCAAAACUGCAUACGCUAUGUGUACUCCACGUACGCCCAAGCAUACGUGGGUGAAACCCACGAUCAUCAAAAGGGCUAGUACGCUAAGUGUACUCAUAGAGUACGCCCACUGUACUAACCAGCGAACCAAAAUUCUAACAAUUUUGCAUUAAGGGAUAAAAGUGAAACUUACCAAAACUUGAAUGUUACAAUUCUCCCCCACUUGAAUCAAACUUCGUCCUCGAAAUCCGCUACCUCAAAUAGCUCUCGGUAGUGCCCCCUCAUCUCGUCAUCCAGCUCCCAUGUCCAUUUUGAACCUUUCCUGUGCUGCCACUAAACUUUUACCAACUCAACAACUGUGUUCCUCAAGGUUUUUGUCUUCUAGUCAAGAAUCGCUACCGGUCUCUCGAUAUAAUUUAGGAGAUCACCCACUUGAAUAUCCUCCAAUGGAACCACCGUGACGUCAUCCACUAAACAUUUCUGCAACUGAGAUACGUGGAAAUGUUAUGGAUCAGACUGAGCUCCUCGAGAAGAUCCAAGCAAUAUGCAAAACAGCCCACCCGGGCCAAAACCCUGAAAGGACCGAUAUACCUAGGGACCAAUUUGCCCCUCUUCCUAAAUCGGAUGACACAUUUCCAAGGUGACACCUUCAGGAGAACCAUGUCCCCAACCUGGAACUCUAGAUCCGAUCGGCGCCUGUCGGCAUAACUCCUCUGCUGACUCUGAGCUGUUUGGAGUCUACUCCAAACCUGUUGUAUCAAAUCAGUUGUCUUAAGUACCACCUCGGUACUCCCCAUGACUCGCUGACUCACGUUGCCCAAACAAAUAUGGGUCAUGUAUUUCCUCCCAUAAAGCAUCUCAAAAUGAGUUUGAUCGAUGCUGGCAUGAUAGCCGUUGUUAUACAAAGAUUCUACUAAUGGAAGAUAUGUAUCCCAAAUCCCACCAAAAUCCAAAACACACGCCUGAAGUAUAUCCUCCAAGGUUUGAAUAGUUCGCUCGCUCUGACCGCCAGCAUGCUGAUGGAAAGCCAUACUAAAAUGGAGAUGAGUACCCAAAUCGUCGUGGAACCUCUUCCAAAAUUUGGAAGUGAACCAGACAUCCCUAUCUGAAAUCACCAAAACCGGCACCCAUGUCAUUCUACAACCUCCCUAAUGUAUACCUCGACCAACUUAUCCGCAUGGAUACUCUCCUGAAUCGGGAUAAAAUACACGCUCUUGGUCAAUCGAUCCAGGAUGACCUAAAUCAAAUCCACUCCAUGCACAGUACGAGGAAACUUCAUAAUGAAAUACAUGGAAAUCUCCUCCUAUUUCCAAACGGGAAUAUCCAAUGACUGCAUCUUGUCGUGAUGUCACACCCCCGAACCAAGGAUGGCGGAAACGCCCGGAGAUGGAGGACUUCAUGUAUAGUAUCACAACAACGAGUAUAAUAGUGCUCAAAGUAAAUACAACCAUUAUAAAUAUAAUCGAGAAAGUUACAUGAUUUCACAAGUUACAUGUUUCAAAAUCGAUUACAAUAUAAUGAAAAAAUGUUUUCCUUGACAUCGUAGCGUCCCAUCCUCAAAAGCUGGUAGUUACAUGUUUUACUGAUUACCUAAGAAUACAAGUAGUUUCGAAAAAGUGUCAACAUUUAAGUUGGUGAGUUCAUAAGCUUUUGGAUGUAGAGUUUGAAAACCUUCAUUUGUAAUUGCAAUGUAUACUCAAGAAAAAUCCAAUAUUUUCCUUAUAAAAUGUUAUGUAGUCUGAAAUCCCAAGACCGAGUGUAAUGUGUUACUUCGUACUUGUAACAAUGUAUGCAGAUUUGAAUAAAAUCCCUUUUUAAGUAGAAAUUCCUGUAAACUAUAUGUGUCAUUAUCUCCCUAUGUGAGUCGCUAUAACCAUACUAUAACAAAGAUAACCUGCUGCGACGUUCUUCAGGCGUCAGAAUAGAUAUGACAUUUUUCACCCCCGACUGGCCGGUCGGAUUGUUGCAAGCAACAUGGGUGUGGGUUGUCAAUACCAAUAUAGAUCUAUACACAAUUAUCAUGCUCCCCCUACAAGAGACUCUGGUUAUAUAAACCUUUUCCUAGUGAGUAGUAGUUUAGCUAAACAUAACUAUAAUUAUUAUGUUUCAUCUUGUAUGUUUGUAAUGACUAAGGACUCUUACAAUCAGUGAGUAAUUUCUGUUAUUUAAAUGUAACUUAACAGAAAACACAUGUAAAAUAUGGAGUCAUCAAAGAUAAACACUUUGCUCAACAUGUUACAAAGUGUUAUAUAAAUUGUAAGCUGUUUAACUGGUUUUUAACUUUUCUGCACUGUUUUAGAAAAAUCACAAAAAAAUCAUACGAAGUCGAAAACUGAAUCCGUAAAUUUUGAGAGCUUAGAAAAUGUGUCUAGUUUGUUCAUAAUUUUUAUUAUGAUUUUUAGUGAUCUUUAACUUGUGUGAAAAUGUUCAUAUUCACAUACUGGUCCGAAUUCGUAGCUACAGUGAUAUACAGUUUUGUAAAAAUCACGAUAAAUUGUAGAAAAAUCGUAUAACAUGUGAAAGUAAUCAUUUUAAAGGUAUAAACCUGAACUAUUUGCACAUGGUACAGUUUUGAAAACUAAGAAGUUUAAGAUGUUCAAAACAGUCUGUGAAUGGAAUUAAACUUUCCUAUUGAAAGCUGAUGUUUGAGUUUAGUUAAGUUUUUGGUGUUUUAACUUGUAUUCCCCCCCCCCCCCCCUAAAACUUAAAGAAAACAUGAAAAUGUGGGGGUAUUAACUCACCUUGACUGAUUUCUUGGGAUGGAUGAUGAAGAGAAAAGGUUUCCAAGUCAACAACACUUGGAAAAUGCUUGAAGAUUUGAAGAUCCUAAGAACAAAUUUCGCAUUCGUAAUCAUUUAGCAGCUCCAUCCAUCAUCUUUGCCUCAUGUUGUGCUCCUUUUGAGUGAGGAUGUUCUGAAGGCUUUUAUGAUCGGUGAAGAUGGUACACUUCGUUCCAUAGAGGUAGUGCCUCCAGAUCUUUUAAGCGAACAUCACUGCCCCUAAUUCGAGGUCGUGCGUGGCGUAGUUGACCUUGUGUGUUUUUAGCUAUCUGGAUGUGUAGGCAAUGACCUUUCCUCUUUGCAUUAACACACAUCCGAGACCUUGGUUUGAUGCAUCGCAAAAGACCACGAAGUCUUCGGUUCCUUCUGGUAGGGAUAGAAUCGGAGCGUUGCACAGAGCCUGCUUUAGCGUUUGGAAUGCAGCUUCUUGCUUUUCUCCCCAGUCGAAGGUCACUCCCUUCUGAUUCAGGGUGGUAAGUGGUUUAGCAAUUUUGGAGAAGUUUUAGAUGAACCUCCUGUAGUAGCCGGCAAGGCCUAAUAACAGACGGAUUUCUGUGAGCGUCCUUGGUGUCGACCAGUUUUCAAUUGCCUUAACUUUGGAAGGAUCCACGCGUAUCCCUUCCAUGCUAACUACAUAACCAAGGAAACUCACCUCUCAGAUCCAAAAUUCGAACUUUGAAAAUUUCGCAUACAAUUUAUCCGCUCUUAGAGUCUCCAAAACUUUUCAUAAGUGUUGGCCGUGUUCUUCCUUACUCCUCGAGUAGACCAAAAUGUCAUCUAUGAAGAUAAUUACAAACUUGUCUAAGUAAGGUCGGCACACCCGGUUCAUUAGAUCCAUGAACACAGCAGGUGCGUUUGUUAGUCCGAAGGGCAUUACUACGAACUCGUAGUGACCGUACCUGGUUCUAAACGUCUUUUUAUGAAUAUCCCCCUCUUGGACUCGUAGUUGAUGGUAUCCCGACCUCAAAUCGAUCUUUGAGAAGUAAGUCGCUCCUUGGAGUUGGUCAAACAAGUCGUCGAUUCGGGGCAGAGGGUAUCGGUUUUUGAUGGUAAGUUUGUUCAACUCGCGAUAAUCGAUGCACAUACGAAACGACCCAUCCUUCUUUUUCACAAACAGGACUAAUGCUCCCCAAGGCGAGAAGCUCGGUCGGAUGAAUCCUUUGCUUAGCAGUUCGUUUAGUUGACUGGACAGAUCCUGCAUCUCGGCUGGCGCUAAGUGGUAUGGCACUUUGGCUAUAGGGGUAGCUCCAAGGAUUAAAUGGAUUCGGAAGUCGACCUGUCGUGCGGGCGGGACUCUAAGAAGGUCUUCUAGGAAUAUGUCAGAGAAGUCACAGACCUCCGGAAUGUCCUUGAUAUCUUUCUCCUCUUGCUUCUUAUCGACUAUGUGGGCUAGGAAAGCAUGGUAUUCGUUACGGAGAUACUUUUGUGCUUUGAUGCAAGAGAUGAUUUGUAGGUUCGCACUAGGUUUGUCAUUGUAGACGACAAGAGUUUCGUUACUCGACAGAUUAAGGCGAACGGCCCUUUCGUAACACAGAAUGUCAGCACAAUUAGAACUUAACCAAUCCAUUCCAAUGAUGAUGUCAAAGCUUUUUAUUGAGACCGACAAUAGAUCGAUUUUGAAUGAGUGAUUGUCUAGAGUGAGGGUACACCCUGUGUAUAUGUCGUUAGUGCUUUCUGUCUUUCCAUUUGCCAUUUCUACGACCUAUGUAUCUUUUAGUGAUUGGGAUUUUGUUUUAAUAAGUGUUUGAAUUUGUGGCUAACGAAACUCCUCUCCGCUCCACUAUUGAAUAAUAUGCAUGCAUAUGAGUUAUUGAGGAGAAACGUACCGAUAACCAUAGUGGGAUCUUCCAUUGCUUCCCCUUUCCCUAAGGCCAAGACCCUUCUGACACUGUCGGUGUUUGUGUUUCUAGAUUUUGGGCAGUCCCUCUUAUAGUUCCUAGUUUCCCCGCAGUCGUAACAGGCUCGGCUUGCUCCAGCGUUGGCGGCCGGGUUGGCUUGUUGGGCAGUCUCCCUGUAGGAAUGGGCGGUAUGCCCUUUCUUGUUAUAGUUAUUGUAGUGUAUCUCGCGACAAGGGCCAGCGUGAUAAUAGCUGCACUUGUUACAUUUGGGAAGAUUCACAGUGUACUGUCUCAGAGGGGUUGGAGCGGCGGCAGUAGUGGCAGCGCGAACCGCUACUACUUGUUGUUUCUUGGCGGAAUCCUGGGCUAGUUGGUUUUUGCUGUUGUUCCAUAAUUUCCUUUUGUUGUUUCCCUUUUUUGUUUGCUCAGAGGUGGCCACCACGGUGCCAUGGAUGGCACGGUGGUCGAUGAGUUGCUGUGCCAAUUGCUUGGCACUGUCAAAAGUGGUCGGCUUUGAAGCCAACGCAUUUCCUUGGAUAUGGGGUGUUAAUCCCUAGAUGUAUUUUUCCACCUUUUUGCUUUCCGGGGUGACCAACCCGGGACAUAUUAUGGCCAGAUCGUUGAAUAUGGCUGUGUAGGAUGUGAUGUCAGAGCCCGUCAUUUUAAGGCCCCAAAGUUCCUGUUCCAAUUUAUGAAUUUCUCCCCUUAGGCAAUAUUCCGCUAACAUAAGGGCCUUUAGAUCGUCCCAACUCAUCGCGUUUGCUACUGGGAGAGUUAACGAUUUCACAUGACCGUUCCACCAGGUAAGGGCUCGGUCAGUGAAGGUGCAAGCUGCAAAUUUAACUUUGCUUGCUUCAAGACAGGCACAUAUUUUGAAGACUGAUUUAGUCUUCUCAAACCACUGCAUAAGGGUGAUGACGCCCCCGGUUCCGUUGAAGGAUUUGGGUUUGCCAUUCGAAAAAUCUUUAUAGGAACAUUCCUUCGAACGUCCCUGACUAUCCCCCUGAUUGGAGGUAGCAGCACUAGUACCCGACCCACCAGCACCAUUUGUACCAAUUUGCGACAUUGCAGCUGCCACGGCUGUUGUUACGGCAGCUUGGAACAUUGCAGGGUCAAACCGUGGAGGUGGUGGUGGAGAUGGUGGUGGAGAGGGUGGUACGUUUUGAGUAGGCCUGGGAUUUUUCCGUGGUGGCAUAAUUCUGCCAUAAAUUUGAAAAUUUUGGUAAGCCUUUAAUAGUAGUGAUCAGUCGGUUUUUUUUAAGCUAAAAUUGUUUGUGUUAUGUUCCGACUUUUAAAGUAAUUUCAAGUAAUUCAUGCUGGAGAGUUCAUAUGAUUUUGAGCCCAUGAAUUUAGUAGUGUCAGAGUGCAAACUUGUGAUUUGAUCCAUGCCAGGUCCUUCUACAUAUGCUUAGUGUAUGUUUGUUAUAUGUAAUUAAGAUCAAAUAGAUCGUUGAAUCUAAUGGGUCUGCCCCAAGUCCACAACCAAACAAGGAACAUGGUCUAAAGUAGAACCACCAUUUCUAAACCGAUAGAAUCUUAAUUGCAUACAACUUUAUUGCCUAUACCAAGUAGCUGUAUACUCACCAUAAGCAACGACAUGUAUUGUUUUUUGAAGUUAGUGAUGACACCGCCAAUGAAAAGGUGAUGCUGUAGUUUCCACUUAGCUAUUUAUGAGAAAUUACCAGGAGAAUAUGUGGAUGAAGAUAAAAUAUAAUUUAAAUCAACCUAAUUUCCAGGUAAGUGAGUCAAAAAUGCUUGAGACAAUCUCACCAGGUUGUUAUGAUUUUCUUAAAAAAAAAGUAAAUUGGAAAUGAAAGUAAAAAGAUGUGCAAAUGAAAAUUAUGUAAUCUUAUCAUGGCAGAUGAAUUUCUUAAAAAAAAUUAUAAUUUUUAUGUGAUUAAGACCAUAUUAAAUGCAUAAAUUGAAUAAAGCUUUCAGGUUUAAGUGGUACCAUGGGCAUUUGAGUCAAUUUGACAUUUCUUAAGUUUCUCAUGGGGCGGGGUUGAUUUGAUUCAUUUUUACUCACUUUGAUAUAUGUUUGAUCCACAUCAAUUCCAGUAUGCCACCGUUACGGAAGAUUGGGUCACAUACUUUAUUUGUCAACUUUCUACAUCUUUUUCACUAAGGAAUAUGUACAAACUUUCACAAAUUUUGGUGCUUCCUUAAGGAUAAAACUAAAAAUGGGGAUUAACUAUUUUUCUAAUUGGGUUACUGAAGCAAUUGUGUUCUUUGGUAGCUGCUACAUUUGGCUUAAAUUUGGAAGCAUAUGCAAGCUUAUAAUGGCGACAAUGGACUAUUUUUGUCCCUUUAAGAGCUACUACACCGAUGUUUAUGAUCCAAGACUAUAUUAUAGUAGUCCAAAGAUUGGAUGUAAUCAAAGUGAAUAAAAGUCUAAGAAAAAUCAAGCUUUUUUCCUAAUCCAUUUGCAUUGAUUUAUGUUAAACUCCAGCUGCCAUUGACUUUUACUUCCAGUUCAUGUAUAGAUGUUCUCUUAGCUAUAAUCCUAUUCAAAUACUAUUUGGUGAUGUUCUUUUUAACAUGAAUUGCAUUUGUUAAGUUAGCCUAAUCAUAUUUGUGGUCGUUUUGUGAUGGACUUUAUCUAAUCAUUUAAAAUGAUUUGGCAUUUUGGAAAGACCAUCUUAGAUCGACCAUGUUGAUCAUCUCUAAAAUUACAUUAUCAUUUUGACUGUUUAAAAAGUGCAUUAUCAUUUUGGUUUUCAUACGAAUGGACUUAGACAUGGACAUGCUUUAAUGAAUUUGUUGGGUGCUUUACUGCUACUAGUGCUUAUUUUUCUAAAGUAGUAGUAAGUUUUAUUUUUUUAAAAGAGUAUAAAUAACAUGUAUUUGAUGAUCAGGUGUGCUAAUUAGUUUUUUUUUCAAUAAACAAAGGGAUGCUUUAUUCCUGUUGUUGUUACCGAGUUUAUUAACACACAAUGAUGAGAAUGUUUUCCAACAUCUUCUCAUUAGACCAAGGGGUGAUGACUAUUUUUUUUACAUAGAUACUUAUUCAAGAUUUAGUUGUAAACAAACCAAUCAAUUUUAGAGAUUUAAUCAUGCCGCAUGUUUGGUGGGGAAAUGGUUAAAAGUAAAAUUCAAUGGAAUUGAAUUGAUAGGAUAAUAUAUUACAAGUAGUUUAUAUAUUAUUCUUAAUAAAUGAUACAUUUAUGUUGAAUUAAGAAAUGUGUAUUAUAUAUUUCCAAUUUAUUAUUUUUUUAUAAAAAUAAUUUUAAUUAAUAUUUUAGUUAUAUAGUAUUUCCAAUUUAUUAUUAAAUGUUUUCACAUACGGAAUAUAUAUCAGAUAAUUUAAAUAAUCAAUUUAAAAAUCUAAACAAAACGUAUGAUUAUUAUUUUAAUAAAUUUUUAUAAAUAUUUAUCCAUAGUUUCUACGGGUCUAAAUAUUAUAGUCUACUUAAAUGAAAUCCAAAUAAGAAAUAAUCACGGGUGAAGGAGACCACCGAGAUCCAAUAGUGAAAAAUGAAGAUAAUGAAUAAGGAGAUAUACAACUGAAGGGGCUGAUUUGGGUAAAUUGAGAAAUCUAGGGUUUUGAAUAAAACUCUCUUUCUCUCUGUUUUGGUGCAGAAACUGAUGGGGAUUCAGGCGGCCUCAUCGUAGGGUCUCAGGAGGCAACGAGCAAACCGCUCGCCUCAGCCAUUCACGCGGCUUCAAGGCGGAGAUGAAACAUCAAGCGAGCUGCUUAAACCAACCAGUGCAUCAACCAUCUGAUCCUAACCCUUCCAUGCGACUUCGAUUCGAUUUCGUGAGGCAGCGACCAAAACGCCUGGUCAUCCAAAAUUAGAAUCGCUGCUAUUCUGAUUCUUCGCUGUAUGUUUCAAUCGACUUGAAGUGUCCUCGUGAGGCUAAGAUGAGACUGACUGGUUUUUCAGUUACAAGGUUUACCUAUUUUAACUCACAAUCUGAUCAUUUCCAUGUAUAUUGACGUGUUUGGCUGUAUAUAUAUCUGAUUCUAAAAAGAAUCGAUUUUGAAACCUUAAUUUUCCAAACUUACACUUCUCAUUUUUGGUGAUGAAUCUAAUCAACCGAAUUACUGGUGAGGAUGAUUAAUAUCCAUUUAAUUACCAAACAACAUACUAGAAUGAAGUUUAGAAGUGUUGAUUUGUUUAACAGAUAAAGCAGGCUAUGUGAGUGCUUUGGGUUUGCUCAUGACAAUGCUAUCUUUGAUGUAUGUUGGAUGAAGCUACAGAAAAAUCUAAUCAUUCAAUCACAGUUACAUAUAUUUACUGUCCUUUUUAUUGCUGGAAGGGAAGAGACAUUUGAAUCCAAAGGGAGAAAGAAAGUUGUGUUCCAAAUGGACCAAGUAAUGAGUUGAAGCCUAUACCAUUUGCUGAAAUUGUCACAAAGUUGGGAGGAUUUGAAAACUGAAAAUUUGAGGUUGUGUUGUUAAUUUGUGCAUCUAUGCUAUGACUUCAUCUUUUGAGUUAAACACGACACUACAUGUUGAUUUUGGCUCACAAUUAUGUCAUAUUUGGUAUUUCACUUCAUCUAAUAAUUAGUGUGGUAUUCUGUCACUAAUGAUGCUAAGAUAGUCCUUAGGAACAUUAAACUGAUAGUUUAUGUUUGUCAACAUACUGAAGGAUGAGUAGUUUAGUGAUAGAAAUAGGAGACUAGGAUUUGCAUUUUGCAAUCCAUUAAAUUUGUACUUUUUAGGUGUAGUACAAAUCAGUUGCAAUGAAUGAGAGCCAUCAUGCAAGAAAAUUCCAAUGAUGA
rnacentral:lncRNA from 1 species